UCCGGUUUGGAGGUUGACGUUGGAGAUUCCCUAAGAACAUCGAAACCGGCAAGCUCCACAUGGGCAUAUUGUCCCAUAUGUGACAAAUAUAGAAGUCAUGCUAUGUGAUCAAUAUUUUGUCAAAUCAGGUGUACUGCUCAUUUUAGUAUUGUGUAUCAGGACUCAGCCUUAGCUAGAGUUUUUUUUCUAACAUUGCUUAGCUAGCGUUUUGGUGUGGUGUUGUGAUGUAUAGCUGUGAGCUAGCACGAAUAUGAAAGUGGGGACGGGGUGCUCUUGAUUACAAUAAAUAAUACUCCUAAGAGGAAUUUUANCUUCCCAAUGAACCUCUUGUUAAUUUAUCUGCUUGGCUAGUAUUUGGUUAAACUACAAUCUGCUUAUCCUAAGAACUUGUGUUCCCACAAGUCAAUGGAUACCAUGAACAUGAAUGGAGCAUCAGGAACAUUUAGUUUAUGGUUGUCUGAUGCAAUAGCUGACCACAACAAGGCACAUAGACCGACUGGCCAAGCAUUAUUGCCCGAAACCCAAACAAUCUAGGGGAAUCAUUGAAAGUUCACCCAGAUUUGUGGCUCGAUACUGUCUCCCCGUGGCAUCGCCUGGCACGACCUGCCAUGAUUGACCUCCCGCAACCUACUGUAUGUACUCGAAGAAAGUGCAAUACGGGCAAGCACAAGGAGCAUUGAUUAGUCUUAGUUCAAAUUUAGAUUAAGCUACACUAAUAGUAGUAUUCGUGAGGUUCAUGUAGCCGUUNNNNNNNNNNNNNNNNNNNNNNNNNNNNNNNNNNNNNNNNNNNNNNNNNNNNNNNNNNNNNNNNNNNNNNNNNNNNNNNNNNNNNNNNNNNNNNNNNNNNUGUGAAAAUGUUGAAAAGUUGGGCAAUUGGUAUCAUCAUUUCACCCACAUAGCAUGUGCUAAAAAGUUGAAGAGAGUUCCGACAAAACUGGAUGCUCUUCGUGUAUAAAACGGACAAUCUCCCUCGAAGUAUGAGGGUUUCGAACGAGAACUCAUCUAUUACAAAGGGAUUUUUAUUUUUUUUGUAACUUAUUUUUAACUCCAUACWUUUUUGUGUUCAAAAUGCACCAUUCAAAGGCACAUUACAAAUUUUCAACAAUUUCUUACUUCAUUUUGUAUUUUUCGUGAAUUUACUUAAUUUUUUGAAUUAGUUUACCCUGAAAUUGAAAAGCACUACAAAUGAACUCUAAAAUUAUUGAAAGUUGGCAUGGUAUCAUUAUUUCACCCACAUAGCAUGUGCUAAAAAGUUGAGAGGGUUUCGACGAAAACUGAAUGCACUUCAUGUACAAAAUGGACAAUCUCUCUCGAAGUAUUAGCGUUUCGAACGAGAACUCAUCUGUUACAAAGGGAUUUUCAUUUUUUUGAACUUAUCUGAACUCCAUAUAAUUUGUGUGUUCAAAAUGCACCAUCAAAAGGCACAUCGGAACUAAAGUUUUCAACAAUUUCUUAAUUCAUUUGGUAUUUUCGUGCAUUUACUUAUUUUUUGAGCUAGUUGACCCUGAAAUUGNNNNNNNNNNNNNNNNNNNNNNNNNNNNNNNNNNNNNNNNNNNNNNNNNNNNNNNNNNNNNNNNNNNNNNNNNNNNNNNNNNNNNNNNNNNNNNNNNNNNGCACAAGCGCAGCACAUCUAACUAGUUUGUUCUGGUCCAUUUAGUAGCAAAACAAACGAAACGAUCUUGGUUUUAAGAUUGCAAUUUUUAAUCAAUGAUCUUCGUUUUAAGAACUAUUUAACAAAAGUUCUAUAAAGUUUCAAUUGACUAAAAACAAAACAAGUAUUUUCUAUAUUAUUAUUAAAAAAAUUAGUUCAUUACUUGUUUUUCAAAAACUUCAAAAAUCCCCAUUUUUACGAAAUAUCUAAUAUAUUCAAUAAUUGGUAAAACUCUCUGCAAUUGUUUUCAAUUUAUUUGUCGGUUUCUAAAAAAAACUGUUGACAAACAUUUCUAAAAGUGUGCCAUUUAAAAAAUAAGUACUCUAAUAUUCAAUAAACUCCACUUAUUUUUAUUAAUAAUACUCCCUCCGUUCGAAAAUACUUGUCAUAGGAAUGGAUGUAUCUAGAUGUAUUUUAGUUCUUGAUACAUCCAUUUUUAUACAUUUGUGCGACAAGUAAUUCCNNNNNNNNNNNNNNNNNNNNNNNNNNNNNNNNNNNNNNNNNNNNNNNNNNNNNNNNNNNNNNNNNNNNNNNNNNNNNNNNNNNNNNNNNNNNNNNNNNNNAAGCUUAGGAUCCCAAUGUGCUGGAAAGCAACCUACCACGGCCAGCCGAUUCCAGAAGGAUAUGCUAGGGUGAUGGUGGAUCAAAUACGGGUGAAGGGGAGAUUCGGCUGGGUUCUUCUCUAAAGACUGCAUGCCUAUAGCGGAAGGAGCUCAUCCACCUUCCGAACUGGAUGCCUUCGCCUCCUCUCUUCCUCCGGCGAGUCAGGGCCCGCCUCCUCCUCCGCCUCCUCCGGCGAGUGAUCAGGGCACUCAGCCUCCUUCUCCGGCGCGCGACGGCCCUCGGCCUACGCCGGCGUGCCCGAGCAGCCAGCUGCCUCCUGCUUCUCCGCCUCGUCAACAAGGGCAGAAGAGACCGGCCGCCGCUCUGGCUCCUCCGCCUGGUAAGAAAGGAAAGACAGUCGCAGCCGCUCCGUUUGCUCCGAUGUGUAGCAGUACAGCUAGAGGCAGGCAAUACAAAUACGGUCCUUCUCUGAAGCCUCUAGAGAAGUUACCAUACGAGAGGAGCCCGGAGGAAAACGAGAAGAUCGUGGAAGCCGAAGUGAAGAACUUCUUUGAAGGGGUGAAAGCAAAAAAUCAUCCACCUCCGGAGGAGAAGAUAGAUCCGGUAAAAACAAAGUGUACUCUGGCUGCCCUGAAGAAAUCACCAAAGUCUCCGACGAAAGGCAACUAUGAGCGCAUUAUUACAAAGUCAUUUAUCAAAGCGCAGCGGUCGGGAAGUACUGUCAGUGAUCAAAGGUUAGCAGACCGAUGAGCUGGGAAAAAAGUUGCCCAGCUCGGCGAACAAGCGAACCAAUCGUUCCCCCCGCUCAAGGUGUCUAGCGAUAUCGUCGCUAAUCAUCUGGGGAUCUUGUUGCACGGUACCAAUCCUGCAGAUUACCUGCCCGAUGAUGCACAUUUUGAUUUAUUGGAGGUGGACGAACACAAAUACGUGUACGGGAAGCCUCUCGUCAAAGAUGAAAGAUCUCUAACAACGAUGAUGCGAAGAUUCCAUGAUUGGUACAUGAAAACUUGCAAAGAGUCUGGGGGAGUAAUAUUUUGAUGCUGAGAGUUAGAAAGGAGCAUGACCUCGUUGGACUUGAACUGUUGAUGGUUCCAUUUGAGGAGUUCUUCCCGUUUUUCAAUCUAAAGGCCCUCAAUAAAUUAAUGAUCACUUGCUACUGCCUGUAAGUAGUACUACUUCUGUCAUUAAGUCUCUAUAUAUAGGUCAGCUCUUUCAUUGCAUGUAUUUUUAAUUAUCCUCACUAUAUUAUAUGCAGAUUGAAGAUCGUCGAAUUGAAUAAAAGACAAAUCGGUGAUAUUGGGUUCAUUAACACAAAUCUCGUAGAUGCAUUUAUGAUUAAAUCUCAGGCCAAAGAUACCGAGGCCAACCUGCUACAAUCGUUUGUAUUGAAUAAAAACAAAGCUAUAAUACUCUUCCCUUACGAAUUCCAGUGAGUGUUACUGUCUUGUGCAUAUUCGGUUUCCCUUAUUAGUCAAGGUUAUAGUAAUGUACUUGAUGAGUUAUGCAUGCGUGCGCAGCUUCCACUAUAUUCUCCUAGAGAUUAAGCUUGAGCAGGGACUAGUAACCGUCUUAGACUCGAGACAAAAAGAUCCCAACGAGUAUGCGGACAUGACUGGAAUUCUAGAGAAGUAAGUUAAAUCGAUCAUUAUCGCACCAUAUCGGCAAGUUUGUUCAUUUCUGAUAUCAAGUAAUUGUUUUCUUUGUCUGACAGGGUUUGGAAAAAUUUCACCGCAGAAACUCCGGGACUGCCGAAGAAGCUGCAAUUUAGACACCCGAAAGUAAGUACUAUAGUAGCAUGUUCCAUGCAUCUCCUAGUGAUUCAAGCGCUGGUUUCAUCAAUACCAUUUAGCAUGCUUGCUAACUAUCAGUUUGCUUGACCUCUAUUUCUUGUAAAGUGGUUGUGGUAGGAACCAGGGAAUGAUUACUGUGGAUACUACAUUUGCGAGUCCAUCCGCCACGUGACUUGUGAGCAGGGCUACUCUGACAAAUAAUAUGACAUGCGUAAAUAAUAAUAUUCACAAUUUUAUUUUAUUACCAUCAUUUGUGUUUAGUUUCAUUUAUUCAUAUAUAUGUAUUGACCCCCUUCUUCAAAUUAGAUAUAUUGGAUGCGGAAUGAACUCCUACCAGCAGAUCGUAUGUGAGGAAUUCAAGAGGAAUUGGCGGCAUUCUUUAUUGACCACGUGAUCGCUAAAGACAGAGAAUACCAUGUGAAACCGAAUCAGUUGAAUUUUAAUUAGGAGAUUAUAUUGUAAGAGAUAAUUAUAUUGUAUAUAUGUAGCCAGUAGCGUCAGAUAGAUAUACGAGAACUUGUAGUUCGACCAAUCUCUCAGAGAAGGAGAGGUGGUCGAUAUCACUUCUCUUUGUAUGCAUAUGUUCAUGACGAUCUUCUGUUUCCUUCAUUUGCUUACUAGCUAGCGUGUCUAGUCCUCUCUAUACGUAUAGUAUGCAGCGUCGACCAAGCACGGAGAUAAGAGAGGACACUUCUCUCUAUUCAUUAGCUAGCUAACACAAUAUAUGGAACACCUAAAUUAACCCCCUAAAACCCCCUAACCCCCCCUUCAAAAAAACCCAUCACCUGAAAUGCUGACGCAUGGAUGCCUUUUGGUCCUGGUUGGUGUCACCAACCGGGACUAAAGGCCCCCCUGCCAGGGCUCGCCGCACCGGCCACGUGGAGGCCCAUCUGUCUCGGUUCGUGUAAGAACCGGGACUAAAGGCCAAGGGCAUUAGUAACAACAUUUUAGUCCCGGUCCCGAAACCGCGACAGAAGGCCCUUACGAACCGGGACAAAAGGCCCUUUUUCUACUAGUGUGAUGAGAGAGACCGAUCGAAAGAGCACACGUGGAUGGCUAAAUAGCUAGCUAGAUCUAGUUGUUGGGGAGGAUAGGUGAAUCUAGCUAUCUAACUAAUGGAGAGGGAGUUAUGGUGGAGGGGGCAUUAAUAUAAUGGGGAGAGGAAGAGAUGUAGGACAAAGAGAGAUGUGAGAGAGGCCAUUUAUGAAGUAGAGUUAUGGUGGAGGGGGACAUUAAUGAGGAGAGAAGAGAGGUAGGAGGAAGAGAGAAGAAGAACAACAAUCGUGUGGAGAGUGGAGAGGGGAAAGGAGGGGGAGAGAGGUCAAAGUGGGGAGAGGAGGGGGAGGGGGUAAAAAGGUGGCACCAGCCGCAACUAGCAGUAGCGCUGCAAACCAGAAAUCCCUGCUGCUAUGCUAUUAGUAGUAGUGCUUGUCACGUGCGAGCACUACUAUUAAGUGGGGCCAACUAGCAGCAGCAGCGGUGCUGCAAAACAAAGCGCUACCGCUAAACACUUAGCAGUAGCGCUGGAUUUUUGGCAACGCUGCUACUACAGCUACCGUCGGUGGCAUCAUCUGAUCCCACAUAGUAGUAGUGCGUUUUUAAUAAGCAGCGCUACUGCUAAGGUGUUAGUAGUAGCGCUUAACUGGAUCAACACUACUGCUAAUUAGUAGCAGGGUUUUCUUUUUUCAGCGCUACUAGUGAGGUCCUGCCUAUAAGGUUUUUCCUAGUAGUGCAUCCCCCUUCUCAACACCGCUCGUUCACCUCCUUCCCAGUUUUCUCGAUCCCCCAAGACACCCGACGCUGCCCGACUCUACCGGAAGCUGUCACAUCGACGUACCUGAACGUCGACCCUGUUGGAAAUAUGCCCUAGAGGCAAUAAUAAAUUAGUUAUUAUUAUAUUUAUUAGUUCAUGAUAAUCGUUUAUUAUCCAUGCUAUAAUUGUAUUGAUUGGAAACACAAUACUUGUGUGGAUACAUAGACAAAACACUGUCCCUAGUAAGCCUCUAGUUGACUAGCUCGUUGAUCAAAGAUGGUCAAGGUUUCCUGGCCAUAGGCAAGUGUUGUCACUUGAUAACGGGAUCACAUCAUUAGGAGAAUCAUGUGAUGGACUAGACCCAAACUAAUAGACGUAGCAUGUUGAUCGUGUCAUUUUGUUGCUACUGUUUUCUGCGUGUCAAGUAUUUGUUCUUAUGACCAUGAGAUCAUAUAACUCACGGACACCGGAGGAAUGCUUUGUGUGUAUCAAACGUCGCAACGUAACUGGGUGACUAUAAAGAUGCUCUACAGGUAUCUCCGAAGGUGUUCGUUGAGUUAGUAUGGAUCGAGACUGGGAUUUGUCACUCCGUGUGACGGAGAGGUAUCUCGGGGCCCACUCGGUAAUACAACAUCACACACAAGCCUUGCAAGCAAUGUGACUUAGUGUAAGUUACGGGAUCUUGUAUUACGGAACGAGUAAAGAGACUUGCCGGUAAACGAGAUUGAAAUAGGUAUGCGGAUAUUGACGAUCGAAUCUCGGGCAAGUAACAAGCCGAAGGACAAAGGGAACGACAUACGGGAUUAUAUGAAUCCUUGGCACUGAGGUUCAAACGAUAAGAUCUUCGUAGAAUAUGUAGGAUCCAAUAUGGGCAUCCAGGUCCCGCUAUUGGAUAUUGACCGAGGAGUCUCUCGGGUCAUGUCUACAUAGUUCUCGAACCCGCAGGGUCUGCACACUUAAGGUUCGACGUUGUUUUAUGCGUAUUUGAGUUAUAUGGUUGGUUACCGAAUGUUGUUCGGAGUCCCGGAUGAGAUACAGGACGUCACGAGGAGCUCCGGAAUGGUCCGGAGGUAAAGAAUGGUAUAUAGGAAGUCCUGUUUUGGUCACCGGAAAAGUUUCGGGCUCAUCGGUAGUGUACCGGGAGUGCCGGGAGGGGUGCCGGGGACCAUCGGGAGGGGUGUCAUGCCCCAAGGGGUCUCAUGUGCUAUGGGAAGAGAUAAACCAGCCCCUAGUGGGCUGGAAUAAGUUCCCACUAAGGCCCAUAAGGUUUGAUAAGGAAAAAACACAAGGUGGAAAGAGUUUCCAAGUGGGAAGGUGGAAUCCUACUCCAAGUAGGAUUGGAGUAGGACUCCUCCACCUCCAAUUUCGGCCAAACCUUGAGGGUUUGAGGCUGCCUCUUCCCUCUCCCUCCCUCCUAUAUAUACUGAGGUAUUAGGGCUGAUUUGAGACAACUUUUCCACGGCAGCCCGACCACAUAUCUCCACGGUUUUACCUCUAGAUCGCGUUUCUGCGGAGCUCGGGCGGAGCCCUGCUGAGACAAGAUCAUCACCAACCUCCGGAGCGCCGUCACGCUGCCGAAGAACUCUUCUACCUCUCCAUCUCUCUUGCUGGAUCAAGAAGGCCGAGGUCAUCGUCGAGCUGUACGUGUGCUGAACGCGGAGGUGCCGUCCGUUCGGUACUAGAUCGUGGGACUGAUCGCGGGAUUGUUCGCGGGNNNNNNNNNNNNNNNNNNNNNNNNNNNNNNNNNNNNNNNNNNNNNNNNNNNNNNNNNNNNNNNNNNNNNNNNNNNNNNNNNNNNNNNNNNNNNNNNNNNNNNNNNNNNNNNNNNNNNNNNNNNNNNNNNNNNNNNNNNNNNNNNNNNNNNNNNNNNNNNNNNNNNNNNNNNNNNNNNNNNNNNNNNNNNNNNNNNNNNNNNNNNNNNNNNNNNNNNNNNNNNNNNNNNNNNNNNNNNNNNNNNNNNNNNNNNNNNNNNNNNNNNNNNNNNNNNNNNNNNNNNNNNNNNNNNNNNNNNNNNNNNNNNNNNNNNNNNNNNNNNNNNNNNNNNNNNNNNNNNNNNNNNNNNNNNNNNNNNNNNNNNNNNNNNNNNNNNNNNNNNNNNNCAAGGGUACGUAGAUCACCCAUCCCCUCUCGUAGAUGGACAUCACCAUGAUAGGUCUUCGUGCGCGUAGGAAAUUUUUGUUUCCCAUGCGACGUUCCCCAACAGACCCCCUCCGCAAUGGAGAAUCUAGGAUCCUAUUCAUUCUUCAAUAAUAAUUCAUUUUUAUGAAUCAUAAUGGUAUUAUUGAAUAAAUUAUGUGUCAAUUUAUGUGUAUGUGUUCAUUAGUGCAUCUGCACAAGUAGUAUACUCCCUCCAUUCCCAUAUAUAAGGCCACUAUGGAGAAUACAUUUUGCAUCUAUAUAAGGUCACUAACAGUAAUGGAGAUAAAAAUUAAUGGUGUUUUCUAGUAGUAGCAACUUAUUUAAUAUACUUGCAUGCAUGUAGGCAUAAUGACAUUUAGGUUUUUUCUUCUCAUUAUUUUUUUGCAUGCUGAUGUCUACCACACAACUUUUCUUGUAGACUCGUGUUGGGGUUCCAAGCACAGAGUUUUAUAGAACAAUAGCAAAUUACCCUCAAGUAGAUGACAUAAACCUCAUACCAAAGCCAAACAAACUUUGCUUCAUGGAUUAUAGUCAUCGUUAGAUGGUCUUCAAAUCUGGAUGUAUUUUUUUGUUAUUUCUAGUUUUCGUUGUACUACCAUGAUUGAAGAUGAAUAGAUUAAAAGUUUUUCUCAUAAAAAAAAGCAAGAAAGCCUCGUGCUAUAGGAAAAAUUGGUUGGGAUCGAGUCCGUGUCCUUGCUGUCUCUCUCUCUCAUGCUCCAACGACAAGAGGAAGACUGAAGGAAGAAGAAGGACACAGGGACACAAGUGGUGUUUUGCCGGCGCACAUACGCCCAGCCGCAAGAACGGCUUCUUCCUCGAGCACGAACUCGAAACCACACACCUCAGCGAGCUACACAGGGGAGAGGUGUUAUAUACCCACGAGCACUAACAUGCCAAGCCUCGCCUCACACGCAUUCGUUCCCCCACUUACCACGUCCCGAGCGCUCCGCGCAGCACGCGAUCGCCGCGGCCUCUCCGCGCGCCCGACGCGGUCUACUCCCCUUGAGCCUCGCCAACUAACGAAUGCAGCCCCGCGCACACCCGCGUUGGCUCAUGCACGCACGCACUAAGCGGCCACAUGCAACUAACCCGGCUGCUAACCAACUAACCAACACACGCGCACAUACACUACUUGGACAUUAGUCGGACAUUGCCCAUACACUAGUUGGACAUUGCCCACACACACGUACGCCGCGGACCCGACGCGCCCGACACGCCCAGCGUGCGUCCAUACGCGCGCCCGACGUGUCUGGCUUGUCGCAGCGACUUAUUUCGUCCAACAUUCACCCCCUAAGCCGUGGCUCAGAGGAGCCCGACGUUCUCGAAGUCGAAGUCCGCCAACAGUGCUUGCUCCGCCGUCGGCUCCUUCCUCCGCUGAGGGCAGUCCCUCUUGAAGUGGCCGCGCUCGUUGCAGUUGUAGCAGUGCCCGCGUCGGUUCCCACGGCUGUUCGACACCACUCUAUUGUCGUCAUCCCGUGCACCGCCUCGCCGAUGCUCCCGCGCUCGCCACUGCUCUGCCGUGAGCAUGAGCUGGCCGUCCGCCCGCUCGCCGCCCGCUUGUCCGCAUCGUCGUAGCCGCUCGUCGAAUGCCUUCAGACGACCCAACGCCUCCUCGAAUGCCAUGGUGGAGACAUCACAGAACUGCUCGAUUCCGGCCACCACCGCGUGCAGACGGUCCGGCACGGAGUCGAGUAGUUUCUUCACCAACGCGUUGUCUUCCAGCGUCGAUCCCAGCAUCGCGAGGCGUGCCGCCAUGCCACCGAGCUUCCCAGCGAACGAGUUCAGCGUGUCGUCCUCCUACAUGCGCAGAAGCUCGAACUCUCCUCGAAGAGUUCCCAGCCUCGCCGCCCGGACUCGGUCCGCCCCGACGAACCUCGCCUUGAGGCUUGCCCAGACCUCCGCCGCCGUCUUCUUGGACGCAACCUGCAGCCGAAGAUCCUCAGAGAGCGCGUGGAACAGGUACGCCCGCGCCGGCUUGUCCUUCUUGGCGAUCACGACCGCCGCCCCGUCCUCCGGCGGCUCCACCGCCUCCCACAGCCCGGCGGCGUCCAGGUCCGCCUCCACCUUGAUUGCCCACGUGGUGUAGUUAUCAACAGUGAGCAUCAGGGACGGCGUUGACAUGAUGCUCCCCGACCAGCCGGCGUAUGGGACGAGCGCCAUCUCCGACGAGCUUCUCCCUCAACGUGGCUCUGAUACCAAAUAUUGGGGUCGAGUCCCUGUCCUUGCUGUCUCUCUCUCUCACGCUCUAACAACAAGAGGAAGACGAAGGACACAGGGACACAAGUGGUGUUUUGCCGGCGCACAUACGCCCAGCCGCACGAACGGCUUCUUCCUCGAGCAUGAACUUGAAACCACACACCUCAGCGAGCUACACAGGGGAGAGGGGUUAUAUACCCACGAGCACUGACAUGCCAGGCCUCGCCUCACAUGCACUCGUACCCCCCACUCACCACGUCCUGAGCGCUUCGCGCAGCACGCGAUCGCCGCGGCCUCUCCGCGCGCCCGACCCGGUCUACUCCCCUUGACCCUCGCCAACUAACGCAUGCAGCCCCGCGCACACCCGCGCUGGCUCACGCACGCACGCACUAAGGGGCCGCAGCCAACUAACCCGUCUGCUAACCAACUAACCUACACACGCGCACAUACACUACUUGAACAUUAGUCAGACUGUAUCCAUACACUAGUCGGACAUAGCCCAUACACUAGUACGUCAAGGAUCCGACGCGCCUGACACGUCCAGCGUGUGCCCAUACGCGCGACCGUCUGGCUUGUCGCCGCGGCUUAUUUCGUCCAACACAUUUCAACUCACGGACAGGACAGGACUAGAGAGCAUCUGCUAAUGACACUGCAGCGGACAGAUACGCGUUCGUGACUCUGCUUUCUUGCACAAAUCACAAAGCAAACGAACGCCCGAGUUAGGCAGGAACUUUGCGAGUCUGCUUGCCCGCGUCUUAUUUGUUUGCUAUUGCCACCUGUGCACAUCCAUCAACGUGGAUCCGGGUCUCCAUCAGGUCAACAAUAUGCUCCGUCUCACAUAUCGCAACAACACCGUAUCCGACAAAGCAAGGACCAGUUAUUCUUGUAGAACGGCUGGAUUGGUGUCGCCUGAAAUACUUGUCUAAGACCCAACUUUGUUCGAUGGCAGCCAUAGAUAAUGUUUCAUCGGGAUCUCACAAACGGAAAGCAUCCUGCUUAGCCUUCCCGAAAUUCAAAGCAAGGCCAGCAUAUCUUUCCCAACUUUCUGAUCCCUCCUACUCCUAUCGUGCAGUGGGCGGCAUUUACUAGUGCCAUUUUUUGUUGAAAAUAUUUAGAGCACAUACAAAUUUAACUGCAUAACGGUAUGAGUUUUUUGUUUCGGAAUAAUGGAGGAGUGCGUGUGUGACGUCCGAGAAACGAGUGAAGACUGAAGAACCAUAGGAAAAAGGUAUGCUAUUUAAAGAUUGAAGAUGUGUGAAUUAACUGUAGCAGAAAGGACAAAAGCCACUUGCAUACCCUUGAUCAAUGUCGCGAUGUGCAAGCCGCCAACCAUUCUAUUAACUAGCGGGCCCGUUGUUUGUUUAGUUGUGGCUUAUCCAGUUACUCCUUCCUUUUUGUUUAUAGGGCUUAUGUCUAAAAUCUUAUUAACAAGGAUACACUAGUGUAAUGUUCAUGCGUUGCCACGGGCCAUAAAUAUACUUUUACCAGUUGCAAAUAUAAGCACAAUGAAUGUCAAAAUUUAUAUGCAUAGAAAUUAUAGUAUGUUACAAUGAUAAGUACUCCCUCCAUCCAUAUAUAUAUAGGACCUAAUGCAUUUUUCGAGAUUGCCUUUGACUAUUGAUAAGAUUAAUAUAGUAUAUGAAAUGUAUAAUAUAGAAAUUAUAUUAAUGAAAGCUCCUUUCACGUACGAAUUUGAAGAUAUGCUUUGUGUAACUUGCAUGUCAUAUAUUAUUGCUCUAGCAUAUGGUCAAAGCUAGCAUCGAAAAACACAUUAGACCCUAUAUAUAUGGAUAGAGGGAGUAAUUGAAAUCAACUUCAAUGAUUCAAGUAACUAUCUCUUACAAACUAAGAUCUACUUGAUGUGUUUAAGACAUUUUUUUACCAUGUGAGGAGUGUUGUGUUCAGCUUCAUUGCAUGGCACAAUGUAGAUCAUUUGAUUGAUAUUUUUCUAAAAAUGACUUGUUAUGCUAGAUGUGGUGUUGAUGUUAACGUAUAGAAGCUCCUCUUUUCACUACACCACGAUACCAUAUUCCCUACAGAUGUGUGUUUAGAAAAAUAACUAUUGGUGACCAACUGUUGGUUAGGAAAACUUCUAACUGAUUAUUGGUCGGGAAAACUCAUGUUCGGCGACCGAUAGUCUGUCGAGAAUGCCAAAAUAUGUACCAUCCAAUUGUGGGUCGACAAUACUCCUAUCAACAAUGAAUGGUCGGUCGGCGAACAAUCCCGACCGACCGGCAGUAGAUAAAUGGGCCGACCUGCGAUCAACGCGCGCAUGCAUGAAAUUUUCGUAGCGGCGCUCAUUUUGCCCUAGCCCGCGAAGCCUUCCUCAUUUUCUUUUCCUUCGCCACUCCAAAACCUAAUCCCCUCUGGCUCCCACGCAUCUUCUCCCUCCUUUCCAUGCCGCCGCCGGUUCCCCUCGUAGACUCAUACGAGUCUCAAAGCUUAGCAGCUGUGAGUACAGCUCCGGAACCGUGACCAGCUCGACCCUAGAGCACAUGGUCGAGACCACUGGGUCGAACUCCUCAUCGUGUCCGGCAAGGAUGUGGGAGAUAAUGUCCUCCUCAUCAACCUUCUUUCUUGAAGCCAUUAAUUCAUCACACAAAGUUCUGAUCUUACCAACGUACUCGGUGAUGUUUCUGUUGCCUUUCUGAAGAUUUGCCAAUGCGAUCCGAACGUUGAUGGUCCUCGCACUCGUUUGUGAGGCCAUCAUCCCUUGAACGGUGUUCCAUAGCUCUGCUACGGUGUGGCAAAUCGCCAACUGGAUCGCCAUCUCGCAUGGUAACGAGGUCAGCAGGUAGGAGAAUACCUGCUGAUGACGUGGCAAACUCCGAGUUCGGAGCCUUGGACUUUUUUUUGCCGUCAUCGGCGGUGACCUCAAUGGUCAUGGGUGGCACGGUCGAGGAAUUCUGCCAUCUGAGCCCCCCUGAUCGCCGACAGCACGAUCACGCGUCAUAGUGCCUCGUUCCCUCUCGUAAGCUUCUUUGUUGCGGUGUGCACAAAUGGAGAGGAGGUGAAGGAAGUGGAAGAGCUUGCCAUGGAUGAUUUCGAGGCCUACUCUGAUUACCAUGAAAGAAUUGGUGGAAUCGUAUGCUUCGUUAGCAGGGACGCGUGCAUGUUAUCUAGAUCAACGAUGUAUAAGAUAUGGCGGGCUGUUGCAAGUCUUGACCCCUAAUCCAAGCUAUACAAGAAAUAAGAUCAUAUCUAUGCCAACAACCUGCCGAGGUUAAACACAACAGACGCACACAUACACCUAUCAUGACAACCGUCACGUUACGACACAAGCAUAUAGUUUAACAGAUAUAACAGAAACUCAUUUGUUUUUAAAAAAGAACUUUGUUCAGUCAAGCAUUGUAUCGGGAGGACAGAGAACUGUAAACCUGGCCUCGGUGUAAUGAGUUGUGUAUGCAACCCACACAGCUAGAGUAUUCAAGUAAAUUAAAGGUGGAUCUUGAUCUGGCAAAAAUAGAUGGAACAAUAUUUAAAGAUCUGCUCAUCUCAUUGCCGAAGAGCAGAAGAGGCGUUAAUAUCGUUGUGCGUUGCGUUUAUCAUGGUAGCAACGUCCUUGCUUACUGUGCAUUUCCGCUAGGAUUGAUCUCGUGACCUGAAGUUGUCGGUGCAUCUACCGGUUAACGUUGCACGAGUGAUCAUGCUAGUUUCCUCAUACUAGUGCGCUUGGCUGUCGUAAUUGCCUAUCGUGGUACUUAAGUAGGGGGCAAACGAUAUAGGCGACCGAUGGCACGAGAGCAUUGGCCCACAAGGCCACAACAAGGAAACGUCGUUAGCGAGUAGCAACCAAUGCAAGCUAUGGCUGUUGGGAGACGUGGCUCCAAAUCUACCGAUGCCUCCUACUCCUACACCUGAUGGCCAGGGAACACACAUCAACCAAAUAACUAUUUUGCAAUUGAUGGACCGAAAGAUUUUGAACUGGUUUGGAUUUCAAGUGCAUUCCCUUGUGAGAUGUAGGUUCUUGGUGCGGUCCAUGCGUGUGAGAGCAAGACUUGGUACUGGAGAAAUGGGAACGGAAAGGAACGCCUUGGUUUUAUAGAUGCGACGAGGAAGUAGAAGAAAUUUAUUUACACGUACAGGUUCUUCAUCAGUUUGUUGUCUCGCUGACCUGGUACUGGCUGUAUUGUGGACCCAUGUGACAUGCGAGUUAUAAGUGCGGUCUCGGUGCAAUAUGGGAGAGCUGGUCUCUUGUAAGUAAAAUCUCACCACCAGACAUCCCCUUUUUUUGUUUUCCAUUUUCAAUUUUAUUCUUUUUUGAGGGCUGAGAGACCAGCCGGCCGGUUGCACUUAGGAACAGAUCAUUAUUUUUAAGAUUUGGUAGUCACAAGCAAGGAUUCUAAAGCAGAUUCAACAAUAGUCGAUCAACCUUGAAAAUUUAGUUCUGAGUUUUUAUUUAUUUGAAAGGGGGUAGGCAAAUAGUACGUUAUAACAUCUAUACUUAUACUAAUUAGGCACUCUUAAGAAAUUUCCGCGUUAAUCAAAAAAUAGGAAUCGUUAAUCUCGUGAAAUCGAGUUAUAACGGUGUAGAUUAGCCAGCUUAAAAUAGAAAGAAGAAUAAAGGAAUGAAAUCAGUUAGAUAAAAAAAGAUUAGAAAGGACCACAGUAUUUUCACGUGUAGUUAGGUGGAUAGUAGUCAAGAUUAAAAAACAAUAAACCAAAAGAGAUACGAUUAGCUUUCCUUCUUUUCAAAGAAACCAAAAGAGAUCAAUAUCUAUCUAAUCUCUCCCACGGUUGUUGAUAGAAGUUCAAAUAAAAAUAAAAAUGCGUGGAAAGGUCCACAUGCCAGUCACCAGCGCAUGUUUAAGUCAUGGGUGCGUCUCUCAAGCCCUCCCAACUACCAUCAAAACGUCUAUAAAAAAGCAUAACAACAUUGUUAGGCCUCACGAAAUCAAAUGAUCCGGAAAGAAAUGCUGGUAACAAUAGAAAGCAUCCGGCAUCUAGCCAAGACAAACUGCCGAGUGCUAAGGAAAGGAAGUUUUGAAGCAAAUUCAUACGGUGCCCAGUGGACUGCUCUCUUAUUUUUUCCUUGGAGUUCUAAUGUACGUGUGCAUUCUCUGUUCUUAGAGUAUUUUGUUAUCAACUUGCAAGCUGAACGCGCUUUCAAAUUGGAUCCCCUAUAUGCGACUAAGAAAACUUUGAAAUAUUAUUUUAUUUGCUAAUUUUCUUUGUUUGUUUUAGUUUUUUUUUUUUGCAGCAUCAAUGGAAAGCCACCAAUGUUUUAGUUUUCUGCUAUGUACAUUAACCAAUGGUUUAGAUGGUAAUUCCGAACAAUCUCAGUAUAGAGAAUGAAUCACUAUUUACACUAUUUAGAAUAACAGAUUUUUACUAUAAAAGUUUGUUAUCUUUUACGCUCGCCCAUAUCAGUUUCUUUGAUUCUGUUAAUUAUUUCUUUGCUGCUAUACCAAUAUACUACGCUUCAGAUUUUGUAGAUUGCUGCAGGUUGUCGGACAAGUUGUUUCACCCAUUCAUCUAAUCACAACUUCGCGAGUUCACAAAAAAAUAUCCCGAGGCAAAGUGCCAGAGUGCUGAGAAAAGGAAGUUUUGAAGCAAAUUAUGGUCAUACAUCAACUUUGUACUUACAUAUGUAGGAGAAGUACGAGGAGUGCUAAUUAGUUAUCCUGGAGUGCAAAAAUGAUCGCCUUUCAUGUACUAUACAUGAUAUUUUCCGUAAGACAAAAUACACUAUCUAUUGAUAAAUUGAAGACAUUUUGGACAUAGCACAGUUACAAAGCCUUACUUUGAUCUUUGAGUUUUAUAUCAUAUGUUAAUAAGUCACAGAAGCCCUAUGAUAGUGUGGAACUAUUUUUGACGAAUAUUUUACGUUAGUAUUGCAAAUGAAGUAAAAGAACAUAUUUCUAUAUAUUAAUAUAGUCAAAAUUGGAGAAGGUUCUUCGCAAAAUUUUCAGCGCCACUCCAUCAAAUUACAACCACAUGUUGCAUGAAAUAUUAUUAUUCCAUAUUCAAAGUAACAAAAAUGCAUUAGCCUACAUGUGACGAUUAUUUUAGGCAAAAGUAAUUUUUUCUCCAAAUAUAUUUUUGCUCAAAAUGUUUUGGACAUAUGUACAUGUAUAAGAGGUCACGUCCAUAUGUUUAAGCAAAUCAUUAGUGUAUUGGGCAGGUCUAGAUCCUUCCCGAAUAAGAAAAACAAACAUAUGUGCAGGAAACAGUGUGUGCAUCACAUGACUAUAUCUACCUUUUUCAAAAUUCCCUAUAUGACGGACUUUGGGAUUCCAACAUUUGGCUUACAACCUCAUACUCCCUGUAUAUGAAAUCAUGUGUUUUUAACCUAUCUGAUUAGGUAAACAUUCAAACAAAAUCAUUAAUCAAUAUAUGACCAUAACAUAAACAACAAGAUAAAAUAAGAUAACUAGCCCGUGCGAAUGCAUGGGUUGACGACUAGUUGUUCUAACUAAACAAGGCAAGUUGCUAUGUUUUUAUGUGUUAUCAACUACCAUAUAGGAAUUUAUACCCUGAAAAAAAAACUACAUAGGAAUUUAUAAACAAGUACAUUACCUUAUAAUUACAUCAUUUAUAUAUUAUUUUGUUCAUUACGGGGAACAUAUCUGUCAACAGAUCUAGUGAUAUUGAUUUGGUAGUGUUAGCUGGCAGCCCGUGAGUUCGUAGCAACGUAUAGUGUUUGAUUUAUAGCUUUUUUUAAUGAAAGGGGUUUCCCCCUGCCCCAUUUUAUUAAAAUGAAGCAACAUUGUCUUCCAAACCGUCAAAAGCCACUAAAAAGAACUAAACAAACCAUAGGCUAGGCAAAAGUCGAGCACUUGAAAUGUUAACAACCAACAAACCACAAACUGGGCCUUAGAAUGCUUUUAUUACAUGCCAAAGAAGGAAAAAACUAGAGAAGACUACUCGGCUCCCCGAUGAUCCCCCAACAUCAUCUCCACGUGAUCCGAAGCAACUCCCCACGCCUCUUGUUCAACACCUUGAUAUAGUCUCGUAGAAGAACUGCCUGAGCAUAGGUGAAUAGUAUUUUCCAUUGAUUUAGGUAAAACUCUGGCUUGGCAAGAAUGUAUUUCACACUUCUCCAAGAUCGGCCUUGAAAGCAAAAUUCAUUCCUCAGUUUCCAAAUGCUCCACAAGGAGGCAGCAAUCAUCAUGUUUAGUAAAGCAUUAGUCUUAGGACUACCCACAACGAAAUAACAUCAUCAAAGCUUGAAAUUUCUGGCUUGUUAAACACUUCAGAGAUAAAUCCCCAAAGUUUUUUAGCAACCACAAAGUCAAAGAACAAGUGUUGGACUAAUUCUUUACAGCUACAAAAGAGACAAGUAGGAUCUUCCACCGGUCUAUGUUUUUAAGGUUAUCUCUUGUUAAAACUUUAUUAUAUACACACAAACAUAAAAAAUAUGUAUUGAUCACACUUUACACCUUCCCCUUCUUCCGUACCCGACUAGCACCUCUCCCAGUGGGCAAUGCCGCCGACGAAGAAGCACCCACGGGUGGUGUCAUCAGAUUGUCUUCCAAGGCUCUACGGAGAGAUAGGGGUGGAAUGGAAGUACCACCCCUCGUGUGAGCCGCCGAAGAAGAACCUGUCGAGCGAUCUGGACCCGCGCCCACCAUCUUUCAACACAUGUUGACCUGCCAUGAUAAAGAUUAAGAGAAAUUAUUCCAACAUAAAAAAAUUGAAAAGCUAAGAACUAAAUAACAACUACAAUAACAUCAACCACUACUACAACAACUACGAUAACAACUACAACAACUACUACAACAAUCCCUAGCGCUGCCCAUGUCGGUUAGCUUCUUUAGCCUGGUUGUGUAAACCAAGUUGGAUGGGAGCAAUAUAUAUGCACACACACUAGAUGAUAGGUAGGUACAAGUAAAUCUGAUAAAAACACAGCGACAAGGUGGAUGUUGUGUAGGCAUAGCAAUAAGAUGAAUUAUUUAUUUAACUUGCUAUAUGUUCUGUUAAAUGAACUAUAGUCGCGUUGGACAAAUUGCACAUCCACUCCUCGUACAAAGUGAGGUUGUUGUACUCCACUACAUAUUAAGAUCAAAUAUAAAAUAUACAAGGAAGUAAUUUCAUUUAGCUACAAUUGUUUGUGCCAAAAUCUUUUUGAAGCCAAUAUACCACAUCUUGUUAUGUAUUGAAUACAUAUAAUCAAUAAAAUCAAUAGAUGGGUGAUGUUCUGAUACAAAAUGAACAUGUAAAGAUUAUCAUCUUUUGUAAUUAGAGCCCAUGGUACCGAUGGUCUAAAGAUGUUUAGUACAAUGACGAUGAUAUGGUGGACAUGCUCCAUUGACUAAAAGGGAGCACACUGAAUUUACUUUAUGGAUUUUUUAGCUACCUUAAAUAUAAGAGAGUCCUCCAAAAUUAAUUCAUUGGCUAGAAUGAAUGUUCAUGCUAUUUUUGUCAUAAUUAAACUAUACAUGGUUAUAAUAUGUACUAAUAAUAUCAAUAAAUCGCAACAUAUUCCGGAUAACCAAAUCUCAACAAAAUAUAUAUACUGCAAGCAAUUCCAAAAUAUAUAUACUACGUAGUAUAUAUAUAGUACGUAGUAUACAUUCAUUGCAAGAAAAUCUCAACAAAAUGUUGGAAUUAAAAUUUCUUUUUAGAUUCAUAUAUAGGGAUGGGGUGUGGGGGCUCACCAGCAGGGGCAGUUGUGGCGUCGUGGGCGGCAGGGCCGGGGGUGUUGGGGCGGCGUCGGGGGCGAUGUGGCGGCGGCGGCGGUGGGUGUCGGGGGAGGAGUGGAAGAGAAGAAGAGAGUAAGAGAGUGAGAGAGAGAGAGAGAGGGUCGGGGUGGGGGCGGGACGGCCGUUACAAAAUACUACAGCUUUGUCGUCCGCUGGCUGACGACAAAGGGUCUAGACUCUUUGUCGUCUGCCUCCGGACUCUUUGCCGUCCGCCAGCAGACGGCAAUGAAGGUACUGUAGUUUGACCUAGCGUUCCCUCGGUCAGGUGGGCCCAGUCCAAAGCUUUGCCGUCAGCUGUCCUAAUCUUUACCGUCAGCCACUGACGGCAAAGAAGUGACUCAUGGCAAAGACAUUCUACGCCAUCAGCCUGUUCUUUGCCGUCAGCUUUUUGGCAGCGGACGGCAAAGACACUCUUUGCCGUCAGCUAGCUGACGACAAAAACCUGAAUUCCACUAGUGUAGGUAGUACUACUUCCUUUGGGGUGUGUAAAUCGAAACUCUUUGUUUAGACCGGGAACCAUAUUGGCGAAAUUCGUCCAAACCCUGCCAGGCAAAGAAAAUGAGUACUUCAUAUCAGGAAAUUAACGAAAGUUGCAUUGCCGAUAUGGUCUCGGUACAUUGACUGAACUUACUUCUUGAGCAUUGCAGUAAUGUUCUCAUAAUCCUAUUCGGCUUUAUGUCUCGAGUCUAAGACAUUUACUACUGCCCUGCCAACGUCAAUGAUAGCAGAAUAAAGUGGUCUCUGCGCACGCAUAUAUAACUCUUCAAUUAUAUUACUUAAUUAACAUCGAGUAAGCGAAACCGAGUUUACAAAGAAGACAACAACACUCACUUGAAGUUGUAAGGAAAUAUUAUUUCCACUUUUUUUAUGUAUAAGGAACGAGUUUAGCAAUUUCUCCUCGGUCUCUUUGAUUGAGUUUCGUACCGUCAAUUCAUUUACACCAUCUGGGAUAAUGAACCCAACGUCGACGAUUCCUGCUUUUUUUAAUUCGACCAACCGGGACUAAAGGAGGAUACGAACGUUUGUAUGAACGCUCGCCACCACACAUGAGUCCCGGUUUGAUCCACCAACCGGGACUAAAGGGGAUACAAACGGUUGCCGGCCUAUUAGUCCCGGUUCUUGACUGGAACCGAGACAAAAGGGGUGAGACGAACCGGGACCAAUGUCCCACGAUACCCGGCCGGCGCCCUGGCCUCACGAACCGGGACCAAAGCACCAUAGGUCCCGGUUCGUACUUGAACCGGGACUAAUAGGAUUUCAGGACCUGGACUAAAACCCUCUUUUCUACUAGUGCAACAUGAAUCCUUUCGAAGAUCUGUCGUGCGUAGCACAAGUCAAACAAACAUGACACAUCGUAGCACAUGUCGGCCAGGGAUUACUUGACAUCUCCAUCGAAGCUCCUUGCAAAACGAAGUCGCUCCAUCUCUUGCCUCUAUCUUCCAACGCUGCUCCACAAAUGUUGCUCCAAGAAAGAAACGAUAUCGUAGUGCUGCCAUCGUCCAAUCUGGGAGAUCAAAUCCUAGGAUUUCCUCCGAAGCAGCACGAGUUGAUCGACAGUAGUUACUCGAUGAUGCCUUCAUCAACGUAAUGGUGCAGAACGCCGCCAUCGCCCGGCGCCGGCUUGGUUUUCACCGUCAAGUAUGUCUCCCCAACUCGCAGUGAGGACGGCAUGAUGGAUCUGGACAUCCAACAACCCACCCUUAGGCGGACCACCUCUGACGAAGAAGAAUACCACCAGCGCCAAGUCCAGCCUCCAUGAUGAGAAGGGCCAUCAAACUCCAGCACCAUCAGUUGUCGUGCCCGACGCGAGGCCAUGCACAACCACCAACGACAUAUCACGAUCUCCUCGAGGAUGCCUCCCCGACCUGCCUGGGGGCUAAUCCAAGGCCGAGCACAGGCGACCGGACCAAGCCGGCGAGCAGCUCCAAGGGGAUCCCGCACCACUCCGUCCAGCCAAGGUGCCACCACCCCCCGCGCCAUCCAGAACCGGUAGGUCGGUCGCCGGCUACCGAAGCCAUCACCACCAGGCAUCCCUCCUCGUGCAACCCUCCAAGCCCGCCACUGUGGCAGCCAAGUUCUGGCUAGUGUAGAUUGCCUCACAACGAUCCCGCCUCACGAGAAGGAGAGAGUGCGCCGCCGUCGACCACGCCGGGCGGGUUUCGCCCGCCUACAUGCCCGGGCGGCGGCGAGGGGAGGGAAGGGGGAGGAGGGUCACUGUCCAGUGACGGCUAGGGUUUCCUCCCCUGCCGUCCGUAGGAACGCCAAAGGAGAAGUCGUAACUCGUCGUCUUGUCUUAUAAAAAUGGGGAGAAUUUCUGUUUCUGGCCUCUGCACCAACUAGGAAUGCAAACAUCCAUAUUAGUAUGAGUACGAAGAUAAACAUGAUCCUUAGGAUUUUUUUAAAAUGAGGAUCUAUUGGGGAACGUUGCAUGGGAAACAAAAAAUUUCCUACGCACACGAAGACCUAUCAUGGUGAUGUCCAUCUACAAGAGGAGAUUUGGAUCUACGUACCCUUGUAGAUCUCACAGCAGGAAGCGUUAAGAAACGCGGUUGAUGUAGUGGAACGUCCUCACGUCCCUCGAUCCACCCCGCGAUCCGUCCCAUGAUCCGUUCCGAUCUAGUGCCGAACAAACGGCACCUCCACGUUCAGCACACGUACAGCUCGAUGAUGAUCUUGGCCUUCUUGAUCCAGCAAGCAAGAUGGAGAAGUAGAUGAGUUCUCCAACAGUGUGACGGCGCUCCGGUGGUGGUGAGGAUCUACUCCUGCAGGGCUCCGCCCGAGCUCCGCAAAAAUACGAUCUAGAGGUAAAACUAUGGUGUCUAGAUCUGAGUUGCACAUGGCAAAAGUUGUCUCAAAUCAGCACUAAAUCACCAUUAUAUAUAGGAGGGAGGGGGAGGAGGCUUGCCUUGAGGGCCAAGCCCUCAAGGGUGCGCCGGCCAAGGGAGAGGAGGAGUCCUACUCCAAUCCUAUUCCAAUUAGGAUUGGAAAGUGGAGUCCUUCUCUUCCUUCCCACCUCUCUUUUUUUUCUUUGGUUAUCUUUUCUUGGCGCAUAGGCCCUCUUGGGUUGUUCCACAAGCCCACUAAGGGCUGGUGCGCCACCUCUAAGGCCAUUGGGCUUUCCCCGGGUGAGUUGCCCCCCUCCUGGUGAACUUCCGGAACCCAUUCGUCACUCCCGGUACAUUCUCGGUAGUGUCCGAAAACCUUCCGGUAACCAAAUGAAGUCAUCCUAUAUAUCAAUCUUCGUCUCCGGACCACUCCAGAAACCCUCGUGACGUCCGUGAUCUCAUCUGGGCCUCCGAACAACAUUCGUAACCACACAUAUAACUCAACUAUACUAAAACAUCAUCGAACCUUAAGUGUGCAGACCCUGCGGGUUCGAGAACUAUGUAGACAUGCCCCGAGGUACUCCUCGGUAAAUAUGCAAUAGCGGGACCUGGAUGCCCAUAUUGGAUCCUACAUAUUCUCCGGAGAUCUUAUCAGUUGAACCUCAGUGUCUAGGAUUCAUAUAAUCCCGUAUCUCAUUCCCUUUGUCCUUCGGCAUGUUACUUGCUCAAGAUUCGAUCGUUGGUAUCCGCAUACCUAUUUCAAUCUCGUUACCGGCAAGUCUCUUUACUCGUUCAGUAAUACAAGAUCCCGUGACUUACACUUAGUCACAUUGCUCGCAAGGCUUGUGUGUGAUGUUGUAUUACCGAGUGGGCCCCGAGAUACCUCGCCGUCACAUGGAGUGACAAAUCCCGGUAUUGAUCCAUACUAACUCAACGGACACCUUUGGUGAUACAUGUAGAGCACCUUUAUAGUCACCCAGUUACGUUGUGACGUUUGAUGCAAACAAGGUAUUCCUUCGGUGCCAGUGAGUUAUAUGAUUUCAUGGUCAUAGGAACAAAUACUUGACACGUAGAAAACAAUAGCAAUAAAACGACACGAUCAAUAUGCUACGCUCAUAGUUUGGGUCUAGUCCAUCAUAUGAUUCUCCUAAUGAUGUGAUCCAGUUAUCAAGCAACAACACUUCGCACAUAGUCAGAAAACCUUGACUAUCCUUGAUCAACUGGCUAGCCAACUAGAGGCUUGCUAGGGACAAUGUUUUGUCUAUGUAUCCACACAUCUAUCUAUGUUUUCAUUCAAUACAAUUAUAGCAUGGAUAAUAAACGAUUAUCUUUAAACAGGAACUAUAAUAAUAACUAUUUAUCAUUGCCUCUAGGGCAUAUUUCCAACACUAUCAAGAUAUUUCUUCACGAGUAGUUCCACCACACACCAAAUUUGACCCUCAAUAAAUGGGGGAAAACCCCCACGCAUCACCUGUCAAUUCUAGGAAUGAAACUCGGAUCGUUAGGCUGCACAACCGCAUACCCAACCACUGAUCCAAGUCUCUUUGUUCACCACAACCGAUUCCUAUAGACGAAGACAUCCCAAACACUAGUAGAAAAAGGGCCUUUAGUCCCAGUUCGGUUGGGCCAUUAGUCCCGGUUCGCGAACCGGGACUAAUCAACCGGGACUAAUGCUAGCCCCGGUUCGGCCCCGAACCGAGGCUAAUGACCUUCCACGUGGGGGGCUGGGAGCGAGCGGGGAGGGGUAUUAUUACCGGUUCGUAUUACGAACCGGACUAUUUCUUUGCUGUUUUUUUUGAGCAAUUUUUGGGUUUAGGGUUUUGCACUAAAUUGGAUGGGGCUGUUUUGCUGCCACCUAUUUUCCCAUUUAUUUGUUUUGGGCAUUUUUUUAUUUUUGUUUUGCACUAGAUUUGAUAGUACAUACACAUCAAUAAAGGAAAAAUUAUAUUGCACAUCUCAUCCGUCGUGCUUUGUCGAACAUAGUUACAGAAUAUAGACACGAGUUACAUGCACAUAUAUGCAUCUUUUUUACACUAUAUCAUUUCAUAUCAUUUCCGUCGAAUGACAAUAGUAUUCUAAUCGACCAUCUAACAACUCAUCAUCAUCUUAAUCAUAUGCCAAGUUAUCAUAUGAUACACAUAAAGUAAAACAUAGAAACAUCAUAAUAGUCAUCAUAUGCAUGCAUUCUAAUCGAUCAUGUCAAGUUAAUAUAAACCAGAAUAACUUGUCUCUCAUAAGACCUAGUCCUCUCUCUUAGGUAUAAUGUCAUAAAACAGAAUAACACCUAUGUCUCCAUGAUGAAGCACACAGAUCCAACGGUCUCCAAUUUGUGGCUUGCGAUCCUUCUUUAUUUCUCUCCAUGCUUCAAUUUGGAGCUUUUUUAUCUUGAUUUGAGGUUACUCGAGUAUGGAGCAUCGAACUCACCCCUCAGUGGGUUUUAAUUUUCAUUUGACCUUCUAGGUGCAUGAACAGAGGCACUAUAUCAUGUGGCAGUUGCUGUUGAAUAACAUAAUAAUAACAUAAUAAUAACCUAGUUAGCAAUGUAAUCAACACCAUUUAUGCAAUAGUAGAGCGUACUAAAUUAGGAAACUCUUACUAAGAUAUUUCGGCGAAUGUCAUCCGGCCUCAACCUAUGCACUAGUGGCAAGUAAAAUGUAUAAUCUUGGCCAAUUCCAAAAUUAUACGGGAAGGUAUCCCUAGCACUACUAGGAAAAGGCUUGCUAAUGGCGCACCUAUUUUUGCUACUAAUGGCGCACUAUAGGUGCGCCACUAGCAUCACGCCAUUAGAAUUUUUUACUAAUGGCGCACCACAGGUGCGCCAUUAGUAUCUGGUAUACUAAUGGCGCACCAGGCAGUGCGCCAUUAGUAUAGCUCAUGGUGCGCCAUUAGUAUGCCUCCCAGGUGCGCCAUUAGUAUGCUUCUCAGGUGAGCCAUUAGUAUGCCUCCCAGGUGCGCCAUUAGUAUGCCUCCCAGGUGCGCCAUUAGUAUGCCUCUCAGGUGUGCCAUUAGUAUAGCUCAUGGUGCGCCACAGGUUAUACUACCAGCUCUAAAAAUAUUCAAUUAUUAUCCUCACACCCACAAGAAGGUUCAAGAUAAACACAUAUUACACCACAAUGAAAAUAUGUUUAUAAACAUGCACAUACAUUUAACACAGGUUGACAAACAAAUUAACCUAGAGGAAGCAUAGUUUUGACCAUCUUAACAAUCAUCUAGAACAUACAAGUCACGCUCAUGCAGGACAGUUCCCUUUUCGUGUCGAAGCUCAUCCAACAGCCCUCGAUGCCACAAGUGUACCCUUCGACGCGCAUCAGAUGAUCUCUUGGAGUCCUCUCCUCUCCUGUAGCCUUCUUCAGCUGCUUCGUCGUUUCGGUGUGAACCUCGCGGUGCUGCAGUACAUGCUUGUGCGUGAUGAACUUCUUUCCACAGCCAUCCACCGGGCAGAUGUGGCGCUCAUGCAGGGACAGUUCAUUCUUCGUGUUGAAGCUCAUCGAACAACCCUCGAUGUUGCACGUGUACCCUUCGACACGCAUUGGAUCAUCUCUUGGAGUCCUCUCCUCCCCUGUGGCUUUCUUCAGUUGCUUCAUCGUUUUGGUUCUGGUUAUGUGCUUACGCCCAAACAACUCCAGCAUAGUGGCAGGGCCCACAGAAGGACCCCCCUUGGCAGCAGAUGGGUGCUCCUCAUCAUCCUUUGGAGCAGCUGGAGCCAUCAUCUUGCUGUCUCCUUUGCUCGUCUUCAUCUGCUUCUUUGCUUCAGCCUCAAUCUUCUUUGGUGGCCCUAUUCGCGAAUGGGAAGUGGCCUUUGGCUUCGGAUGGCAAGCAGGGUCAUCAAGUCUGUAUCACAUCGGAAACACAAUAGGGUUGUGGUAGUUUUGACCAGCCUGCCUUCUCCUCUAUCAAACUGUCCUCCAGAGUGAGUCACACCAUGUUGUCAUUCGCAUGCUAGCAACUUUCAACUCCUCAAACACGCCACUGAGACAAGCCUCUGCAAAGGCAGUCCAACCAAAAUUAAAUUGUGAGAACAUGGCACUAUCUAUAGUUUUUUUUUUCAUUUACUAACACAUUAUUCAUGGUUGCACACCGGAAGAUGAUAACCUGGUUACCAAAACAGUAAGAAUGCACUACAAAUGGCUCAGUUUUACUCACUGAGAGAUCAAGCAAACAGAAAAAGCUGCAAGAAUAUUCAGUGUGUCCAUUUAGAAUAACCAAAAAGGAAUGGGCAUAUCAUACAUGACAGCAUGCUUAUGCCAAAAAACAAGAAUGUUCAUAGCAAAUAAAGAAUGCACAAACUAACAACAUACCAUCAGACUAAUAUCGAUUAGAAAAAUGUUGAGGUGAGAAACAUUUAUUCAAGCUUUGGGACAACACAGAGAUGAAUGGAUAGAUACCUUGGAUCCAGAAGCUGCUGCAGACAGGGGAAGCUCCAGGGGCGUGGGUUGUGGUCGUACAUGAUCUCCAACUGCCUGACAAGGCUCAUGCAACCCAAGAAAGGAAAGAGGCCUUGGUGAGGUGACGAAUCUGCAGCAGACAGUUCUAGACAAAAACAUAAACGUUUCAUAUAACUAGAAUAAAACUAACACAGACUUAUUUAUUCAUAGGUGGAACGGUAUUCUAUUUCCGAUGCAGGAAUAAAUCAAUUUAACCUGGAUAAUUGACACUUGGAGCUAAUUGUACUUCUUAGAAUUAAAAACUUUAUUGCCUAGCAUAUUUAAGGAAGACUAAAUAUACAGUAGCAUGAAGUCAGGCCGGAAUGGUCAAUCACUAUGCCGGUAAAGCUAAUAGUACUCGUAAUUACACUAAAAGAAAUAAAAUUGCUGCUAGAGGUGAGGAAUAUAAAUUUAGGUAAACAACGUAUGUAGAAUAGCCAGAAUCUGAAUGACCACGUACUCAAAGUCUGCAAGACCAUCGUUUGUAAUCUGACUGGAAGUAUAACCAGUCUGAAAAAAUAUAAAGAGAGGAGGGCAAUUAACUUUCUGUUUCUAACGCAUGCAUAUGUAUGAUGGUUUUGCCUCCGUCCUAGAUUGGUAGCACAGCUGCUUAAAAGAAACACAAUAUUCUAACACGGGGACAAUGAAAAAUUAUGUUUCUCAAAACAGUCAUUUUUUUCCAGAUUUUGUAAGGGAUCGCCGGUGACACAAUAGGACUUAUGAGAAAAAAGCAAAGUGUGGGCAGCAACGAGAUGCUCUGCAUUUCUCUCCUCAGAAAAAAAAGAUUGGGAACUCUGUUUCAAAUACCAUGGAAGAACACAGUUUCAGCAACACUAUGGUAAGCGCAUCAACGUAUAUACGACUAAUGAGGUUCCUCUGUACAACAGAAUUUUUUUCAGGAUCUCUAGUUACCUUUGGCAUGACUAAAAAAUAGAGAGGAUACUUGGGGAUACUUGGCUUCAAUAAAAGAUAGGGUGACAAUGUAAGUGAUCUGCAAGAUAAGACACAUCCUGGACUUUACCCCACUAGUUAGUGUAUGAUCGGAAAGAUCAAGCACUUUCACUCUGAAAAUAUCAACCAGACCCAUCAUCUGCAUGUAAAAUUAAAGACCAUCCCCAAACCACUCGAACUGAAAGAUGUAAAUUUGAGCAUCACAUGCACAAAUUAGAAUCUAUAAGCUUUUACCUCGAGAGUCAAGACCUGUUAAUGAUUUUAGCCAUAAGCCGAGCUCUAGAUGAUUUUAGCCAUAAGAGUCAAGAGUCAAAAUCUAUAAGCUUCAAUACAAAUCAAUAACCCCAACCUACAGGUAAUUGAAUCAAAAUGACAAAACAACUAUCAUGAACAUGGGGGUGCUUUAGACGAUGUGCAUGGCAGCAUCCGGGGGAAUAGAGGAGUGGAGAUGGCUCACCAUUGGGGAGCUUUAGACGAUGCAGUGCACUGCCAUCAUGCCGUGGAAGGAGCAGCGAGACGUCGCCUCAUCGAAGAGGGCGGGAGAGCAUAGGCGAUGGCUGAGUAAUGAAAGGUAUUAUGAGCAUCAGAACAGGUUUGAAGAACAUAACUCCGAAUGUAUUUUGAAAGUGCUAAGCCAAACAAUCAGUAGCAGCUAACAAGUCGGUACUUUAUGAAAUUUCUGACGAACUCGGAAUAAAAGUAUAUGUCCAGAACUACGUAGUGAUGUAUGUCGACAUGUCACAAGGUACUGCUGCUUGCAGUUCAAACUUAUUAAGAUUACCACAACUUGAAAAGUAACAGAAUGCAAAGUAAUCACAAUAACAAGAAACCACCAAGGAGUCUAAAUCCAAAUAUUGCCAAAUAAUAAGGGCAUUUCAAGUAAUACCAUGGACCGUUGAGCUGAAAAUAUCGAAUUCAUCACAACCACAUAUCUACAGAUAAUCUGGUUAAGUAAGAAUAAGUACAGGAAAAUAUAUAUGUGCAUACAAAUACAGUACUGAUGAACAAGUAUGCGUACUGUUCAGGUCCGUCAGGAUAACCCUGCACACACAAAAUCUGUAUUUCAUGUUAGCAUAAGACAUGGUGUACACUACUAGAUAUCUGAGGUAGCUAGCUAGGAACUUAAGGGCUUGUAGUAAUCUGUACUUUCUUUCUCCUGGAGUGGGCAAUGGGAGUGAUUGUGUUCAGUUCAUCAUAAUAAGAACACAAAUAUAUGUUGUCUAAUCACAAGCUCUAAAAACACAAACUCUGAAAAAAAAGGAACUCUGAAAGCACAAUCUCUGGAACUCAAAACUUAACCUUGUUUCUAGGAAUUCAAAUUUGACAUUACAUUGUCCAAGAGUAAUUCUGCAAAACAAACCUGACCUCAUUUUGGUACAACAACAAAGUUGAGAUGCUGCUGCUAAAUGUUACAAACUACGAUAAUGCCCGGUGUCGCAUGAUCGAAACUCGAGAUGUAAGGUGGUUUUUCAAUGACUUACAGUAGAUGAUAGCUGCAUUUGCUCGCUGAAAAACCACCUACACGGCUUACACCUAUCUCGAAUUUUGAUCAUGCGAGGGACGAACAGAACAUCACUAGUUCUGAACUUGGUUGCAGAGGUCAAGUACAAUCUGUGCGAUUCUCGGCUUGGGUAUAGGCUUGGCCAGGUGAAGAUCCAUCCCUGCCUCCAUGGCGUCCUGCAGCCCCUUCUCCACAGAAUUCGCGGUCAGCGCGAUGAUCGGAGUGCGUAUGCCGUAGCGGCUUUCUUCCUCGCGGAUGCGCCUCGUCGCCUCAUAGCCAUUCAUCACCGGCAUCUCAAACAAACAAGAACAAUAUAGAGUUUCCAGCACUGUCAGGUCAAAUCGGAAUUUACCCGCUACGUGCGUCUGCAAUACAGCCGCCGCGUGCAGCAGCACCGUCAACGAGGCAGAGCCGCCCGUGGGACUUCCGGUGGGCGUUGGAGAGAGCGGAACAGAGUCGCCAGCGCCGCACCGGACUCGUGGGCGAGCUCUCCAGGCCACGAGAGGCGGAUCUGGACGGGGGGUAGGGAAUAGCGGCGGCACGGGAGCUCGGAUCUAUUCGCUGCGCCGACGAGGUCCACCGGAACGCGCUGGAAUCGAGCGGCGUAGGCAGCGGCGGCGAGGGUUUCGUGGGGUGGGGAGGGAGAGACGCACGAGAUAGAGAGAGGGAGGGUGUGCGGUGGGUUUCUGAUUCGUUUAUUUUGUUUUUUUCCUUCUCUUUAGUAGUGGCGCACCACCUACAUAUGCGCCAUUAGUAACCCUGGUUAAUAAUGGCGCACCUCCUCUGGUGCGCCAUUAGUAGUUCUGCAAAAAGAAAGUAGUGGCGCACCACCAACAGAUGCGCCAUUAGUAACACUGGUUACUAAUGACGCACUAGCUUUGGUGCGCCAUUAGUAGUUUGCAAAAAAAAAACCAAAAAAAAUUAUAGUAGUGGCGCACUACUAACAGAUGCGCCAUUAGUAAGCAAGUUACUAAUGGCGCACCAGCUGCUGGUGCGCCAUUAGUAGUUUUACAAAAAAAAUAAAAAUAAAAAAAAUAUAGUAGUGGCGCACCGUGAGUGUGGUGCGCCAUUAGUAUCCACCACACUAAUGGCACACCUCACAUGAUGCGCCAUUACUAUAUAGUAGUAGCGCACUGCUUGUGUGGUGCGCCAUUAGUAUCUAUAUCAUCUAUAGCCCUUUUCCUAGUAGUGUAGAAACCAGAACACCAACAAGAAAGUGGGGAAGAACAUCCUUCUCCUCCCAAGUUAGAUGUCAUCCAUACAUGUAGUGUGUCAUGUCAAUUAAUUCCGUAGUUCACUCGAAGAAACGAAAUAAGCUAUAAAUUAUAAUUUAAAAAAAUUAGUAUAUGGAUGAACACCAACUAUUUCUAAAUAUAAAUGCAAAUUACUUGACAAAUAUUGUUGAGGAACUCACAUGGAGGUAAAACAGGAAGCAUAUCGACAACCACCCAAAUAUCGAUGUUGCCUGGCAUAUUAUCUUCAGGACGAUGAUCGAAGGUUAUUUCCAUACCCUCGUGAAAUCCAUAUGCCUUGCAAAGAUCUUCCCAAUUCGGGCACCCAAAUUCUGUUUGAAAAACUGAAUUAAAUACUUUGAUAACAAAUGUGUGACCAUGUAUAGUCCUCGGGUUAGCGCUCCUCAUCUCAAUUCUCUCGUGGUCUUCGAAGCCGAGCCUCUCCAACACAUAUCUUUUUGCAUGUCAAGGGAGGAACAUAUCUCCAUUCUCGUCAAGCUUCAUGCUGAAGAACCUAUCGUCUCGCAGGUGAGGCGUGUCGCACAUACCCCGAAAGUCACUGCAAUAUUCACACUCCCAAUAUUCAUCGUCAGACAUUUCCUGUUUUAAUUUGGUAAAUGUGUAAACAACAACCGUGACACUAUAUCGAAAGAUUUGAACAUCUAUAUAUAAACAUAGGCCACUCGAACAUUCCGGCAAAAGUUAGCACAACUUAGCAAGCAAAAGUGAGAAACUCACUACUUUUUUAUGCAUUAACACCAACAAAAGGAUGAUAUUUAGGUUGGUGAAAUAUGUAUGUGCCCUUUUUCCUCUCCAAAGUUUAAAUGAGUUGUUUGAAACCAUUGGUUGUCUAAUUCAAACCUAAUGUGCCUACUUACAUGAAAUUUACAAACAUGAUUUUUUUUCCUUCUUUCUAGUUAGCCCAUCAAAAGAUCUUCAACAAACAUAUCUUGAUUUUCUUAUUAACAUGCAUCUCAAGAUGACAUCUUGAACCGAUGGCCCUAAAAUCAAAAUGGCAGCGGCCUUGGGAUGCCUAGAGCGGGACGGGAGGGGCAGCGGCGCCUGGAGGGGCGUGGGGGGCUUACCGGAGCGGGAUGGGGAGGGGGCUUACUAGAGCGGGAAAGGGGAAGGGGGCUUACAAGAGCGGGAGGGGAGGGGGCGGCGGUGACGGCGAGGGAGGAGACGGUGACAACGACGACGACGACAGCGAGGGAGGCGGCGACGGGGAGGAGUACGGAGACAGCGACGGCGUCAGGAAAGAGUUGUGCAACCUCACGACGUCGAGGGUUCGUCCGCGUCGCAAGGAGGAAGAAGCUCGAACCGACAAUUUGGACAUCACAAAUUUCCAACUCCCGCUUAUAUAGGCGGAGCUUUGGUCCCAAGUCGUGGCUCGAACAACGACUAAAGACCCCCUUUAGUCCCGGGUCGAGCCACGACCAAGGACUAAAGACCCCUUUUCAGCAGUCGGAGUGGCGGGAAACGAGGGUCUUUAGUCCCGGGUCGUGGCUCGACCCGGGACUAAAGGUGGUCUUUUGUCCCGGUUCGCCACGACCCAGGACUAAAGACCUUAGGCUGGCGGCAGUUCAAAGUUUAGUCCCACCUCGCUUGUCGAGAGGUGCUGCGACUGGUUUAUAAGCCCCGAUGCCCCCAACCGUCUCGAGCUCCUCUCUAAAGCAGGCUUACGGGCCUAAACGCACUCUAAAUUUAAAAAUUGAAAAUAUAUGUGAAAUUAAAAACAAAUCACUUUAAAUUUGGGUUGAAUUUUCUCUAUAAAUUCUCAUAUAGUUUCAAUUUUUUUCCGUUAUUUUUGUUUUGUUGUUUGCUUUAUUUAUUUUGUUUUUUUCUACUUACAUCUAAAUAUUUAGUUUUCAAAGUUGAUUUCUUUAAAAUUUGUGAAUAACUUUACUUUCAUUUUUUGCUAUUAAAAGAUUUUUUUCUCUUCUAUUUUAGUUUUCUAUUAAAGAUUUUAACCAAAAAACUUUAUGAAAAUUCUUACUUUAUUUGGUAUUUUUUGUGCAUUUACUUAUUUUUUUGAGCUAGUUGACCCUGAAAUUGAAAAGCACUACAAAUGAACUCUGAAAUGUUGAAAGUUGGCAUGGUAUCAUCAUUUCACCCACAUAGUAUGUGCUAAAAAGUUAAGAGGGUUUCGACAAAAACUGAAUGCACUUCGUGUACAAAACGGAUAAUCUCUCUCGAAGUAUCACGUUUUCGAACGAGAACUCAUCUAUUACAAAGGGAUUUUAUUUUUUUGAACUUAUUUGAACUCCAUACGUUUUGUGUGUUCAAAAUGCACCAUUCAAAGGCACAUCAGAAAUCUUCAACAAUUUCUUACUUCAUUUGGUAUUUUUUGUGCAUUUACUUAUUUUUUUAGAGCUAGUUGACCCUGAAAUUGAAAAGCACUACAAAUGAACUGUGAAAAUGUUGAAAGUUGGCAUUGGUAUCAUCAUUUCACCCACAUAGCAUGUGCUAAAAAGUUGAGAGAGUUCCGACAAAAACUGGAUGCUCUUCGUGUAUAAAACGGACAAUCUCCCUCGAAGUAUGAGGGUUUCGAACGAGAACUCAUCUAUUACAAAGGGAUUUUAUUUUUUUGAACUUAUUUUAACUCCAUACUUUUUUUGUGUUCAAAAUGCACCAUUCAAAGGCACAUUACAAAUUUUCAACAAUUUCUUACUUCAUUUUGUAUUUUUCGUGAAUUUACUUAAUUUUUUGAAUUAGUUUACCCUGAAAUUGAAAAGCACUACAAAUGAACUCUAAAAUUAUUGAAAGUUGGCAUGGUAUCAUUAUUUCACCCACAUAGCAUGUGCUAAAAAGUUGAGAGGGUUUCGACGAAAACUGAAUGCACUUCAUGUACAAAAUGGACAAUCUCUCUCGAAGUAUUAGCGUUUCGAACGAGAACUCAUCUGUUACAAAGGGAUUUCAUUUUUUUGAACUUAUCUGAACUCCAUAUAAUUUGUGUGUUCAAAAUGCACCAUCAAAGGCACAUCACAAAUUUUCAACAAUUUCUUAAUUCAUUUGGUAUUUUCGUGCAUUUACUUAUUUUUUGAGCUAGUUGACCCUGAAAUUGAAAGGCGCUACAAAUGAACUCUGAAAAUGUUGAAACUUGGCAUGAUAUCAUCAUUUCACUCACAUAGCAUGUGUUAAAAAGUUGAGAGGGUUUUGACAAAAACUGGAUGCACUUCGUGUACAAAACGGACAAUCUCUCUCUAAGUAUCAGGGUUUAGAACGAGAACUCAUCUUUUAAAUAAGGAUUUUAUUUUUUGAACUUAUUUGAACUCCAUACUUUUUGUGUGUUCACAUGGUAUAAGGAAAAGCACUACAAAUGAACUCUGGAAAUGUUGAAAGUUGGUAUGAUAUAAGGAGAAGAAGGAGAAACGACCCCCACAACAACAGUCGGCAUUCUUCUUCUCUCAUAUAUGAUGGACACUCCCUCACCGAUUUUUGGACCGUGGAUGAUGGUCGCUACUCCUACUUCCCCUAGUUCAUUACAAAUAUCUAGCACAAGGAGAAAAAGGAGAAACGACCCCCAUAACAACAGUCGACAUUCUUCUUCUCUCAUAUAUGAUGGAUACUCCCUCACCUGAUUUUUCGAUCGUCGAUGAUGGUCACUACUCCUACUUCCCCUAGUGAAAAACAAAUAUCUAGCACAAGGAUAAGAAGGAGAAGCGACCCCCACAAUAACAGUCGGCAUUCUUCUUCUCUCAUAUAUGGUGGACACCUCCUCACCGAUUUUUCGAUCGUCAAUGAUGGUCGCUACUCCUACUUCCCCUAGUGCAUAACAAAUAUCUAGCACAAGGAGAGAAGGAGAAGCGACCCCCACAACAACAGUCGACAUUCUUCUUCUCUCAUAUAUGAUGGACACUCCCUCACCGAUUUAUCGACCAUCGAUGAUGGUCGCUACUCCUACUUCCCCUAGUGCAUAACAAAUAUCUAGCACAAGGAGAAGAACGAGAAGCGACCCCCACAACAACAGUCGGCAUACUUAUUCUCUCAUAUAUGGUGGAUACUCCCUCACCUGAUUUUUUGACAGUCGUUGAUGGUCGCUACUCCUACUUCCCCUAGUGCAUAACAAAUAUCUAGCACGAGGAGAAGAAGGAGAAGCGACCCCCACAACAACAGUCGGCAUUCUUUUUCUCUCAGAUAUGGUGGAUAGUCCCUCACAAAUCACUCUACUUCUAGAGCAUUUGAAAUGAGCUAAACUAGUAGUGACACAUGAAACGAUGAAGUAGCUAACCUUUCAAAACAAUUGUGCAGUUGGUGCAUGGCCCAACCUAGAAAAAUAUUAAGGAAAAUGGAGCUUGGAGGUCGAGUUUGGAGAGGAGAAAGCUUAAGUAGUGUGACUCGGGCAUUUCAUCGAACACCUCAUGUGCAUGAACUAAAAUGGCAAGAGCAUGGCAUGGGCACACCUCAACACCAAAAAAACAGAGGAGAGGGUGGGCAGGGGUGAGGGCUUAUAUAGGUAACAUAGUAGUCCCGGUUCGAAGCAAAAACCGGGACUAAUAUCCUACCCUUUAGUCCCGAUUCUUGUCACAAACCUGGACUAAUGCUCCGCGGCACGCCAUGUGGCAGUCGCUGGAUCUUUAGUCCCAGGUUUUGCUCCGAACCGGGACUAAUGAGGUGAACCGAACCGGGACCAAUGCCUCGCAUUGGUCCCGGUUUUCGUUUGAACCGGGACUAAUGGUCUUUCAGCCGAAAGAUCAUUUUUCUACUAGUGAAAGCAAGUGAAUCUGGGUUUGAGGUGCAUUAGAUAUAUUCAAGCACGAUGGAGCCGGACCUGUCUACAACAAGGGCAUUUUCAAUAACGUCAUGGAUACCCAACGCCUCCCAAACUCUUUGAAUACGAGCACAAGUGAAGAGGAGGUGCCAAAUGGCCUCUCGUCCUAUUGAACAGAUCGGGCACUGAGGCACGCUUACUGCAGAAUUUAGUACUUCCGUAGAAUUGAGAUCCUAGUACUUUCCACGGAGAAGUACGGAGGUGACAUAGUUGAGACUGACGAAAUCAGGAUUGCCAGCAAUCAACUCCAGCUUUGGCUGUUGGGAAAACGUGGUUCGAAGUCUACCGAUGCCUCCUACUCCUACAACUACAAGUGAUGGCCAGGAAAAAUACAUCAACCCUUCCAGCUGUUUUGAAAUUGAUGGAUAACAAAGAUAGAGAACUGGUCUAGAUUUCAAGAUUAUUGGCUUGCCAGGUGUGCAUAUGCGUGAGAAGAGUAUGGACUGGUGAAAUGGAUGGGAAGAUGAUGCACUUUUCUUUUAUAUACCGUGUCAGAUAGAAGCGUUCCUACUCCUCGAAAGGAGCCGCGGUGUUUAUUUAUAUUGGGCAAAACCCUUGCCUUGGUUUACAAGAAAGGAAUAGAGAUAUGAUUCGUUUAAGGAAGAGAUAGAGAUAGAUUGAGAUUACAACAAUUAUAUAUCUCUAAGUUUAACACCGUCCCUUAAUCUCAACUAUCCUAUAUUAAGAUUCCUCUUGAACUCCUCGAAUGGUUUAACUGGCAAGGCUUUAGUGAACCCAUCUGCGACUUGAUCUCUGGAGGGAAUGAACCGUAUAUCCAACUUCUUCUCUGCAACCCUUUCUCUGACAAAAUGAAAGUCAAUCUCUAUGUGUUUUGUUCUGCCAUGAAACACUGGAUUUGCAGAGAGAUAUGUGGCUCCUAGAUUGUCACACCAUAAACAUGACACACGAUGCUGUUUAACUCCUAGUUCCUUUAACAAUUAUUCAAGCCAAAUGAUCUCAGCAGUUGCAUUUGCUAAUGACUUAUAUUCGGCCUCAGUACUUGACCUGGACACUGUGGCUUGUUUUCUAGCACUCCAAGAUAUAAGAUUAGAACCAAAGAAUACUGCAAAACCUCCUGUUGAUCUUCUAUCAUCACUACAUCCUGCCCAGUCAGCAUCAGAGAAGGCACUAACAAGAGUGGAUUUGGAGUGUUUUACCUGAAGACCCAAGCUCACAGAAUAUUUUAUGUAUCUUACGAUUCUUUUGACUGCAGUCCAAUGUAUGCUAGUAGGUGCAUGAAGAUACUGGCAAACUUUAUUAACAGCAAAAGAAAUGUCAGGUCUUGUGAGUGUCAAGUACUUCAGUGCUCCUACUGCACUCCUAUAUUUUGUAAUCUCCUCUUCUUUCAGUGGCUCACCUUCAAAAGCUGAUAGUUUUUCUGAGGAUGAUAAAGGUGUGGAUGAAGGCUUACAGUCCUUCAUUCCCAUUCGAACCAGAAGUUCAGUGGCAUACUUCUCUUGAUUUAGCACUAUGCCAUCUUGAAUUUUCUUAACCUCAAUGCCUAAGAAGAAAUGUAGAUCACCAAGAUCCUGUAAUGCAAACUCUGAACUUAAAUCAUGUAGGAGAGCAUUGGUGGCACUUUGUGAGGAGCUUGCAACUAUGAUAUCAUCAACAUAUACUAGCAAAAAUAUAGUUGUGUUUGCCUUGUUGUAAAUAAAUAGAGAAGUAUCAGCUUUGGAUGCAACGAAACCUAACCGUUUCAACUGUGAACUUAACCUUGAGUACCAUGCCCUUGGUGCUUGCUUCAGACAGAAUGCUUUAUCAAGCCUGCACACAUAAUGAGGUACCUUUUUGUCAACAUACCCAGGUGGUUGUCUUAUGUAAACCUCCUCUUCCAGAACACCAUGCAAAAACGCAUUCCGAACAUCUAGCUGUCUCAAGCUCCAUCCCCUGGAUACGGAUAUAGCUAACACAAGUCUAAUAGUUGCAGCUUUAAACACAGGACUAAAAGUAUCCUCAUAGUCCAAACCAUAUCGUUGUUUAAAACCUUUUGCAACUAGACGAGCUUUAUGCCUGUCAAUGGAGCCAUCUGCUUUCCUUUUGAUUCUGUAAACCCAUUUGCAAUCAAUGACAUUUUUACCUCUCUUUUCUGGCACAAGAUGCCAAGUCUUGUUUCUCAUGAGCGCUGAGUGCUCUUCAUCCAUUGCAUUUUCCAUUUUGGAUCUCUGAGUGCAUCAUCCAAAUUUGCUGGUUCCCCUACUACACAUAACAUGCCAUAUGGAAUAGUGCCAUCAGUUCGAACCUUUGGAUUUUUUAUACCUCUUUGUGACCGAGUCGUGACAUGAGAAGUUGCAACCGGCUAGGUUUUACUUCUUCGUAUUUGCGCUGGUUGAGGCACAGGAGAUGACACAGCCGUCUCGCUCGCAGAAGAUCCCGAGCCCCUGUGAAGAUCGCCGUUCACAGCAGAUCCGGAGGACGUCUGUGUUGCCUGCGGUGUGGCUGAUGUCCCUGAAGAAAUUGCCGCAGAGGAUCCGCCGCUGCCAACCGCCGCAUGCAUGCGCGCAGGCGACAGAGAUCCCGACGCGGGUCCCACCAAAUCUGUUGUCGCUGUCGCGCCUGGCGCGGUCGGCCCGCUCGUGGGACGCGCCAGUGUCGUGCCUGGCACGGUCGGCCUGCACGUGGGACGCGCUGUGCUCCCGCCUGACGUGGAGCUCGCUGAUUGGUGCGGGGCGAUGGAGGCGCUGACUGGCGUACGGGGUCGCGCGCGCACAAGAGUUCCAGGUGCUGCCGCCGCAGCCAGAUCUUCCUCGUGUUCUGCGCCGCCUUCGUCUUCUUCUGCUGCAUGAAAUAUGGGUGGAAAAUCUACAAAAUUUUGAUCAUUUGCUUCACCGUUUUCUGCCCCGAUUUCUCCUGUAGAAUCCUGCACACAUGGAGACAACUUUCUGGUAAUACAAUCAUCAGUUGGGUUAGUACAAUUGUCGCCCCCAUGAUCGGAAUUUUGGAGAUGUGGUGGAAGAAGAAGGAUGGCUUGUUUGAGAAGGGCUCCGGCGUUGGGAUGGAGAGUUGAAAAAGGGAAAAUUGACUCAUCGAAGACCACAUCUCGUGAGAUAUAGACUCGGCCAGUAGAAACAUCUAGGGAUUUGACUCCUUUAUGAAUGGGACUAUAGCCAAGAAAGACACAAUUUUUUGAACGAAACGCAAGUUUGCGUGUGUUGUAUGGCCUGAGAUUGGGCCAACAAGCGCAACCAAAGACACGAAGUGACUUAUAGUCAGGGGAGAUGCCAAAAAGGCGAGUGAUGGGUGUCUCAAAGUUGAUGACUUUGCUAGGUAGAUGAUUUAUCAGGUAGGUGGCGGUUAGAAAAGCUUCAUCCCACAAUUUUAGUGGCAUAGAUGAAUUUGCAAGAAGAGCUAGUCCUACCUCGACAACAUGGCGAUGCUUUCUCUCGGCUGAGCCAUUUUGUUGAUGUGCAUGGGGACAUGCAACAUGAUGUGAUAUACCAAGCUCUUGGAAAAAGAGAUUUAAUUUUCUGUAUUCACCUCCCCAAUCUGUUUGCAUAGCAAUGAUUUUGGUGUUUAGCUUGCACUCAACAAGCUUUUGAAAGUUCUUAGACAUGAAAAACUUCAAAACGUUUCUUGAGAAGAUAGAUCCAUGUGAAUUUGCUAAAAUCAUCAAUAAAGCUAACAUAAUAUGAGUGUCUGCCGACAGAGGUGGGGGCUGGCCCCCAUACAUCUGAAAACACAAGUUGUAGAGGAGCAGUGGAAAUACUAGUAGAGAUAGGGUAUGGUAGUUGAUGACUUUUAGCUUGCUGACAUGGAUCACAAAUAGACUCAACACUAGACUCAUGAGAAUAAGGAAGAUUGUUCUUGUUAAGAACAAAUUUGACAAUAACUAAGGAAGGAUGACCUAGUCUACUAUGCCACUUUGAUGAAGAGGGCUUGACAGCAGCAAGAGCUUGUUUAUUGGAUGGUGUUGAUGAAGAUAUGAGUGGGUAGAGACCUCCCACACAUUUCCCCCUAAGAAGUAUUUUCCUCGUGUCCAAGUCCUUUAUCAAAAAGAAAUAAGGAUAGAACUCAAUGAGAACACGAUUAUCAAGAGUAAACCUAUGAACAGAAAGAAGGUUUUUUGAUGUUGUGGGCACAUAUAGAACUUUGUUAAGAUGAAGAUUUUUCAUGGGGGUUUUAACAAUUGAACUUCCAACGUGAGUGAUUUUCAUACCAGAUCCGUUUGCAGUGUGGACUUGAUCAUGGCCGCGAUACUUGUCUCUAAUCGUCAGCUUGUCCAGCUCGCCUGUGAUGUGGUUGGUGGCGCCGCAGUCGGCAUACCAGUUGGUGUCGAUGCCGUAGGAGUCUGAGGCGAUAUUGGCCUCCUUGUCCUCAUAUUCAUCUUCCUCAUAGCGAUCCCAGCAUUCACGGGCACCUCCGCGAUGAUGCUUGAGACAGAUCUGGCAUUCGGGGUAGUCUCGGUGCGGUGGACGCUGUUGUUGUUGCUGAGACCGACCACCUCUCCUGCCGUUGCCGUUUGGAGAGGAUGACGAGGGUGAGCGUCUCCCUCGACCACGGCCUCUGCUGCCGCGCCCGCGUCCUCUGCCACGUGACUGGCCAUGCCCUCUGUACGCCAUAUUUGCAGAGGUGUUGUAGCCAGCUUCUGGUCCAUCGCCGAGCAUCUCCACCCUUUGAUCAAAGGCGAAGAUUUGAGCGAAGAGUUCGUCGACGGUGAUGGAGGUUUUGACAGCGCCGAUCGCCGCCACAACCGAGUCGUAGUCACGAUCUAGACCGGCAAGGACAUAGUCCACCAUCUCUGGAUCAGAGACAGGCCGACCUGCAGCAGCAAGUUCAUCGCCUAGGCUUUUCAUCUUGGCGAUGUAGGAGGUGCUCGACAUGGAGCCCUUCUUGGUGGUGGCGAUGGCAAUUCUCAAAUUGGUAAUUCGAGAUUGGGACUGCAAAGCAAACAUGGUGAUGAUGGCAGUCCACAAAUCAAAGGUAUUUUCUUUACUCACAACUUGCGCGAGGAUUUCCUUUGAUAAGGAAUUGAGGAGAUGGCUGAGAACUUGUUGGUCUCUGGCCAGCCACGGUGCCUAUCAUUGUCUUGUCCGUCUGCUGCUGCUCCAUUGUUUCUGCGGGCGCUGCAUCGGAUCCAUCCAGGAGACCGGUGACCUGCGCUCCUCGCAGGCCUGGCAUUACUUGGGCUUUCCAUAGGAGGAAAUUCCCCUUGGUUAACUUCUCGGCGGGCGGCGCUCCAAGGUUUAGGGCGACGGUGACCGAAGAAGAGGACAUGGCGAUCGGUGUUGUCGAUCGAUGGGUUUCUGGUGUGGCUAGAUAGAUGGGAAGAGGUUGGCUUUGUAUACCAUGUCAGAUGGAAGCGUUUCUACUCCUCGAGAGGAGCCGCGGUGUUUAUUUAUAUUGGGCAAAACCCUUGCCUUGGUUUAUAAGAAAGGAAUACAGAUAGGAUUCGUUUAAGGAAGAGAUAGAGAUAGAUUGAGAUUACAACAAUAAUAUACCUCUAAGUCUAACGUACCGGACGAGCAACUAGAAGGAUUGUUGAGCAACUUGCUGUCUCGAUGACCUCGCAGUAACUGCAGUGUUAGACCAUGUGUCAUGCGGACCAGAAGUGAUGUCUCAAUGCAAAAGGAUAAAUGCACCUCUUGCCAUGUCACCUACAUAUGACUACAAAGUAUAAUAUUACAUCCGAGCAUCACGAGGUUUCUUUCCCGCUUCCAAUUUCAGACUUCUUCGUGGGCUGAACACAACCAGCUAGAGUCGAUGAAGUUCCUGACAUUUGGUAUUGACUUUUUUUAAGUCGAUCCAAAGGAUCUUAAGUCGAAAAGAAACUGAACAAUUUACCGGUUAAAUAGUUGAAAACCGAGCAAAAACUGUCACAACAUCCUCGCAAAUACAAUACACUCUGGACGUCCUGACUAUCCACACAACAACAGACACCAUCGAUAAGAAAAGCAUUGUCGAGGCUGCCAUCUGGUAGCAUCCUCAUCACUCCUUCACAAGUCAGCGACUCUGACUCCACCAUCAACGACCAGCAAUGUAGCCAUAAGGGUAAGCAAGUGCCCAGGCAUGGGUAGGCUACAAUCAAAAAGCCAAUGCACAUGUCGGCGACCAGGCAGCUCUUACUAUGUCGGCCAGCGCUGGUUCUUGUAAAUAUUAUUUUAACUUAUUUGCUUGCUAUUUAAUUCUUAGUUGUUAAAAAAGGGGCAAACAGUGAAUUGACCAAAUAAUGGCUACGGCCAGUCAAUGCCCUUCAUUCGCGCAUUGACAAUACCGUGUUUGUUAUUUUUCCUCUUUUACAUUUUUUCCUUCUUCUGUUAUUUAUUUUCUUUCAGGGAUGACUAUUUACAUUCUCGAACGUGAGCUGUGAGCAUUCUUGGUACGGUCACCGCUUUCCAUAUCUGCAUUGUUGAUAAAUUAGCAAUGGAGGAGUUGGGACACCCGGAAAAAGGCCAUUACAUUGUGCGGGGUUGUUAGCUCGAGGUUGUUUCGGUAGAUAUAUACUUAUCGGAAAUCGAUCAUCGAGGAAAUCCUGCAGAGGUAUGUGUCGAAGUCAAUUUCGCAAAGUUCCGCACGCCUCCUACUCCUAUCGUCCGAGAAUGAGAUGAAUUUGUGUUCCGGUGUUCACCUUUAAAACCUCAUGCAAAGAGAGCCUUGGCUCAUUGGUUGGGCAUGUGGUUGUGCAGCCCAACGACCCGAGUUCAAUUUCUAGAAUUGACAGGUAAUGCAUAGGAAGUUUUCUCCCAUUUAUUGAGGAUCAAGUUUGGCGUGUGGUAAAAUUAUUCAUCAAAAAAAGGAAGUGAAAAUCUCUCCCAUUUUUUAAGCUUCCGCUUUUCUUUAUCCAGAUGAGAAACUGCUGGAGCGAUCGCACAUACUCCAAAUCUUUCAACCCACAGGUGUGUUCUCGCUGACGGGAGGGGCCUCCCGCUCCUCCCCACUCCCUCCCCUCCCCUCCCCUUCCCAAUCCUAGCCGCCCAACUCCCUCCCCCUCCCUUCCUCGCCGCCACGUGAGGCAGCCGCCGGGCAAGCCCGGGGCGCCAAGGAUCGUGGCGACGGGGACUUGGCUGCCCUGCCUCUGCGUGGGGAACUCCGGAUCAGAAGCGGCGGCUUCAUAGAUGAGGCACGACAAGCUAGCAGCUGUGCGGGCGGUAGAUCUGGCGUUCGAGCCGCGCGGACGGCGGGAUUCAGUGAUCGUUGGCGGCUGUCGGCGGCUUCUGCGGUGGUCGGUGCGCGCGAUCUGGUGCAUCCCCUCCUCCUAUGUUCGCCGUGCAGGCCAACCUGGUCGGGCCGCGCUUCCUUGGAUCGCCGGUUCUGUACAGGAGGCGCUGCUGGUGAUAGGGAUCUAGUUCGGGCGAAAUCCCUGGCCGGCCGCGUCGACGGUGACGCCUGAGGGCGCCGUUCCCCUCCUUGGAGGCGUUGGCGCCGCUUUGGCAACCUUGGGGCUGGGCGGUGCUUGUGGGUGGUGGGCGACGGCGGUGGUGCGGCCCUAUCCUAGCAUAAAUCUACGUCCGCUGCUUGGAGAUGGACUCGCGUAGGUGGAGGUCGUCGUUUGGCGUCAUGAUGGCGUCGAUGGCGGAGGCACCUGUCAAGGCUGGUACCUCAAUCUGCUCUGAAUAUGAACCAGUGGAAGAUGGUGGCGACGACACAUGUGAGUGUGUCAUACCGGUUUGUGUCCCUGACCCGGUAUGUGGCUCAGUCGGGGCCUCCGGCUUUAGAUGUUAGGCUUAGGUGAGAGGUCUGGGUAUUUGGCUCAACUUGCACCCCUUCAUCAUAUGGAUAAGAGUAGCGGCAAACGUUGUUAACAUGGCGGAUUCAGACAUAUUGUUGUACUAGUUUGUAAGGUCCUCGAGAAUAAUCAAUAAAAUGGUCGCAUGCAUCUCCCAGAUGCAUAGACCGGGGGUCAUCCUCCUUUUCUAAAAAAGAAAAAUCUUUAAAACCUCACAAUAGAAUAUAGAAGAUUAGGAAACCUAUCUAGAUGAUGAACAUUGUGUCAGAUAUGAAGUGUGUGAGGACAUGCGUGAAAUGAGAGCAGAGAAUGAGGGGCACUUUAAAGACCUAGACGGUUGAAGUUGGCACACAGAUCAUAAAUACCGGCCACUUCUUCAUAUUGUGGUUGUCGCAUUUGUGGGGCUAGGCUAUAAAUCAUGGCUCAUUGGUCCACACACAUGUUAGCUAACGAUUCGAUGAGCUACAUAUAUCAACCAAAAUUGAUGAAAACGUCUUUCUUCACUGAAUGAACACAGUCAGAACCUCUAAAUCCAAAAAAAUGUGAACAUCACUUCUAAGUCUGGGAACUAAACCUGGUGGUUAGUAGCGGAGUUAGAAUCAGGUAAGGACCCAGGCAGGCUGCACAGCUACAGUGUAAUACAAUAUGCUACCGUGGACAUUUUGCUACAGUCAACGAAGAAAAUCGUCGCCAUGCCCGAGUCCAAGGCCGUGGCUGCCUGCUCCAGCAUCCACCUCUACUCGGAGUUAGUUCCAUCACAAAAAACCUAACCAUUUGAGCUAUGCUUAGUAUGAACACAUAAAAUUGAUCAUAAAUUGACGGAAACGUCUCCUUUUACUGGGAAAACACCGUCAGAACCUCUAAGUCCAAAAAAAUGUGAGCAUCACUUCUGAGUCUAGGAAUUGAACCCUGAUGGUUGGUUCCACCACAGAUGACCUAACCAUUUGAGCUAAGCUCAGUUCGAACACACAGACUUACUAGUCUAUACCUAUACUAAUUCUAGACUCUCUAGAAAUUCCUACAUUAAUUAGAUUUUAUGGGCCGUUAAUCUGGUGAGACCAAGUUUUAACGGUGUAGAUUACCCAUCUAAUCCUCAGCCAAUUAUUUAGACUCUCCAGAAAUUCCUACGUUAAUUAGAUUUUAUGGGCAGUUAAUUCGAUGGGACCAAGUUCUAACGGUGUAGAUUACCCAUCUAAUCCUCAGCCAAUUAUUUUCUCAACAAUAAUGGAGGCAAACAAACACUUCGAAGAAUUCUAUAUCGGUUACAAAUAUAAAACCCCAAACUAAUAGGAUCCAAACUUCCAUGUCCUCAAUUCAGAGGAAAAAAACAUCACGAUUGAGCCAAAAAAAACACUUUCAAUUAAUUGUGUUUUACUUGGUUGAUCCAAGCUACACGUACAAGGAGCAAUCCUGACCCAACCUACACGUACACAAAUCACGUUGUUAUGGAGUCCAUGAAAAUAUAUAUUUCCUAAAAAUUAGGUCCUUCAUCACUACGAUUGCUCCAUCCUAACUAAAUUUCAAGAUCCUGGGCUGCUACAUUAGCGUACAUCACCUGUUCCUCAAUAUCACGUGAAUAAUCUCAUGAGCAGCCCCUCUCACCGGCGGGCUCCCAUUGACCGAAAUUGCUGCCGCCGUCCUCUCGCCUUCAUCCAUCCAUUGCUACCAUCCUUCAUCUUGCCUCCCUCGCCGCAAGCCAACAUGCCGGGCGUUCUUCUCCUCGGCGUAGAUUGAGGCAUCGGUUUCCUCUCGACAGGUGCAUGUAUGCAUGUAAUGCGCUUCAGCAGUCAUCGUUUCUUCUCUCAUCCAGCGCACCAGGUAGGGUUAUCUAAGCUCUAUCUCCACUCUAGCACUACCGAUCAUUAGGCACUCCUUUCCCUUUUGUACAACAUCAAGACAUAUUGUACGUUAAAGGUACUUUAUUGGUGGCAUCAAGUGGUUUACGUAGAUCUGGGAGUAGUAUUUCCUCGCAAUUUCAGUUGAAGUACUCCUUUGGCUUCGAUAUAAUCGGCUGUUAUUUGUGCUGGUAAUUUGAGUUCCAAAUCACUUCUUUUGUUUUCAUGCCAGCGACAUGUUUAGAUGGUGGCUUCAUCCGUAAGAAUUCUUCUUCUUUUUAGGCAAAAUUUCAUGAGUUAGAAUUCAGUAAUUGUGUUCUGUAUUUGAUUCAUUCAUGAUUUCGCUUGCAGGUUAAAUUAUCCAGGCACGAAUUUAAUGGUUUUUUGUGUCCGGUUCCUUCAAACAAUGGAGGGUUGUCAAACAUUUUAAGUAGUAUAGCUGAUGGCCAUCCGUAAGAAUUCUUCUUUUUAGGCAAAAUUUCAUCAGUUAGAAUUUAGUAAUUGUGUUUUGUAUUUGAUUCAUUCAUGAUUUCGUUUUUGGAAUUGCAAAGCACUUUGCCUAUUACGAAGUCCAAAUUAGACUAAUAUUUAGUAACUGAUGAUUACUCUAUUUACAGAUUGUAAACCACGUUUCCACUGCAAGGAAGAACUCCAUUUGCUGCCAAGGAGAAAUUGGUAAAAAUAUCUUAAUUAACUUGGCAGGAAGAAACGUAGCAUGACAGGGCUUGCUUGUUGUUGCCGAGAAAUGCGUACAAUCAAUUGAUUUACUUGCCAGGAAGAAACAGUCUGUGGCGGGUGAUUUAAACCUUUAAGCCUUAUAUGACCUAAUUGGAUCUCGCUAUAAAAGUCUAAAUAGAUGUAGAAGAAUGGAUGGGGAGCUCUCAAGUCGAAUGCCAAUCAUGUUUUUGCUAUUAUAUACAUUCGAAUCAUACAUCCAGUUGGGAAAUAUGUUGUAAUCUAAGUUCUUAUAUGUACAUCAGUCCAUGUGAUCAAGGAUAUCAUCAUGUACUGCAACUUCAAGGCUUCUUUAAUUUUUGUAAACUCGCCAAUGUAUCAUAGUGGUGCAAAAAUAAGUCUUCUAUCUUCGUUUAAGAAAAUCUCCAGAAAGGAUGUAUACUUGCCGGAUCAGAAAAGCAAGUCCCAAAAGGACCGAUUUUAGAGACCAUGUGAUUAUACGAUUAUGUGUAUGAAAGUAUUAUAUCAUUUUUCUUAACAUGUCUUCAUUUAUAUAUAACUCAGAUUCCUUUUUGCCAUACAAAAUAUGUUUCUGCAUACGACAACCUGAACAUAUCAUCAUAUGCAAAUAUAGGAUGGUUAAAUUAUAGGAAACUUGGUUAUACGUAUAUAUAGUUUUUGAGAGUCUGUCAAAUUCCAUGCUGAAACAAUAAUUCAGUUUUCUAUUGUUUAUAUUGGAUUAUGAUGAAAGUUAUAUAUUUACAGGCACAUGAGGAGACUUAAACUCGAGACAAUAGACAUGUAUCCUUUGCCAAUGCACCUCAACGUAUAAGUCAAAAUGGCAUGUGAAUUAAUGAAGUCUCAACGAGCUAAAGGAAAUCGCCAUUACCAUGGAAGAUCAAUAUUUUUGUUUUCAACUAGAAACUUACUGUAACAAAUUAGAAGUGAUUGGAAAUUUAACAUUUUGAAAAGUCUGAGGAGCCGGUAACCAAUUACGGUGCUACUAAAAUAUAUUAGAAAAUUGCAUGUAGUCCACAAUGAUAUAUAGUAUUACCAAAAUAUAUUUAUGUUUUAUAUAAACUAGGCCGUGCGAAUGCACGGGUUGACGACUAGUCUAUUUUAAUGCUGGACCUUUGCGCAAGAUUGCUGGCAUUCUAUUCUCCACAACAAAUUGAGAGGCAUUUCAUUCUAUAAUUGAAUUAUGCAAGCAAGUCACAAGCUACCAACCAAGAUUGCUAUUGAUAUUCUAAUCAUGGGUUGCUGGGACAUUUGGUCGCAACCCAAUUUAAAACUCUUGGCGAUACAAUUUGCAGCAUGAGCUAAUUUUGGGUGGCCAUGGCGUGAAUAUUUUUCUUUUAUUUUUAGUUCAUUAUUUUAUUCUUUUAGUGAACAUAUUUUACUGGAUAUGUCCCAUCAUUUGUGCGUAGGAAACAAAUUACGUGGAAAGAUCAGGUAGAUUGAAGGGAUUUUUUGUUGAUCGAAGCCCGGCGAAUCCAAACACAAGCCUUAGUUUUUUUUUAAAGGGAUGACCUGAGGCCUUUGCAUCUAAACGAUGCAUGCAACCACAUUAUUAAUUAUUAAUAAAGACCUUACAAAGCAAUAUAUCAUUAAUUUUGAAGCCAUAUCUUGAAAAUAUCUGUUGCUACUCCUAUCAAGUUGACGAAGGGGUGUCGAUAGUCUCAGCCGAAAACCUUGUAUACCAAAGCCUAAGAUCUAAAAUUGAAGGCCCCAACCAAGCCGUAUAUUGGGUAUGGGCACACAGAGGUCCGAUGCAUUCUCACUCGCCGUCGUUGCCGUCUACCAACGAUCAUUCUUUAGAGUAGGUACUCACGCAUCCACCUUGCAAGUCCUAUCAUCGAUGCCACCAGAGCAAAACGACACCACCUACAUAUGUGCAUCCGUCACCACACAUCCGUCGCCGAGAACCUAUUACGCCACACCGUCAAGAUUCCACAUUGCCGAUGUGUCACCUGAAACACCGCUCCACCGCAGAAACCGACCCCUAGUCCCUCGUACCAGUGCACACCUCCAAGAAUGACAAGCCCAAAGGGGCAACGACACAAGAGCGUCGCAGUAAUCCGAUCAACUGACCUAGUGUUUCCCGCGAAGGUAGAAAAUAGAAGUGUGGAGCUUCUCCAUGGCGAUGCCUUCAGGAAGGGGCCAACACAUAAGAGUGUCGCCAUCGUUGCUCUUGGCAAAUAGCCGAGAGCAAGGUUGUUAUCUGGAUUUGCUCGACGAACCUCCAUCUAGUAGCGUGUGCACGGGCGCCAUCGGUCUCUACCGCCACACAAAGGGCAGGUUGCACCGGCCAGAUCAGACCUGACCGAAGGCCAUAGCACGCAUGCCGCCAACUUAUCCACCAGACCAUCCAUCCGCCAUUGCCGAUCCAAAACCAGAUGGCGUGCUGCCGCAUCACUGGCCAGCAUCGCCACCCGAACUCCCACAGUCGCCGCCGCUUGCAGCAGCCAUCGCCUUCGUGCCGUCUAGAAUGGAUCAGUCUCGCCACCACACGUUUUGGGGGCCCAUAGCACCUCUUCAUACGGGAGAGAGGGAGUCCCCAGCCACUGCCGUCGGCCCCCGAGCAGCCCGGCAGUUACAGAGGGAGGGGAUGAGGAAGCUCGCACCCCCUAUACUACACAUGUGGAUCACAUGUCCAUUCUAGUAAUUAAACUCAGAUCAUUGAGUUGUACAAUCACAUGCCUAACCAGUGAGCUAAUGGGUAGGCAGGAGCGUUAGUGAUGUGAACCCAUAGCCGACUAUGGUCGACACCGGCGCACAAAGCGAUACUGUCCGGCCUCGUAGGUUCCUUGUAGACUGCUUGCCCGCAUUUUGUUUGUUUGCAAUUCCACGUUCAUGCCUAAUUGCUCAUCGCUUGUACCGAGUAAGGACUUCAUCGGGUAACCCACGUGGGUCCGGAUCUUCAUCGGGUCAGCAAUGUGUUCAUUGGCGCAAACCGCAACAGCACCGUACCGGGCGAAGCAAGCACCAAGGAUUCAGCUAGAACGGCUGGACUGGUGUCUCCCACAGUGCUUGUCUAAGAUACAACGUGGUUCGGUGGUAGCCCUCUGCUAGAAUAAUUCGAGGCACUCCGUUGAUCAUCCGAGAACCAAGCAAUCACACGAGCACGCCGAUUGCUAACGAGGUUCACCGAUGUAGCUACAUUCCCGGGGACUGACUAAGGGUGCUUUUUCCCGUGACACCGUCACAAUACCGCACCCUGGCCGCCUGGACGCCGGUACAAGCCGCCGGCUCCCGCGCGUACCUGUGCUAUUAUGUUUGCAUACGUUACAUCGUGUGUGUCUAUCUUCGCAUUAUAUAAGAGGCAUAAGGGUACAGGUGUCCUAAUAGGACACGAGUCCUACCUUGUCUACACACCGUACGACUCCAAGUCCAACUGUAACCUACCUUGUAAAAUAAUAUUCGACACAACACUAACAAACUCCACCUUGGCGAAUAUUCUCCACCACCUUGGAUUCGUCCAUGCGUCAAACCUCCAUGUACAUUGGACUUGAGAUACGUCAUGAGCACCACUGCUACUCCCAGACUCCAUGUGACUCCACCUGCAACUGUAGUCCCUUCUCGUCUUCUUCACAGUCAACCCUCGAGUAAAGUUAAGUCCCUUCUCGUCUACUUUGUGCUUCCAACUUCCGAAGUAUCCGUUCAGCGCCAUCACACAUUGAUCACUGACCUGCGUGAAAGUGAACAAUCCACAUAUUGAAGCCACAUAUAAGAGUUACCUUAACUCAACAUCCUUGCUCUUUCUUGACCGUUGGUAUGAAACGUGAAGGAAUUUCACCAUCGCCUUGUGUCACCCCGAGUCAAAUUCACAGUUGUCUCAUCCUUUUCUCGAAUAGUCUCUUACAUGUCCCACAGCUAUAGCACUCCGCCUCCUUCUGUACUUGUCAUCCGCACUUUGCCAUGUGCACUAAACCCCAAAAAAUAUACGGCCAUGUACUCUCUCCGCUUAUAACAUUUUAGACUUUCCAUCACUUUUUCAGAUUCUCCAUGGUCAACUCUCGUCCAUCAACUAGCACCGAUAGACCGAGUCACCAACUUCAUUCUGGUACUCAUCAACACUACUUCAGCACCCUAUACACAAUUUGUGUGACAACAUGUCUGAUCACUAGUGUCUUGGUCUGUCGAUGUGUCCCGUGCUUACCGCACGCCUCGCUGCUAUCAUCGGGUCGAGCCUCUGCUGUCCUGGUUGAGUCUCCAAGGUCGCGAACCCACACCACCGAUCAUCACCGACUGGUCCCGAGUAUCACGUCUCCAUCAGACCACUGGUACCCAGUCCGAUCGAUGUCUCUCUCGCUAUCCGCUGAAAUAGGCUUUGACUCUCCAUGCAUUUACGCCGUAGCCCCUCCAUCAGCACAGAAUGAAAUCUUCCACUAGACUCCAACUCCACCUUCAACAUGACUCCAUGUAGCUGGCCAUGCUACCCCACGCCCUGUCGACUUCAAGCUCUCAUAUGUACACAACCUUGAAUCACCCCCGUGCCAUAGCCCGUCGAAGCCACACAAGCCCUCAUGCAUGCACCAUGUGUUUCCACGCCCCAGAAGUUGGCCACCAUCAGCAUCACGCUCCUAUGUCGUCGUUGCUGAAAUCACCGCCAUCUUCUACUUGGACCGGCAUCCCCGUCGAUCCGUUAGACUUUCCAGUCCGACCCAGCCAAAACCAUGCUCCACCCUACGUCUUGUCCGCCCCUUCAUGCAUUGCUUGAUGCCAUGUGUAUGCAUGAUCCCUCAUGAUGCGCUCCUGUAACCCUAUUCGCACAUCAUCAGUCUUGUUUCCCCUUUAUCUGCCAUGUCAAACCACACCACCUGCAACCAUCAUGUCUUUUUUCCCAACGUACCAUGCAAAGAACACCGGAAGGAGUCUCCUUUUUUCAGUCUUUUUGUACAUGCAUGUAGCAGCGAGCUCAAGCUCACCUUCAUGCAUGCAGCACACGAGACUUCCUUUGACCAUUUUCUUGUCCUCUACUUUUCCACGCUAUAGAUCAAUCCGAUGGUAACCAGAACUCCAUGUUCUAACACGUAGCAGCUCUCUUGAGAAACGAAACCUCUUUUUUUCUUAACAAGUUAUGACGAUAUGCUUUAAAUCUGGCUUUCUCAUGCUAUCCUGGUUCAACAUUGCAGCGCCCCAGUCUUGCCUGCACACGCGUGUACCUGAGCCGCAUCAGGCCUUCCCCUUGCACUCGUCGCACCAGCUGCCUGCUGCCUUCAACCUCCAGGGCCUUGCCACCCACCUGGGCUGCACCAGGUCACCACGCGUCGCCUUUGACCACACGCACCAGACGUCCGCGCGUGCUGCACCCCGUGAUUCGUCAGAUCGAUCUCCAGCCGUCGUGCGCUACGUCACGUCAUCAGUGGACAAGAUCCAAUCUCGAUCGUUCUCGCCGAGUCCUCUGGAAAACGCAGCCGUCGCUUCGGAUUGAUCUGCUACUCGCACCGCAGUCUGCGAUCGCUUUGAUUUUUGAUGCCGAUGCACACAACGCACAACAUGUCUUCGUCCGGACCAGCCCCGUGAUCAACAAUGAACUUUCUACCCCAUCCGAUCUUUUGCUUCCGCCACUGACGGUGUCGACCGCACAUAGAGCUCCAUCCAUCCUUUAGAUCAACAAACCAUGCUACUUCGAACCUUUCUCAUGAUCCACUUGUUAGAAUAAUCGGAGACACUCCAUUGAGGACCAAGCCAUCACACGAGCAUGGCACCGAGAUUUGUUAACGAGGUUCUCCUCCCCGUUACGGGCGCUCCUCCCCGUAACAUCGUCACAAUACCGCACCCUGGUCGUCCGGACGCCAGUACAAGCCGCCGGCUCCCGUGCGUACCUGUGCUAUUAUGUUGGCAUAUGUUACAUCGUGUGUCUACCAUCUCAUUAUAUAAGAGGCAUAAGGGUACAUAUGUCCUAAUAGGACAUGACUCCUAUCUUGUCUACACACCGUACUACUCCAAGUCCAACUGUAACCUACCUUGUAUAAUAAUAUUCGACACAACUCUAACACCCUAGGUGAGCACAGCCAGCAUAUCCUAAUAACUUUCUGAUCCCUCCUACUCCUACCGCACAGUGGACGACAUUGACUACACAUUUUUGUUGAUUACUUAGAGCAGAUAAAGAUUGGAUUACAUCGAUCAAGAUAUGUGUUUUGGGUUUUGGGAUAGUAUAGGAUUGUGUUUGUGAGGGUCCGAGAGAUGAGUGAAGAGUGGAGAACCAGCUGGGAAAGGGAUGCUCUUUAAAGAUAUACUAAUGGUAACAGAAAGGAAGAAAAGUCACUUGAAUCACUAGUAGAAAUAAGGGUUUUUGUCCUAGCUCCAAAAACACAUUAGUCCCGGUUUCAUUACGAACCGGGACUAAUGUUAGCAUUAGUCCCGAUCCGAGCGGCAAAGACGCCGUUCGGGCAUUAGUCUCGGUUCAAAUGGGUGUCUCGAACCGGGACUAAAGGGUUUGGAGGCUUUAGUCCCGGUUCGUUUCUUGAACCGGGACUAAACGGUAGACCUUUAGUCCUGGUUCGUGACACGAACCGGGACUUAAGGGGUUCAGAUUUAAUUUUUUCUGUUUUUAAAUUUUUGUUUCUAGUUUCUGUUUUAAAUUGCUUAUAUCUUUUAGGAUAUUUGAUGUUUUUAUUGAUUCUUUUUUGCAUUAGAUUCAAAAUUUUGUCUAGUUUCUGUUUGUGCCAUUAGUUUUCAAAUUUGAAUGGUUUAGAUUUGAAUUUGUUCAAAUUUGCUUCAAACCCAGUUUUUGAAUAACUUGAGUUUACAAAUAGUUUUUAAUUUAAUUCUUUUUGCUCCCACUCAUGUGUUAGAUUAUUGUCACAGUAAGAUUUAUUUGAUUAUUUUUACAAUAAUUUAAAUUAGGAUUUUAAUUAAAACAAUAUUGUUUUGCUUAUAUAGUUGUUUUAGUUAUUUAGUUGUUGUUUUUUAUUAUUUUUAGUUAGUUCUUUCUGUAGACUUUAACAUGUUAUAGUAUGGUGCAUAUUGAAUGCACAAAAAGUCUAGAGUUGAAAUAAUUUUAAAAAAAAUGCCUUUGUAGCAGAUGGAUUUUCGUGUGAAACCUUAAUACUUCGAAGGAGAUGAUCUAGUUUGUACACGAAGUGUAUCCAGUUUUUGUCGUAACCCACUCAACUUUGUAGCACAUGGUAUGUGGGUGAAAUGAUGAUACCAUAACAAGUUUCAGCCAUUUCAGAGUUCAUUUGUAGCGUUUUCCAAUUUCAGGGUUAUUUAGCUCAAAAAAAAUAAGUAAAUGCAUGAAAAAUACGAAAUGGAGUCUGAAAAUGUUGAAAAUUUAUGAUGUGGCUUUGAAUGGGGCAUUUUGAACACACAAAAGUAUGGAGUUCAAAUAAGUUUAAAAAAAUAAAAUCCCUUUGCAAGAGAUGAGUUUUCGUUCGAAACCGUGAUACUUCGAAGCAGAUCGUUCAGUUUGUACACGAACUGUAUCCAAUUUUAGCCGUAACCCUCUCAACUUUUUAGCACAAACUAUGUGGGUGAAAUAAUGAUUCCACGCCAAGUUUCAACAUUUUCAGAGUUCAUUAUAGUGCUUUCAAAUUGCAGGGGCAUUUAGCUCAAAAAAAUCAUUAAAUGCAUGAAAACUAGCAAAUAAAGUUGGAAAGGAUUAACUCUGGCUUGGUUAACCUUAGACGAGAACUCUGUCGGGGACGGUGCUAGCAGGUGUAGUCGACCGUUAUGAUUGGACUCUUGGCUAAAGGGGGAUUCUAAAAUUUUCAAACUCCCCCCCCCCCCCGGCCCACGUGGACCAUCUUUUUUUUUGUAGAAAAUAAACAAAAAUGAUAAAAUCUUCAAAACAUAAAAUCCUUUGAGAUGUAGUUAGGUUUUAGUAUCUAGUUGGUACAGAAAUUUGGAGAUAUGAAUUUUGACCGUUUUUGCAAAAAAAGGAAAAAAAAUGUAAAACGGCCAUAACUUUUGCAUACGAUGUCCAAAAAAAAUGUUUAAUAUAUCAUAACAAAACUAGAGAAAAAUCCGGACUCGAUUUCAUCCGGGAUUGCCCGGUGAAGUUUUCUCAGAUGCUGAAAAUUCCAAAUGUAAAAAAGUUAUUUCAAAAAGAAGGUUUUUUCCAAAAAAAAUAAGAAAAAAUAAUUUUAUUUAAAAAUAUUAGGUUGUUUUCAUUGAAAUUCACUAUUAUUGUUAUUUAUAAGGUUUAUUUUAAUAAUUGUUUGUAAUUCAAAAAAUUAAAUCACGUGACAUGACAUCAAGACCCAGGUUGUUUAGGAUUAAUAGCUUACUAUUGCCAUAUAACCAGAAAGUUAAGCAUGUUCGGGCUAAAGCAGUGAGAGGAUGGGUGACCGUCCAGCAAGUUAGACGAUUUUGAAUGAGUGAUCCACGCUAGAGCAGUGAGGAUGGUUGAUUAGAGAUUAAAUUAUCAAAUAAUUCAAAGAUUUAAAAAUUGGAAUAAAACAGAAAAACAAAUCAAAAAAUAUUUAUAAAUAAAAUUUGAUUUUUUUUCUUUUCGGGUCAAACAAACAAAAUAAACAGACGGAUCUUUUAGUACAUGAAGAGCCAUUAGCCCCGGUUCUAGGCUAAAGGUCCUUUUUCUACUAGUGAAUACAUCUGAUCAACCCCGAAGAUGUGCAAGCCGCCAUACAUUCUAUAAAGUGAGUAGAAUCAACACACCGUCCCGGAGCAUGUCACUAGUUAAGAUGCUAGUUAUUUACAGUAGAGUUAGGCCUUGGUCAAAACAAAAAAUAUGUUCAAACACCACCGCGUCUUCAUGACCAAGAAAAUGAGCUAGACCGAAAAUAACAAUCAUAGAACGAGUUUAGGCGCAGUUUGACACGUCAUGGAUGUGUGUUGUUUGUUGCGUAUCACGCAUGAAAAUGGAUUCAAUGUCUUCAUUGCUAACAUGCAUAUUAAAACAAAUUAUUUUGGGAUCCCGCUCAUAGGGACGUCGCAGGAUAUGGUAGCCCGUGCAGGAGAGAUGGGUUCUUCGAACAGAUCUGGAUGAAAGCUUGCUUUCGGCUACUGCCAAGGCCGGCGAUGGCGACGCUGUCUACGUCGUUCCCUUCCUGAAGGCAUCGUCAAGGAAAAGUUCAAGACCACUCUCUACUACCUUGGGGGAAACACUAGAUCAGUAGAUCGGAUGACGGCAACGCUCUGGUGUCGUUUUCCGCUUGGGGGCGUCAUUCAUGCAGGUACACACGGGCUCGAGGGGCCAUUGGUCGGCAUCUACGGUGGAGCGGCGUUCCCUGUAACACAUCGACAUCGUAGAGUCUCGGCGGCGAGGCGCAGCAAAGUCUCGACGACGGAUGCGUGAUGAUGAGCGCGCGUAGGGAGGAGGCACUGUCUGGCGCCAUGGGGGCAUCGACGGCACGCCUUGCAAGGUCGAUGCGUCAGUAACUGUUCUGAGGAUGGAUUGAUAUAGAAGGUGGCGGCGGCGACGACAUAUGAGGGUGCGUCGGACCGGUUUGUGCCCCUGACCCGGUAUCGGCUCGAUCGGGGCCUCCGGCUUUAGAUGUUAGGCUAGGUGAGAGGUCUGGGUAUGUGGCUCACACUUUCUGUACCCCUUCAUCAUUGGAUAGGAGUAGGGACAGAUGUUGCCAACAGGACCGCUUCAGACAUAUUAUUUUAUUGCUUUGUAAGAUCUUUGUGAAUAAUUAAUAAAGUGGCUCCAUGCAUCUUGUAGAUGCAGAGGCCGGAGGUCAUUCUUCUUUUCUAAAAAAGCAAAUUGUCUGCUCGAAAGGACAAACCCUAGCUAUAUAUGUGCGUUAUUAGUUCCAUGCCAUGCACAAUUUCACGAGCUCCUCCAUGGAUUUACCAUUCUAGCGAAGGAAGAUAAAUCGAGGAGACUAGAGCACCACACCUUUAUUUUCAGAUGUGAUAAUCACAGGCAAACAUGCAACACUGUACAAAUAAGGCAACUGCCCCUCGAGUCGAUGAAAUUUCUGACAUUCCUGUUUUGAGUUUCCAUGUAGAGUACUAUUUGACAGGUAGCCAGACAGAAGGAAACUAAAAUUUCGCUUAUUAUCGAAACGGGAAAUAAUUAAGAAACAAUCACUUCUUAAUUCCGCUGAAAUACAGUACAGUAUGUGCACCGGCAUCCACCUGCAUCACAAUCACCAACCGCGCCAGGGCCGACGUUGGUUUGACAGUUGUGAAGACACGUCUUGGGGUUACACGGCCCAAGGAUGACAGGGGUCUGAUGGCAGUCUUCAGGGAUUAGCGAGCCGCCGCCAUUAGCCGUCGCUUGGAUCACCACAUCUACAUGUUCGUACAAGCACAUAAAGAUUGCAGAGAGAAAAUGAUAGUGGAAGGUUCUCCACAAAAAAAUCAUCGCAGAACAUGCAGCAAACGUACGUACCUGAGGAGAGCAGCGUUACAAGGGCAAGCGCAAGUAGUAGCAUCUUGUAGAACGACCUCAUCCUGGCUUGAUGCUGGCAGGCUGAGAGAGAGAUAUUUUUUUCGCUGGGAGGUUAAGCCAAUCUUUGCAGAUAUGCCUGGCUGCCUGCUCUGUCAAUAGGGCCUUAGAUGGCUUUUAUAAUGGACAUAUAUGCAUGCAAACAAGUGUUUGAUUUCUUUACUUUUGUUCUAACGUUUAAUUACAGUAAAUCACGGGCGCUCUUUUGCUAUCCUAUAAAUGUGCAUGUUGUAAUACAGCUGUUUAUUUAAGGGGAAGACAGCUAUUGAAAUAUCUGCACAUAUAUUGCUUACAGCUCUUAUAUAUAGUAAAAAGGCAAGUCAAUAACACCCAAAAUACACAGCUCAUCUACUGAUGGCAUUAUUAAUUGUGCAUAUAAUCGUAAAUUGAUUGUCUUGAAGGACGAAACAAGAAUCGGUUUAUGGUAAACUUCAAGGCAAUCAAUGUAGGAAUAUAUUCAUCUUUUUUUGCGGGUGAAUAUAUUCACAAUCAAUAUAAAUCUUUACAGAAAUAUGCAUAUAUUGUUUACAUAUCAGUAAAAAUGUUAACAACAUUGGUAGAUGCAAAUUACUUUAUUUUGGAAAAAAAUGUAAAGCGGGUUGUUUUUGGCAAGGUAGUCAAAAUUCCGAUCGUAUCGUGAUUCUACAUUAUGAUGUAAAUCGAUUGGAUAUCCACAUUUUCACAAUCCUACUCGAUAUGAGCUAAGGAUUUGCAAUUUUACCAUAAAGGAUCCGAUCCCAAAUCGCGAUACUGGCUAUCUUGGUUUUGGUAAGCUUCUACUACCUUGUCAAUGAAUACAUAAUUUCUUCCCAAGAUCAAUUAAUUUAUGAGGAAGGAGUACCUAACAAGUCUGCAUGGUCAUGUGUGUGCGUGCUUCUAGAUAUAUCCGACGCGUGCAGCCUUUUAGGCCACUUAGGCACGUUUAGGAAUUCGUCCAAGUUUAGAUUAAAUAUUCAGGAAUCCGUCCAGCACCAGGAUGCAUUUUGGCAUAUUUAAAGAAAUUUUGCCCGCGUGGCGGUUUGGCUUGUUCUUGCUGUUCCUUUUCUUUUUUUACUACUAGUACAAAUGCCCGUGCGUUGCACCGGGCUAGAAAAAAGUGCAAAACUUAUUUGUUUUACCAUUAUGUGGCAUUAAUUUUAAUAAAUGUCAAUUAUAAUGUUAAAUGUAAGACAUCUAUUUUUGGACGGAAGGAGUUUCUUUUAAAGUUUUAAAAUAUAAUGUAAUGCUUACAUAAAAAUUGAAUUACUUUUUUAGUAAUAAUUAUCAAUUUUAUUGAGUGGUAAUAAUGGUUUGGCAAAUACAGUACUACCGAGCAAGGUAAAUUUUGAUCUUGUCAUCCUUCCAGGCUAACCAAAUUAGGCCGCAGCGGGCACCUAGUUCAGAAGACACCACAUCACAUAUUUCUUAGCUUGAAAUUGAUAGGCAACCCAACAUUAAACGAACCAGGAGCAGAAUCAGACACACACAGAGAGAAAUCUGAACCCGAACCUCGACCUCACUUCAGGUCUGAAGUGAGUGAGUGAGGUCUAAAGUGAGGGUUGAGCGCCACAGGUAAAUUCAGACCACAGGGUUCUUAGAUCUAAUCAAUUUCAAACGUUCUGUAAAAGCAGAAAACUGAACUAAUGGCCACGACAAAUGUCAGAAGUGGAGAAGCAACCCGACCCGAGGAGCAGAGAAGAGGAAAUGAUGCUUCAUGGUAACGAGGCACAUAACGUAAGCGUAGCAAAUAGUUUACCAUGAGAAGAGGAAGAGCAUGAGGGCGCAGGCACGGGAGCCCCCCGGCUUGAGCCCGCGUCCGCAGCAGAAGCACCGGCUGGCGAGCAUGACGACGACCUGCGCGGCGGUGAGGAGGAGGAGCGCGCCGACGCCGUAGCCGGUGGCGACGUCGGAGUCGUAGACGCAGUAGUCGUACUCCUUGGCCAGAUCCGGCGUCACCGUGGCCUGCACACCAUUUUGCGUCAACUGAUUAAUCAGCGGGGCCAGGGCGGUCGCGAGAUCAGGCGAGCGAGCGAGCUUCUGGGCGUGCAGGUGUAGGUGCAGGGCUUACCUUGCUGCGGUGCUGCUCGGCGGCGACGGCGAGGCCGAAGGCGAAGAGGUUGAGGAGCAGGGCGGAUACCUGCACGAUGAUGGACGCCAUUGCUCCCUCUCUUUGUCUCUUUGUUUCCUGGGUUGCUUGCUCUGCUGGGGAAAGUGAGGUGUGGAGGACGACGGGACCCAGGGCGAUGCGCGGCAAGCAGGGAAGUGUCGGCGCCCGGCACGGCUCCGGUGGCCGACAACGAGGCGGGCAGGACCGAUUGAGGAGGCGCGGAUGGGGUUCUCCGACCCAGACCCGGCGAGAUCCAGCUCGCGAUGGGGCCGACGGGGCUCCACGGGAGGCGAGCUCGGGGCGGUUGAUCUGCCGAAGGAAUUCGGCUGAUGGCGGCGCGGCAGGACGGCGAGCUCGGAAGCUCGGCUGGGCGCGAGAGGCGCGGGAUCCGACGACUCCCGGCGGCGGGGCUCCGGCUGGCGAGGGAGGUCGAGGAGCGAGGAAGGACGCCACGACCCAGACGAUGAAACGUUUUUUCCACUUAUUAUAGGACUGCGGGUUGAUUUCUAAGAAAAAGAGGGGUUGUUUUGCAAAAACGCCAGCGACGGACGACAUAAGCGCUCCGAAGGUGUGCAUGUGUGGUUAACGAUGUUUUCUUUCCUCUCAAUUUAGUUUUAAUUUAAUGGAUAUUUAUUGCAAUUCGUAUGGUCGCCAGAAAGAAAGAAAAAAAAAGACCAUGCACUACAGAUUAAGUUUGCACCAAAAAUAAUAUUUAAGAAGUAUUCAACACCUAAAAAUAACAUUCUAUUUAGAUUCUACACAUUUUUGCAAUGAAAUUUCAUAUAUAACAUGUUAAAAUCAGAGUUACGGUUUAAAAGAUAUGGAUAAUUUUGUUUUAGAUAAAAUAUGGAUUGAUUAACUGAGGUCGGCCGCGGCGGCGAGUGGUGUGGCAGCGGCCUGGGCAUAGGCUAGGGUGGACCAGGGUCGACGCGAUGCGCUCGAGCGCCGCAACGGGGGCAGUGAGCGGGGAGAGGUACGGCCGCGGAGGCGGGUGGGUUGACAUCGGCAGCGGUGGCGGUUGAGGUCGGCCACGGCGGCGAGUGGUGUGGCGGCGGCCUGGGCACAUGCCAGGGUGGACCAGGGUCGACGCGAUGCCGCAAUGGGGGCAGUGAGCGGGGAGAGGUACGGUCGCGGAGGCGGGUGGGUUGAGAUCGGCAGCGGUGGCGGUUGAGGUCGGCCGCGGUGGCGAGUGUUGCGGCGGCGGCCUGGGCACAGGCCAGGGUGGCCCAGGGUCGACGGGAGGAGGCGAUGCGUACGGGUAUAAUUUUUACAGCGAAUCGUUUUUUCUUUUGCGUUGAAGAUAAAUGAUGGAGCGCGGGUUGAAUAACAAAAGUUAUGGAAGCUUUUUUAUAAAAAUAUCGCGGUGGGUUUUUCGACGGAAGCAAUAGCCGCUUUAUUAUUAGGUAUAGAUUUUGCCCGCGCGGCGGUUUGGCUUGUUCUCGCGCAAACAAGCUGUGUUUUUCGCUUCGAGUAAUUCGUCUGGUCUGUCUUGUCAUAGUCGUACUCCAACCCCUGGGUGCAUUCCAGGACGCCUAAAUUGUUGUCCUUGACCGCAACCUUCGAAAACAGCUUAUAAGCUUUGAAACUAACUAUGUGCCGUGGCUAGCUCCAUCUUUCGCAUCUGCUGCAUCUUCUUGCUUGCUUGCUUCUCACACCGAAAGCUGCAAACAAGGUUUCCAGCUAGCAUACGGGGUGCAGCUAUAGUUCUCCCAAGUACGUAAUACACAUGCUAGCCUUAGCGGCAGCCAUGGGAGUCCAACUUGAUCUUGGACCACAACCCAAAUUACAUGUGCUGGGUUAUGGGUAGAGAUUGCUAUCUUUUGCAAUGAUGGUUGACUGCGCCCGAUAACAUCUGCAAGCAACCGGUUGAACUCGUGCCCCACAAUGGUCAGAGGGGCAACUGCCAUGCCAUACCAACUAUUGUCAUGGAGGGAUGCAGAAGCUUUGUGAUGGAACGCCAACACGGUCCAUAUAGAGGCAACUCGGGCUGCGGCGACGACCUUGCUACGGAUUGUGGUAGCCACCGAAAGAAGUUGGUGAGGGUUCUUAUCUCCAGAACCGGUAGUUGACUUCGUCUGUCAGAUUAAAACUAUGGUGACGGCCUGGUUGUGCAUCGGUUUUCUCACAUCAAUGUAGCUGUUCGGAUCACGGAAAAGUGAUGGUCAAAUCACGUAGGCGAUGUGAAUGGUGGUGCUACUUGAGCACUCAGUCUCGGGUUUUGGAGUGAAAGCUUUGGUCUCACCCAAUUGGGUAAUAAUUGACAAUGGUAAUGUCUUUAAACCAUUACCUUGUUGGAGGCAUUGCUCGGAGAUGCUUGAACUAGUUUUCAGGGUGAAAGCCUAGAUUCUAGCCUUGCGUCCUUGGAUCCGAUGACCUUGGCGCUUCAGCGUGGCUCCCUUUCUAAAGGCGUUGCUGUUGAAGAACCUCGGCAUCUAUGUCGUAUCAUGAGAUGUUGGCGUGGAUAUAGUCAUUGUUAUAGUUUGUCUGAACGUUUUGGAGGCUUUUCAUAUUAUUCCUCGCCUAACAUAGCUUUGGUCUUAUAUGACUUUGCUACUUGUUAACGUGUUUUGUGGGCAUGCGUUGAUGUUGGUUGUGUGUAUGAUAACUAUUCAAAAAUCGGUUGUGUGCUUUUUGUGUUUGUAUCCUCUUAAUAUUCCAUUUUAAAGCAAUAAAAUUGACCCUUUAUUGUUAAAAUGGACUAUCCCGAUGAAAACGAAUUGGUGGAGCUCACCGAGGUGACGAGUUGUUGGGUAGCAUGGUCAACGAGCUCACGGGUGGCAACAAGGUGCAAGACGCUCAUUGAAAUCGAUUUCAUGCCUCCGUUCAUGGACUCGAAGACAUGGCCGAUCUUUCUUUUUUUUUGCAAAAGGAGGUUAAACCUCCAGCCUCUACAUCAAUCGAUGCAUGCAGUCAUCUUUAUUAAUUAUUUCACAAAGGUUUAACAAAAGUAUACAUCAAUUCACCUAAAGUCAUCACUCACACCUACAAAUUCGAUAAUGUAGAGUGCUCUCACUCCACAUAUCUAAGACCGGUGUUGUCAUCAAUCCAUCCACAUAACGUAUCGGAAGCAAUAGCCGGUGCAGCAUACCUAAAACGCACACCUCACGCACACGUUUUACAAGCCGCCAUCAUCAUCGAACCACUGACCCAUCUUUAGGAAAGAGAUCCGCAUCAUCCAUGCCAGUCCAAACAUCCGUCGACGCCACCACGGCGCCCAACGGCGUCACCGCCCUGCGCUCAUCUGUCCAGAUGCGAAGACUCCGGGAGAUCUGUCGUGCGUAGCACNNNNNNNNNNNNNNNNNNNNNNNNNNNNNNNNNNNNNNNNNNNNNNNNNNNNNNNNNNNNNNNNNNNNNNNNNNNNNNNNNNNNNNNNNNNNNNNNNNNNNNNNNNNNNNNNNNNNNNNNNNNNNNNNNNNNNNNNNNNNNNNNNNNNNNNNNNNNNNNNNNNNNNNNNNNNNNNNNNNNNNNNNNNNNNNNNNNNNNNNNNNNNNNNNNNNNNNNNNNNNNNNNNNNNNNNNNNNNNNNNNNNNNNNNNNNNNNNNNNNNNNNNNNNNNNNNNNNNNNNNNNNNNNNNNNNNNNNNNNNNNNNNNNNNNNNNNNNNNNNAUCUGUCGUGCGUAGCACCUGCCAACCAGGCAUGACUCAGCGUAGCACCUGUCGGCCAGGCAUGACUUGACAGCUCCACCGAAAUUUCGUGCAAGACGAAGCCGCUCCACCUCCUGCCUCAGUCUGCCAGCGGUGCUACACAAACGAUGCUCCCAAGAGAGAAACAGCACCGCAGUACCGCCAUCGUCCGAUCUGGAGGCCAGAUCCUAGGGUUUCCCCCGAAGCAGUGCCCACCACCAGCAACCGUUCACGACCCACACAGUGCCUACCACCACUCAGCCCUCUAGGCGACGCCUUCAGGAAGGUCACGACAUCAAGGACGCCGCCGCCGCCCACCGGAGUUAGGGUUUUCACCCGAGAGGCAAGGAAGGGGAGCAGAGGAGCAGAUGUAUACCGACGUCUCCAAAAAGAAUAACGGCACCCUAAAGCAUCGGUGGCGGCGCGGCCGGCCUGGGCCAACCAAGCGGUUUCCCCCAAUCUGAAUCUCCUCCACCGGCUUCACCCGCAGGUAGGGCCCCGCCAACCACGCCGGCACCGCCAAGAAUCCGCAGGAGAGAGGCCCACAUCAGGGCCCGAGGACAUCGGCCAGAUCUGGCGCCGCCGGCCGCCAUAGCAGCCACGUGACGGCUGACCAGGCAGCGGUCAACGAAGGGGAGCAGCACACCUCCACAAUGACGCUUCCAAGAAAGAUAGCGGCACCCGCGGGCGUCGCCAUCGCGGCUCCGAUGAGGACCAGAGCAAGGAUUUCUCCUGGAGUUGCGCUGAACAUCCACCGCCACCGACCGCUGAGCAUGGCCGCCACGCACCACCACGACCCCCAGGCAGGGUCACCGCACCGCGCGCCCUGGCCACCGCAGUUGCGCCUCGCCGACGCUCCCUGCCACCGCAGCCGCGCCCGGCCGCCGCUUCCUACCACCAUGGUCGCGCGCCCCGCACAGAUCCGGCCAUGGCAGCCCCGGAUCCGCCCUCAGGCGCCGCCGGUGGGCGACAUCUUGCCGGAUCCCGCAGCCGCCGACGCGGGGCGGCCCGCCAGAGCCCGAGGGCCGNACGCGAGGGGCCCCGCCGCCGCCAUCCCCCCGGGGCGCGCGCGGCUUCGCCGGUGUCCCCUCCGGCAGCGGCGAAGCGGGGAGGGGGUGGAGAGAGGGGCCGGUGGCGGCGCAAGAGGGUUGGCCGGUGACGACGCGGGGAGGGGGCGGAGAUGGGGGCCGGUGGCGGCGCGAGACGACGCCCCCGAGUUGGAUCGCCGGCUUCUUUGAACGCUCUGGUGCCUUCCUGGACGCCAUCUGAUAGUGAGAAUGAAUUCUUCAGACAUGGCCGAUCUAAACAUGCCGGAAGAUCCGUCGAGGGAGGAAGCCAACUAGUACUUGUGGAUGCUUGUGCCAGGUACGACAAUACAUGCCUGCUUCCACACAUGACCACGAGGCUGCUCGACAAACUAGUUUUUUUAUAAGGGCAGUACUGGGCGUCGACAAACUAGUUUUUUCAUAAGGACAGUAUUGGGCGCCGGCGCACCGGCGCCCCAGCUUAGGCCGAUCAAUCCUGCAUCGUCCGAUUAGAGUUGUUGUAAUCAUUGGAUCUGCUCUACCCGUCUGGCAAAAAAUAAACAACCCCACACCGCGCAUGCAUAGGAGAAGUCAACGGCGAUAUCUGAGGCAGCCGCAGCUAGCCAACUUCCGUCAAUGGUGAACUCCGCACUUGCCGCUGCCGUCGCUCACAGCAUCGCUCGUCUACGGCCCUUGCAGCUUGCAGCAGACAAGCAACCACGGCGAGCUAUGAUCGCGCGCAACCCCGGCGAGCGGCAAUGGCCACCGGCCCCGGCGAACGGCGCCCAUCCCCGGCGAGGAUGCCAUUAACCCGGUCCCGCGCCCACAGCCACCUCUUUUCCGAGCUCCGGCGGACGGGCUGCAUAACUGCGACGGCGAGGCACACCCACGAUACAGGAUGCUGGAACUAACAUCGAUUUUUGAUGCAUGCUUCAACCGGCAUCAUAAUUUGCUACAACCGGCAUCGCUAUUUGCUGUAACUAGUGUUGCAUUUUGCUACAUCGCACAUGGCUUUGCGAUUUUUGCUACAACCGGCAAUGAAAAAGCUACAUUCGGUGACAUGAUUUGCUGCAACGGCCACGAUGAAGUUUUUGGUGGCAACGGUGGCGUUGUGAUUUUUGCUGCAACCUUGUCGGUCCUUCGUUGUAGCUUUUUUCAUCAACGGUUGUAACAUUUUAUGUCAACGGUUGAAACAUUCUGUCAUGACAAUGGCCGUUUGUAGCUUUUUAUAUGUCUGGUUACAGCUUUAUUCAUCAACGGUUGUAGCUUUUAUGUCAAUGGUUGCAGCAUCCCGCCAUGACAAUGACCGCUUGAAGCUUUUUAUAUGCCCGGAUGAAGCUUUUUCAUCUGGGUUUGAAGCUUUUUUUGACAGCGGUUGUAGCAUGAGCGUAAAAAAUGGUUUUCCAUCGCCGUCUAGCAGCAGCCCCAUGUCCACAAGCGCGUCCGCUUGCAGCACUAACUCGAGGGCCUCCUCAGGCGAUGCGACCCCACCGGCGAAACCAUGAGAAGCUUGGCUGGGGGACGAGAUGCUCGUAGAAGCACGGGGGAGAAGAAAGUUUCUCGCCGCAUCAGGUCGGCGUCCUCAACGACGGCGGCCGGUGGUCGCCCUCAACAGAUGAGAGAAGGUGAGGGGGAGGAGAAGGUCGCUCGGGGGAGAGAAGGGUGCUCGCGUGUGGCCAAAAACUCGCGCUAGGGGAUAAGGGUGUGACGGGAUGCGAGCCACUAGAUCUAAUCGCAUCAGACGUCGCGUGAUGGACCGGCCCGAGCGUUCGGCCGGACUGUCGUAUGUAAACGUUUUCCUUUUUAUAAAGGAGGAUUACCUGCACGUGAAAUGAUGCAUGUAGUCAUUUUAUUAACUUUUUACAAAGACCUUGCAAAAUAGUAUAUUAGGUAGUUUGAAGUCAUCAUUUUAAAACAAUUAUCAUUAGUCCUAUCCACUUGAUGAAAGGAUGCCGAUAGUCCGAACCUAAUACCAAACAGACAUCGCAUGAAUGCCUAACAUCUAACAUCGGAGGUCCUAACCGAGCCACAUACUGGGUUUGGGGUACAAACCGAUCUAAUGCACUCUCAUGUGUUGUCGUCGUCAUCUUCCACCAAUCCAUCUUUAAAGAAGAACCUAACGCACUGACCUUGCUAGGCCACUUUGCCAUCGAUACCACCAUGACGUCAGACAAUGUUCUCCUCCUACGCAAUUCCAUCUCCAUGCAUCGUACAUUGAGUUUCCACGGCGCCAUGCCACCGAGAUCCGGGGCCGGAUGGCUCGUUACCCGCAGCCACCGCCCGAGGCAGAGCCAACCGUCGUGCCUCCGCCGGUCAAGGCAGGGACGCCUGCCCCGGCGCCAAGGGGCUCCGCACGAUCCCCAUGAUACGGGAGAGAGGAAGGACACCGACAUAGCCGUCGGCUUCCGGGCUAUAGGCCGGUAGCGUCCUUCGGUGGUGGCGGGGUGAGGGAGGGAAGGAGGGAGAGCCCCUGACGGCUAGGGUGUCCUCCUGCCCGAGUCACCAUAGUUGAGGCGAUGCGAGGGGUGUGAGAUCCGAUCUAAACCCCACAUUCAUUAUCCAACCGGAGAUCAUGACCACACUGGCAAGUCCCACAAGGAUGAGUCCCGACCUGGGGUCAACGGAAGGUUUGAGCUGUUCAUCAACAAGCAUGAGGUGUGCAACGCCUAAACGAACAUAAACUACCCCGUCGUGCAGAGGCAGCGGUUUGAGGAGCAACUCAGGGAUUGUCAACAUGGUGACGAUGAAGCGAUGUCCAUGGUCGUAACGUUUUGCACUACCCUUUAGUACGGUCUGCCACUGACAAGGGCCCGCGGUCUGGGGAUUUAUCGCGUGAUUAUGUUGUCGAUGGAUGCACAGAACAUCAAGGAUGUCCUCAUGUUCCCGGCCAUGAAGCCUCCAGAUCAGUUGCCGUAUGGAAAGCAGAUAUCCUUUUUUCCGAUAAUGUAAGAAAAAUUUGGAGUGCUGAUUAUAUUUUCUUCAUCGUUAACUUAUAUACAUUGAGAAAUAACUAGUCUAAACCCUCACGGUCGCAGAGUGCUGCCCACCUUAGUUGAUGGAUUUAGGUGUAUCUUUUUGAAUUUUUAUCUGUUUGUUCUUAUUUCGUUACCUUGUCUGCACUCUGUUUCAAUUUUCAUGUUACUUUGUCUUCCAACAUCUGUUGGCAAGUGAAGUUCACAUACUACCAUUCGGUAAAAGAAUGAUCUCAUGUGUAAUGCCUUACUUUUGUACACCACUGUACAAUAUGGUUUUAUAUAUCUUUUUCUUUUGUCAUUUUGGUUUCAACCAAUAUUUAGUCACAUCAGCACCAUUUAUGCAAUAAUAUAUGCUCCCUCCGUAUCAAAAUAUAAGACGUUUAUUGACACUAUAUUUUGAUACAGAGGUAGCAGCUAAUAAAAGAUACUCUUUCUCAUCCAUAUUACUUAUUGCUUAAACGGAUGUAUCUAGCACUGAAAUACAUCUAGGUGCAUAUAUUUCAGCGAUAAGCAAUAUCCAUAUGAGGCGGUAUUUAUGUUUUUUGUUGCUUCCUGUAGUUUACAUGUGCUUGUUUUUUUUGUGGGGGACACGUGCUUGGUUUGUAUCCUAUUUAUACACAACAGUGUAUUAUUCCAGAGAUAAUUUUUGUUCAGGUACAAACAAGACAGCUUAGCGCAAAUUUAAGUGUAAUUGCAAAAUUGAUCGACUGAGUGUACCCAAAAAUGCAAGCAUGCACUACUGCUAAUGCCUUGCAAUGACGGACGCAAAAAACCUAGGAGUGGCGGGCAUGACUCCCAGGGGCACCCGCCACUGAUCUCCCGUCAACAUGGAAUCAGUGGCGGGUGCGCCCCUGCCACUAGUACAAUUCUUUAGUGGUGGGCAAGCUGUGGGCGACCACCAGUGAUAACUUUGGCAUGCAAAUAAUAUUUUUUGCACACACAGCCUCAUUUGAGCUGCGGUGGUUGCCUUUUGCGUAAAACCCAUAUCAUAAACUGCAAUAUGCGGCAAGAUUACAGUGACUGUGAAACAUAUUACGACAUUAAAGAAUACGUUAACCACUAGCUAAUUGUUAUCAACCAUGAUUAGGAAUGCACCAACUAGGUUGUAUCAUCUUAGCUAGGUAUCUACCCAUCACAUAGUAAUAAAUAUGAUCGACGAUACACACAUCCAACAUUUAGUAUUACCGAUCAUCACAAGUACUUGGGCCUAGUACUCUCUAUUAGGAAAAAUUGAAAAGAAUAGGAAAACCCAAACAUCCACCAGUCUCCAAUUUAGGGCCUGCACCCAUUCAAUAUUUGCAUCCAUCCUUGAAUUUUCAUGCGUCCAUUUGAUAGGCUUUCAGUCGAGUAUCUAUCUAUGAAAUUGGUCUUCUCAUAGCAAAUGGUUGCCAUCUCACCUUCCACAUCCGUUACCGCAUGCACAACAACUCUUAGGAGCUUCUUCUGAAGAACGUAAUAGUAAAAUAGUUAGCAAUGUUGUUAAUUUUAGUAAAAUGUAUGAAAAAGGACAAGUGACACGAUCGUAAAUAAUCUAACCAUGCAUUUUCGACAAAUUUUAAUGCCGCUCAACUUGUAGACUAGUGGCACGUAUCGUGUAGUAUUUGGGUAAGCUCCAUUGGUGCCCUUAAAAGACUGGACAUCACUAUUAGAGGAGACAAGAUAACUACCAGCAGACGAGGGAGAAACUUCAAAUCCCAAAUUUCAUCUGCUUCACUAGGAUGAUAGAUGACUGAAGGUUCCUUCCUAGACAUCCCAAAAUUCCAACAACCGCCAUCAUAUCUUGGUAACUUUUCGAUGCCUCCUACUCCUAGCAUCGUGUGGCCAAGAAUAAAGUAUAUAAGAUAUAUAUGCUACCAACAAUGUUGACUCGAUCGACUGCUCUACCAAAGCUUUAGAGCUGCUCUAGAAUUCACCGCAUUGCGGUGUAUAUUAUGGGUUCUGGGAUAGUGUGUUAGUGAGUGCGUGUGUGAGGGCUGGGGAGGUUGGUGAAGAACGGAGAAGCAGCCAUGCAAAAAUAUGUAUAAUAACGUCAGUACAUAUUAAUGUUGACCGAACACACCCAUGUUACAAAGUGACUACCAUAAAUAUGUAGACUGCCCGGACUUCGUCAUUACUUACGUGUCAGUUAUUUCCGGUACAUUUACUCAUUACUUGGGUGUAGCCACUACUUUCCCCACGAUCAAACCAAAAAUAUGUAUGUGCAACCACCACAUGUCCAUCAAAAGUGUAUUAGUAAACUUAUACACUAGAUAUACAUCCAUAUAUAAACAAGAGAAGAUUUAUUUUGUAAGAAUGCAAAAAAUGCCCAUUGAUGUGCCACCAGUCCGAACGGCUCCAAACCCUAAGAUACAACUUGCUGGGCCCAAACCACUAGUGAGCUGGGUCGCUGUAUAGUGUGAUGGGUUUUUUGAUAUGGAGUCAGGUUAGGCAGCUUCAUGAAUCAUUCUGAGAGACUCGGAUGGUGCAUUCUGGUGUAAUUGCUGCACUGACGGAUAACUUGUUGUAUGAAUAUAAUGCAGAUUGUGUUGCGCACGAUUCGAUGGGUUAUGUGAAGAUUAAUCGCACAAAGAAUAUUAGUCCUAAGUUAUUCUAUGCACAUAAGCUGCAGAAGAUGAACGAGGUGAGAAUCUUGCAUAAUAGGUCAUGUGACAAUAUUGCUGAUUUAUUAACUAAAUCAUUACGGACGACAUCCUUCUAGAGAUGUGUGCCCGUAGUCGGUAUGAUGAGACUUAAGGACAUGCAAGGUUUGGGGGAACCAAUUUCAAAAAAUCAUAAAAAAUCUCGGUCACGAUGGCGGAGAACUGAACUUGACGAUUGAAUGAAUUGUACUCUUUUUCCUUGAGUGAGUUUUUGUCAUGUUUCUCACAUGUGGUUUUUGAUGAUGUAGUUCGUGCUAUACAACGACAUAUAUUGUACGAUCUUUCUUCAUAUUUUUUUCACUGGAUUUUUCUACCUUUUAAACGAAUGUUUCCCCACGUUAAGAAGGUACAUGUCCCCUACAUCUAGCUAUAUAAAGAGGAGAGCACCUAUUGUAUGUAUGGUUGAUCAAUGAAUAAUAAAUAAAGACUCCCUUCUAAGUCUUUAUGACCAUUUACUUCAUGUAUCUCUGUGUGGUCGAAUAUGACGCUCGCUCCCCUUCCGCAACCUUCGUUGGACUCACCAACAGAAGUUGCGGAACAAUUUAUAUCUCUUGCAAGCAGAACAAUUAGCAAACCUUGUUGACCCGUGUCAGCACGAGGUCAGCAAUUUUUACUACCACGUGAACAGGAGCAUGAGGGUAACACACGAUGCGGACAAGAAAUAAUCCAUCACAAUGGCUGGGCAGAAAUCCGCGUCAAUACUUGGUGAAUGCCCAGCGUGGCUCGGUGGCAGCCGAAGAUGAACAGCGAAACGUUUAAUUGGGAGGACUGAUAAGAAUAGCUUGUUUUCUGCCUAGCCUUCCGGAAAUUCCAAGCACCGCCGACAAAUCUGCAAGCAUUCUAAUGCCUCCUGGUCCUAGUGAGUGGUGGCCGGAGAAAAAUUAUAUACAUACAUAUUGACUGUGGACUCUCUAAUUAAGAUUUAAAGUGUGUCGAGAUUUCAUUGAAAUGUGUGGCAUCGGUUUUGGGUUUUGGUAUAGUGUUGGUGAGUGCGUAUUCAUGUGAGGGUCCAAGAGGUGAGUGAAGAUGGAGAAGCAACAAGGGGAAGUGAUGCUUUUAAACACAGAAGAUAAAGAACUGGCCACGUCACGGUGGUAAACAAGAGUCAUUGAUGAUGUAAGCUAAUUUUGGCGAAGGGCCAUUAAAUGAAUUUUAGGCUCAAAAGGAGAGAGGCCACAUAUACACAUACAUAAAAUACUUAAAGUGGCUCAGCUAUCCCAUGCGUUUCAAGUAGUUUGGGUGAGUGCUUUGCUGGUUGCCACAUGUCCUCGGUUUAAAGAUCCUAAAUUCUGAUGUUUUUUCUUUUUCUUUUUUACUGCCUCCUAAAAAUAAUUACUACACACCACUUAUCUUGCACGCGGGCACGUUUUCGUGAAACGUCUCACUAUUUUUCAUAUUUUUUGUCUUUUUCUUUUGUUCUCAACGUCUUGAGAGAGAGAAGAGAGAGAGAAGUAAAGGUCAGAUCGACAAGCCCUGCUCCCAAAAUUCAUAGCACUGUCAUCAUUUUUUUUGCGUGAAAACUUCUGUCCUAUUUAUUUUCAAUUAUGGAAGUAGAACAAACAUCAGAAAUAAUAAUAAUACAUCCAGUUCAUAGAUCAACUAACAUUAACUUGAUGUUGCCUCCUACUCCUAGUGUGGAGUUGCCAAGAAAAAGAAAUAAAGCAUGUUUAUGCUUCUAGCAACCGUGACUGAUUUUUCUAUUGAAGCUUUAUAGGUGAUCCAGAUUUCAGCGCAUCGCGGUAGAAGCUUCUCGCAGCAUUGUUAUUUUCAAUUAAUUGUGGUAGAAGCUUCUGACUGUGAUUUUAUGCAUAUGUUGAUCGAUCCUGCAAUGCCGCUAGUGAUUUUACUCACCUUGUUAUAUAAAGUGACUAGCAACAAUAUAUAGUCCGACUAGGAUUAUGUCUCACUCUUUAUGUUGCCAGUAAUUUCAAGUAGAGUUUUUCUAGGGAAUUUCCGGUAGAGAGUUAGAACUUGGUCAAUCCAAUAUUAUGCAAGAGUAUGUGCAAACAUCACAACGAGUCCAUGGAGUGAGAAAAUAAGCAAGACCCAAAGAUUGCGAGGAAUAUGUAAAUUUCAUUUAUACAUAGAUUAUGCAUAAUUACUAGCAUUGCCCGCGGUCAUGAAUAUUGCCACGGUCACCCAUCAUGCGGUACACAGACCCAGCAACAUUGUAAUUAAUUCUAGCGAAAAGGACAAAACUCACUUGCAUAUGUUGAUUGUUCCUGCAAUGCCGCAAGUGAUUUAAUUCACCAUGUUAUAAAGUGACUACCAUAAAUAUAUAGACAAGCACGGAGUACGUUGUUGUCUAUGGUGCCAUUUAGUUUUAGUAGCGGUACACCUUGUUCAAAAUAAAAACAAGUAUGUGCAACCACCACCAUAUCUCCAUUCAGUAGUAGUUAGACAGUGUUAGUUUGGGUAUAUUAGUAAAAUCAUACUAAGAUACAUCCAAGUAUAAACAAGAAAAUAGUUACAUAUUGAUACUGCCAUCAUUCUGUAUGUAAAAAAAAAUCCUAAUGUCCAGUUGCAACAAGUUACUUAUCAUGUGGCAAGAGUCGUCUUCAUCCGGCCCGUCAAGUGUCUUUUGUCUGUCGAGUUUUCCACCUAGGUAUCGUAAACAUGUUUACCGAGUUCCCGAUGGCUAGUUCUCAGUAAACAGUCAUUUGCCUGAAAAGUUCGGGCGGAGUACUCUUAGCCAAGAACCAAAUGUUUAACUGGGAAGAUGGAAAGAGCUUGUGUCCUACCUAGACUUCCCAGAACUCCAAGCACCGCCGGCAAAUCUUUCAAACAGUCUGAUGCCUCCUAGUCCUAGACUCCUAGUGUGUUGUGGCCAGAGAAAUUACAUACAUAUAUGCUUCCAGCAACAUAUUGACCGUGGUCUUUCUAAUUAAGAUUUAGAGUGUAUCGAGAUUCCUAUGAAAUGUGCGGUAUGUGUUUCAUGUUUUGGGAUAGUGUUGGUGUUCAUAUGUGAGGGUCCAAGAGGUGAGUGAAGAUGGAGAAACCAGGAGCAGAAGUGAUGCUUUUAAAGACAAACGAUCGAUCAAGAACUUGCCACGUCACUGAUCAGGCGGUAGCUAGAGUCUCAGACCUCAGUGAUGUAAGUUAAGGGUAGCAGAAGAGGCUAAAGUCAAUUGCAUACAUUGAUCCAUCGUGGCGAUGUCCAACCUGUUAUGCUCCUAGUAACUUCAAUCACCAUGCUAUGAAGUGAGUGCUAGACCGGCUCGGAGUACGUCUUUGUUUCAAUUUCUUCAGUACUAACGUGUACAUUAAAUGAGUUUUAUGCUCGAAAGGACAAACAUCACACACACACAGGACGACGAGUCAAAAACAAUAAUGAAUCCAAACGUGUAAGUAAAGAAUGGAGAAGCAACGAGGGAAUCGAUGGGUUUUUCAAGAUGACGACAUAAAAGUACUAGCAAAUGCGUGUUAUUCAAUAUUAUCCAUGUCACCCAUCAACUGGUAGACAGACCCCAGCAACGUUGUAAUUUUCAACUAAUUGUAGAUAAACCAGAAAGGAUAAAAGUCACAUGCAUCUAUCGAUAGAUCCUGAUUUUACUCACCCUGUUGUAAAUUUACUUUUUUACAUGGGUAAGAUUUCGAAUUUGGCUAGGGCUUUUGCCUGCUAGCCGCGCGGGAGAGAGUAGGGAGGAGGCGCGCGCCAAGUUGAUCGUGGGAGAUUGUGCGGAGCAAAGGGGUGGCUGUGAUCGGGGGAGUCUUUCCCUGAGGAUUUUCUGAGAUUUGUUACGCUAAAUAAGAGAGGAUCCAGAAUUCCUUUUUUUUCUUCCCUACUCUCACGUGAUUAUGGUAGGGGCAUUUACGUUCAAAACCAACGAAAGUUUCUCUUCCAGAUCAUGCGUUAAUAUUGAUGCAAAAAACUAUACACCAACAUCUAGGAACGCAGGGACAAUAAUGUUUUUAAUUUUCUCAAUUUCUUUUUACGCCCACACGGCAGCCUGCCAAGGCACAAGCCUUGCAACGAUAGGGCUCAACCACAAGGAUUAAACAAAGAGAAAAGUAAAUAAAACUACCUUUUUUUCUUUUGUUUACCGCGCGCGACAUGCAUGUUACUUCGCGUGAGUCAAAAACAAUAACUUCCGCAUGCAUGCCAUCAGGAUCGGGGUGGAAAUUAUAUGUAAUAUGGUCGCCUUGACAACAUGUGAUAAUGAAAUACACCCUAUAACUUGAAGAGAGAGGAAAUGUUAGUUUGAUUAACAACGCACCACAUCAACAACGCACCACCACAAGACCAUAAACUUAACUUAUCUACAACUCGACACCUUGGAUCCCAACCCCUUACAAGUACAACAAAAUCACCAGCCCACUAGCAUAACACCAACGACGCACGCAGUCGAUGAUGAUUCUCUCUUAUCGCCUCAUGGGGACUGAGGUACUCCUCGAUGCACUGCAGCAUGAGGUGGAUGCAUUGCUUGGGCUUGGGCGUCUUGAGUAAGUGUAAGACGACACAAGGUACGAUGUCGACAUUGUAGUUCAUGGUCGACAUGUAGCCAACCGCGCCCGAGCGAUAGCUAACCUCGUUGAAUCCGACAUGGCUAUAAUCGAUGACCAACAUUUUUUUAGGAAAGGAGGACCCUUUAUUAAUGAAAGAAAUAGAAUAGCCUGCGGCUCCAAACAAUCUCAUAAGGAGCUGCAAAAUAAUCAAAAAGAAAAAAAAAUGCCACAACUGACAAAAAUAAGACUAGUUGUCUAACAAUCUAUCCUAUUAUUAAACAGCCAUCCAAACCGAUUAUAGAUAUCCCGAGCUAUUAUCUUCCACCAACCUCAUAAUCAGUGAUCAGCUCCAUGCUAUGAGCUCCAUGCUUGCCCUUGGGGCCUAUGGACCACCUAUUUUCCCUCUACCGCAUGCUAUGAUCUAUGUAAUGCUGUUUAACGUUCGGUAAAACACCACGAGGCUUUCCUCUAAAUAAACAGAAAACAGCGCAGCUAAGUGCAGGGACACUUCUAGUUAUUGACCUGUUAUAGACUUAUAUGCGUUAGAAAUUAUGGAUGAACAUGAUGAACGUAUUCUCAUGCCUUCAGGUGGGAAGGGGGGUUUCAUUAUUCUUGUGACUUUCAUCCAAUAGCAUGUCUUUCCUUUUGUUUCACUAAAUGACACACUUUUGAUUGGCAGCUAGACAAAAUGGCACAAUUUUUUUUCAUGCUUUAUUUUUAGGUCUAGAUCCACUUGUCAGCUAUGUUCGAUCGAACCUUAGUGACCAACUGGCGAGUGGUUGCGACAUUAGAGAAAGGACAACAUAACCACCUCAGCUUGAUUCGUCCUAGACCCAUACUACCAAAUCGAGACAAGCAUCGGACGAUCUGCAGACGAGGGGCACACGGCUCCCAUGCCACCAAAUCCCAAUGCUCAAGUCAAUAGCUGCCAUGACAGAUGACUAAAAGAUCUUCCCUAGCCUUCCAAAAAUUCAGACCACUGCCAUCAUAUCUUCUUAACUUGCUGAUGCCUCCUACUCCUAGCGUGCGGCCAAGAUAAAGAAAAAGCAUGUAUACGUUUCCAGCAACUUUGACUGCGAUAUUUCUAGUGAACCUUUAUACUGGUGUAUUGCGGUGUAUGUUUCGGGUUGGGUUUGGGAUAAUGUGUGUGUGGGGUUCGGGGAGGUUAGUGAAGAAUGGAGAAGCAGCGAGGGAGUCGGUUGGUUUUUUAAGAUGAUGAUGUAGAAGUACUUGCAUAUGUGUGCGGUCUUGAAUAUUAGCCACGUCACCCAUCAGUCGGUAGACAGACCCUAGGGACGUUGUAAUUUUCAAUUAAUUGUAGCAGAAACCAGAACGGACAAAAGUCACAUGUACAUGCAUAUGUUGGUCGAUCCUGCAAUGCCGCUAGUGAUUUUACUCACCGUGUUAUAUAAAGUGACUAGCAUCCAAAUGUAGACCGGCUAGGAGUAUGUCUCACUGUUUAUGUUGCCAGUUAUUUCAAGUAGAGUUUUUGUAGGGAACUUUGUCAAACCAGGCAAAAUUAUGCAAGAGUAUGUGCAACCAUUAUUAGAGUAUGUGCAAUCAUGUUUAUUUCAUUGCAUUAGUUCGUUCAUGCAUGUAGUUGAACUGAAGGCUUGAGGCUGCGGCAGUGAACGUGCUCGUAGAAGUGUGAGACAAGUACACAUGCAAGCUAAUAGGGCCUGAUUAAUUAGUUGAGUUAGCAUGAGCUGAUCAGUACCAUGCACGUACAUGCAGUUUGCAUGGAUGUGUUGGUUAGCUACAUGCACGUACAGCUCCGUGGAGUCAAGGCGGCCGAGUCCUACGGCAGAUCAGUGUGGAGCUAGAACUGGACGCAAUUGGUUGGGCGUGCGUCAAGUGUGCCGUUGCGGGUAAGCUCAUGUCUGUUGUAACUUGGAUUCGACUCAAUCUGCAGGAAUAAUCGGAUCAAGCAGCUGGCUUGGCUGGCGCGUCUGCGAGCGACCCUACACGUACGGACAAUAUUUAGGGAAAUUUACGAGAAUGAUUAGGUGAGCUAAGAUGAUUGAAAGAAAUAAGGGCGAGGGGGCCACACCCCUGAGAAUCGGGGGCGGUGGAAAUUAGUUGAUGAAGGAGUCCGUAAACCCUCCGUAUAACUCCGUAUGUUUAGAAUUUUCGCGCGUCUGCAUGCAACGUAGUGGGUUAGUGGGUGCGUGUGUUGUGUAGGUUUGGUACUUGAACACAUGUACUCAGCUGAUUUGCGUUGUGGGGAAUGCAAGAGAAAAAUGUAGCCAUUGUGAUAGCCAAGGAAGAGAGCAUCUCGACAAAGCCUUUGUGUUCUUCCUUAGUACAUGUGUUUGUAGAGUUUCUCCGUGGUGUGUGUUCUUGAGAGAAGAAGAGAGUGUUGCUAGGAGGUAGAAGAAGGCGGCGCAGCGACGAGACGGCGCCGACAACCACCACCACGAGUCCAUUGAGCGACGAAAUAAGCUAGUCCCAAAGAUUAUGAGGAAUAUGUAAAAAUUCAUUUAUACAUAGAAGACUCGUUCAGGCAACCACCGAGAAGAGAUGGCAUGAUCUGGAGACAUCGUACAUGCAUGCCACCUAUUAAUCUACUUGAAGAAGUAUGGGAGGUCGAGCACGUAGAGGAGGAAGUAUGCCCAGACGGCGCCGGAUACACCGCCGAAGAAGAAGCCUCCGGUGAACUGCGACCACCCUUCGGCGGUCUGGAGCUUGUCGGCCUCCUUCUUGCGUCCGGUGAGGGUGAGCACCGGCGCGGUGGACGGCUCGCCCUCGUUGAAGGAGGCGACGCCGUACAUGGUGAGGCAGACGCUGAGGAUGGAGACGAGUCCGAUGGCGCCGAGUGUGCCGGCCUGUCCGUGCACGGGCGUGUUGCGGAGCGGGCCAGUGAGCGCGAAGGGGCCGACGAGGAGGUAGCCAUGGGCGAGGCCGACCUCGAUGCCGCGGAGGAGCGGGCUGACGGCGGUGCGGUAGGCGGGGAGGUUGGAGAGGUACCACGCGACGAGGGGGCUGGAGGUGACCGGCGUCUCCAGGCUGCCGAUGAACGGGUCGCCGUUGAUGGGCUGGACCACUUGGUACGUCGGCUGAGAGGAAACACCAAAACAUGUAUGAGAUGCAAAGCAAGGCCUACAACAAGCUAAACCCUACUUGUAUCCCACAAAUUGUGGUUUGUUUUGGAUGAAUAAAUCUCUGUUCGUCCUAAAAAACAACACGCUAAACCUUAAUUUUAGCUCUCUCUUGCAUGCAAUUGCAAGUUUGCGACUGACCUUGUCAGACUUGACAGCCUUGACGACGAAGCGGGGCCUCCGGGUGAGCGAAGCGCCGGACAUGCCCCGCGGCUUGGAGCACGCCAAGCCGCUCUUCAUCACCUGGCUCGCCAUGGGAGGAGCAUAUGCAGUGGCCAUCUCGAUGUCCUCCUUCGACUCCCACACGCUCAACUCUGCUCUGCCUGCAGCGUCAAAUGGAUGGAUGUGUUACAAGAAGAAGAUCUGUCCAGAUGGCAAGAUGUUUUAGUGGCUCCAAGGGAGAGGGGAGAAUCUGGGUCCUGUUGGGCGGGACCCUGCAUACGAGAUAUGGUCCGGAGCUGUGUGGCUUCCAUUGGCUGCAAUCCUAUCCCUUAUCCGAAUUUCCGGAUUCUGUCUGCGUGUCACUCUGUGUGUGGUCUCUAUUCGUCUAUGGCUGCACCCAGACCAGAUUUUUCAUCUUAUUGUGCUGAUAUAGUCAUACACUUAAUACACAACAUAAGAUUAUAAGUGUUAUAUAUAUGUCAUCUAUCAGUUUGCAGUACAAAAUCUAAAUACUCAUCGAAAAUUCUUAUUUUUAGAUUUUUUAGUGCGGAUUGAUAUGAGACAUAUACUCCCUCCGUUCCUAAAUAUAAGAUUUUUUAAAGAUUGUACUAUAAACUACAAACGGAUGUACAUAGACAUAUUUUAAAGUAUAGAUUCACUCAUUUUGUUCCGUAUGUAGUCUCCUAAUGAAAUCCCUAAAAGGUCUUAUAUUUUGGAACGGAGGGAGUAUAAAAUAAAAUAUGUAAAGCACAAAAACAUGUGGCACCUGUUUUAAAAGCAGGUAAAAUAAAAGUAUGCAGGUAAAAAAAGCAUAAAAGUAUGAAGGUCUUAUAAUACAAAGUACUUUCUCUGUCCAGAAAUACUUGCCAUAAAAAUAAAUUUUUUAGAUGUAUUUUAGUUUUAUGUACAUACAUUUCUAUCAAUUUGUACAACAAUUAAUUUCGGACGGGGGAGUAUUAUGCUAUACUGUGGAGUUCGAAUGGAUUGCACGUAUACAAAAACAUGAGCAUUUUCAUCCCCAGACAUUCACGCUUAUAUUUGCGCUACACAUAUAGGCAGCUGGUGAUGCAAAAUCUGUAGGUAUGGUAAACUAAAAAAAUGUAAACAAUAUAGCUUCUUCCUUUAGAGGAUCAAUUAGGUGAAAAUGAGCAAGAUAUGUAAAUGAAAAAAAUAUUUUCACCGUUCAAUACACUUCGGCGCUUUCAAUACACCUCGGCGCGUUCCUGAACGACGUCUUCCGGCCACCUCGGUGUGGACAUGGCUGCAGCACCGGUCCAUCAGUCAUGCCACCGCGGUCAAGGCCGCCUCCCUCCGUUGGAUCGCCCACGCUCAGAGUAAUAGGUGGUCAGCACAUGGACGUAGGGGCUCGGCGCGGAGGGUUUUGGGAGCAGGAGCUUUGCAACCUGAACUGGAUUUUGGUAGGUUGAUCUCUUUUGCGUGGGUCCAAUCCAUGCGUCUUGAUCAGGGGCGCUCAACCCAUUAUAGUUGGUGGACCCUGUGACCCGCGCUAUAUUAACAGGAGUGAGGGUCGGGACACGAGACACGAGGUUCGUCGCCGUCACUUUUUCCACCUGCACACCCUUUCGAUCUAGGGUUAGCGCAGUGCUCACGGAAAGCACUACCGCCACCACAUCUCUCUGUCGCCGCCGCUGUCACCACCUCACCGUUGGACGCCGGCGGGUGCACCUCAAGUGCUGGGCAAGGUAAACACAUCCUAUAUACUACCAGAAACCCUAGUCGAUCCGAUCCACACAGUCUAUCAAUGGUAUCAGACUAGUUUCGGUUUAGGUUUUUCGGUAGCAACAGCAACAGCAAAAGCAAAGCAAUUCCCCUCCCCAAAAGAACCCUAGAAGGGCAAAGUGAACCGGAGAGGGCCUCGGGCCUUACCGGCAGAGAGCACUGCCGCAAGGCCGCGCCGACCCUCUCGAUCUCGACGCGCGUUGGCAAGCCGAGGCAUCGGACGAAGGUACCACCCCUUCGGAAAAAGAAUAAAUCGGAUCGAAUCAAAAAAAAUGCAAAGAAACCCACCCCUUCGGGGGCAAAGAACACCACCGCAAGGCAUCGCAGCCACGUCGUUCGAUGGUGGCGCGCUUCCGCUAAGGGAAACGCGCCACCGGCGAAGGGGGGGCAACGACGCAAAAGCAUACCCAGAAUACUCCUUUUUCUGUAACAGAAUAGGAGACGGGCAAAGGGGCAAAAGGCACUCCACCGCACCACUUGACGGCGGCGCGCUCUCCCUCGGGAGCUCGCACGCACCGGCAAGGGGAGCAGAGGGAGCCGGUGCCUGACGCCAUCGUAGGUGGCUCUGGCCGCCGUGGUGGUGCUAAAGGAAGAUGGUAGAAGGGAGCCGCGGCACGCGCGGCGCGGAGGGCUCCGCCCCCGACGCCGGCGGCCGGACCUUGCACCGCCGUCUGGUGGCCGCUGCUGCCCCGAACGAGAGAGAUAGCUCUGCGGGAGAGCAGCUAGAGAAAAGCGGCUGCGAGAGGGAGAGGGUGGUGCGCAUGGCGCGGUGCCCCUUGGUCGCCGCUGCCGGCGGCCAUCCCGAGAGCUCUCCGGGGGGCAGGGCAGCCGCCGCGCGAGAGCGAUCGAGCUCUUGGAAAUAUGCCCUAGAGGCAAUGAUAAAUAGUUAUUAUUAUAUUUUCUGUUUAAAUAUAAUAGUUUAUUAUCCAUGCUAUAAUUGUAUUGAAUAAAAACAUGAAUACAUGUGUGGAUACAUAGACAAAACAAUGUCCCUAGUAAGCCUCUAGUUGGCUAGCCAGUUGAUCAAGGAUAGUCAAGGUUUUCUGGCUAUGUGCAAGUGUUGUCACUUGAUAACUGGAUCACAUCAUUAGGAGAAUCAUGUGAUGGACUAGACCCAAACUAUGAACGUAGCAUAUUGAUCGUGUCGUUUUAUUGCUAUUGUUUUCUGCGUGUCAAAUAUUUCUUCCUAUGACCAUGAGAUCAUAUAACUCACUGGCACCGGAGGAAUACCUUGUGUGCAUCAAACAUCACGACGUAACUAGAUGACUAUAAAGGUGUUCUACAGGUAUCUCCAAAGGUGUCCGUUGAGUUAGUAUGGAUCAAGACUCGGAUUUGUCACUCUGUUUGACGGAGAGGUAUCUCGGGGCCCACUCGGUAAUACAACAUCACACACAAGCCUUGCAAGCAAUGUGACUAAGUGUAAGUCACGGGAUCUUGUAUUACGGAACGAGUAAAGAAACUUGCCGGUAACGACAUUGAAAUGGGUAUGCGGAUACCGAUGAUCAAAUCUCGGGCAAGUAACAUAUCGAAGGACAAAGGGAAUGACAUGCGGGAUUAUAUGAAUCCUUGACACUGAGGUUCAAUCGAUAAGAUCUUCGGAGAAUAUGUAGGAUGCAAUAUGGGCAUCCCGGUCCCGCUAUUGGAUAUUGACCGAGGAGUGUCUCGGGGCAUGUCUACAUAGUUCUCGAACCCGCAGGGUCUGCACACUUAAGGUUCGAUGAUGUUUUAGUAUAGUUUAGUUAUAUGCGUGGUUACCGAAUGUUGUUUGGAGUCCCAGAUGAGAUCACGAACGUCACGAGUGUUUCCGGAAUGGUCCGGAAAUGAAGAUUGAUAUAUAGGAUGGUUUCAUUUGGUUACAGGAAGGUUUUCGGGCAUUACCGGCAUUGUACCGGGAGUGACGAAUGGGUUCCGGAAGUUCACCGGGAGGGGGGAAACCCACCCGGAGGAAGCGCAAUGGCCUUAGGGUGGCGCACCAGCCCUUAGUGGGCUGGUGGGACAGCCCAAGAGGGCCUUGGCGCCAAGAGAAGAAAAAAAACCAAAGAGAAACGGAAAAAAAGAAGGGGAGGUGGGAAGGAAGAGAAGGAGUCCACUUUCCAAUCCUAAUUGGAGUAGGAUUCCUCCUCUCUUCCUUGGCCGGCGCACCCUUGAGGGCUUGCCCCACAAGGCAAGCCUCCUCCCCCUCCCUCCUAUAUAUAGUGGUGAUUUAGGGCUGAUUUGAGACAAAUUUUGCCACGUGCAACUCACAUCUAUACACCUUAGUUUUACCUCUAGAUCGGAUUUCUUCGGAGCUCGGGCCGAGCCCUGCAGGAGUAGAUCAUCACCACCACUGGAGCGUCGUCACGCUGCCGGAGAACUCAUCUACUUCUCCGUCUUGCUUGCUGGAUCAAGAAGGCCGAGAUCAUCAUCGAGGUGUAUGUGUGCUGAACGCGGAGGUGCCGUCCGUUCGGCACUAGAUCGGAACGGAUCGUGGGAUGAAUCGCGGGACGGUUCAUGGGGCGAAUCGAGGGACGUGAAUACGUUCCACUACAUCAACCAUGUUUCUUAACGCUUCCUUCUGUGUGAUCUACAAGGGUACGUAGAUCCAAAUCUUCUCUCGUAGAUGGACAUCACCAUGAUAGGUCUUCGUGUGCGUAGGAAUUUUUUUUGUUUCCCAUGUAACGUUCCCCAACACGAGCCCCUCAGCCGCGUGAGAGCAGCAAGGAGGAGAGCGGAGCGGUAGGGAGAAAAAAUGGGCUUAGGGUUUGCACUGGGUGGCUGUGGCUUUUUUUAACCCACGCGAAAUGGACGAGCAACCGUCGGAUUAGAUCCGAUGACCCUGAUCGUCUCCAGCGAAACCCUAAGAGCAGCCGGGCCACUUGGGCCGAAAGUGAAGCUGAUCCGGCCCACCUGAGGCCGGUGGGCCAACAGGCCGAAGUUGCGCCCAGGCCAGAGAAUCGCGGGAGGCCUUCUCGGGCCAGGCCGGCUUCAGCCCAGAGGGCAAGCUGACAGUUUUUUUUGUUUUUUUGUGUGUGUAGUCGUUUAGGCAGUUUCUAAUAGUUUAUAUUUCUUUUCUAUGCAUUAAUUUUCCAACAAAAAUUUUGUUUCGAAAUUAAAAAAGUAAAUAGAAAUUUUUCUGCAAAGAAAAAUAAAUGUUUCUGAAAAUAAAGAAUAGAGUUUUUUUUCAGAAAAAGAAAAGUUCAUGGAUUUUAUAAAAGGGAUAAUAAAGUUCAUGAAUUUUAUUUUUAACAGAAAAAAAAUUGCAAAGAAGAAAAAGUACAUGAAUUUUAUAUUCACGUUUUCCGCUGCGAAGUAUUUAUUUUAGUGCUCUUUUACAAAGAAAAUAAAAGUUAAGAUAGAAUUGAAAUUAAAGAGCACAUUAAAGUGAUUGUUUAUUAAAAGAGAAUAUGAUUCUGUUAACAUUGUUAAUAACAUAAUCAUGUUUAAUUAUUAUUAGAACUGAAGGUGCAUUUAUUUCUAUUUUUGCCCAACGGUAAUAUAGUUUGAAUUGCAUAGACAGUUGUAUGUCUAAUUUGACCAACGUUAGAUUAAAGCAUAUGAUUGUUAUACAUAUCUCAGUUACAUUGUGAUUUCAGGAGGCUUCCAGCUGAUGAAUUGCCUAGAAGAUGUUCCGACACUCACAGGUGAUAACUACUCUGAGUGGAGGAAGAAAGUAGACAUGGAUUUUGUCUGUGCUGAGGUGGACUGGGUUCUUGAGGAACUACAUCCCGUUAAUGUUGGAAUUAUGCCCUAGAGGCAAUGAUAAAUAUAGUUAUUAUUAUAAUUCCUGUAUCAAGAUAAUCGUUUAUUAUCCAUCCUAUAAUUGUAUUGAAUGAAGACUCAUUUACAUGUGUGGACACAUAGACAAAACACCGUCCCUAGCAAGGCUCUAGUUGGCUAGCCAGUUGAUCAAAGAUAGUCAGUGUCUUCUUAUUAUGAAAAAGGUGUUGUUGCUUNNNNNNNNNNNNNNNNNNNNNNNNNNNNNNNNNNNNNNNNNNNNNNNNNNNNNNNNNNNNNNNNNNNNNNNNNNNNNNNNNNNNNNNNNNNNNNNNNNNNNNNNNNNNNNNNNNNNNNNNNNNNNNNNNNNNNNNNNNNNNNNNNNNNNNNNNNNNNNNNNNNNNNNNNNNNNNNNNNNNNNNNNNNNNNNNNNNNNNNNNNNNNNNNNNNNNNNNNNNNNNNNNNNNNNNNNNNNNNNNNNNNNNNNNNNNNNNNNNNNNNNNNNNNNNNNNNNNNNNNNNNNNNNNNNNNNNNNNNNNNNNNNNNNNNNNNNNNNNNNNNNNNNNNNNNNNNNNNNNNNNNNNNNNNNNNNNNNNNNNNNNNNNNNNNNNNNNNNNNNNNNNNNNNNNNNNNNNNNNNNNNNNNNNNNNNNNNNNNNNNNNNNNNNNNNNNNNNNNNNNNNNNNNNNNNNNNNNNNNNNNNNNNNNNNNNNNNNNNNNNNNNNNNNNNNNNNNNNNNNNNNNNNNNNNNNNNNNNNNNNNNNNNNNNNNNNNNNNNNNNNNNNNNNNNNNNNNNNNNNNNNNNNNNNNNNNNNNNNNNNNNNNNNNNNNNNNNNNNNNNNNNNNNNNNNNNNNNNNNNNNNNNNNNNNNNNNNNNNNNNNNNNNNNNNNNNNNNNNNNNNNNNNNNNNNNNNNNNNNNNNNNNNNNNNNNNNNNNNNNNNNNNNNNNNNNNNNNNNNNNNNNNNNNNNNNNNNNNNNNNNNNNNNNNNNNNNNNNNNNNNNNNNNNNNNNNNNNNNNNNNNNNNNNNNNNNNNNNNNNNNNNNNNNNNNNNNNNNNNNNNNNNNNNNNNNNNNNNNNNNNNNNNNNNNNNNNNNNNNNNNNNNNNNNNNNNNNNNNNNNNNNNNNNNNNNNNNNNNNNNNNNNNNNNNNNNNNNNNNNNNNNNNNNNNNNNNNNNNNNNNNNNNNNNNNNNNNNNNNNNNNNNNNNNNNNNNNNNNNNNNNNNNNNNNNNNNNNNNNNNNNNNNNNNNNNNNNNNNNNNNNNNNNNNNNNNNNNNNNNNNNNNNNNNNNNNNNNNNNNNNNNNNNNNNNNNNNNNNNNNNNNNNNNNNNNNNNNNNNNNNNNNNNNNNNNNNNNNNNNNNNNNNNNNNNNNNNNNNNNNNNNNNNNNNNNNNNNNNNNNNNNNNNNNNNNNNNNNNNNNNNNNNNNNNNNNNNNNNNNNNNNNNNNNNNNNNNNNNNNNNNNNNNNNNNNNNNNNNNNNNNNNNNNNNNNNNNNNNNNNNNNNNNNNNNNNNNNNNNNNNNNNNNNNNNNNNNNNNNNNNNNNNNNNNNNNNNNNNNNNNNNNNNNNNNNNNNNNNNNNNNNNNNNNNNNNNNNNNNNNNNNNNNNNNNNNNNNNNNNNNNNNNNNNNNNNNNNNNNNNNNNNNNNNNNNNNNNNNNNNNNNNNNNNNNNNNNNNNNNNNNNNNNNNNNNNNNNNNNNNNNNNNNNNNNNNNNNNNNNNNNNNNNNNNNNNNNNNNNNNNNNNNNNNNNNNNNNNNNNNNNNNNNNNNNNNNNNNNNNNNNNNNNNNNNNNNNNNNNNNNNNNNNNNNNNNNNNNNNNNNNNNNNNNNNNNNNNNNNNNNNNNNNNNNNNNNNNNNNNNUGCGGAGCUCGGGCGGAGCCCUGCUGAGACAAGGUCAUCACCAACCUCCGGAGCACCGUCACGCUGCCGGAGAACUCUUCUACCUCUCCGUCUCUCUUGCUGGAUCAAGAAGGCCGAGAUCAUCGUCAAGCUGUACGUGUGCUGAACGCGGAGGUGCCGUUUGUUCGGUACUAGAUCGUGGGACUGAUCGCGGGAUUGUUCGCGGGGCGGAUCGAGGGACGUGAGGACGUUCCACUACAUCAACCGCGUUCACUAACGCUUCUGCUGUACGGUCUACAAGGGUACGUAGAUCACUCAUCCCCUCUCGUAGAUGGACAUCACCAUGAUAGGUCUUCGUGCGCGUAGGAAAUUUUUUGUUUCCCAUGUGACGUUCCCCAACAGUUAAACCUCGAGAGCCAGUGAGAGAUGCAAAAGACACUGAUGUUGUAUGGGAGAGAAAGCAGAGGGACUAUGCUCCAGUGGAGAUGUCCUACUCCCUCAGCAACCAAAAGUGGGUCAAUGCCAGCAAAAAGUGUCUAGCAUUUAUAAAGAAUACAAUUGAGAACGCCAUUGUGGGCUCAAUUGCAGAGUGCACUUCCGCAGGGGAGAUGCUUACAAAUAUAAAGAUCCAGUUCACUGGCUCCUCAAAGACAUAUGCCACCUAGUUGAUAAAACAGCUGGUUACAUAGAACUACAUUGGAGGUGACCAUGGCAUUAGAGAGCACAUCCUUCGGAUGAGCAACACGGUAGUAAAGAUCAAGCCAAUGGAUGCGGAUCUGGAAAUCAAACCAACACUCCUCGUCCACUUUGUCAUGGCUUCACUGCCAAAGGAGUUUGAAACCUUUGUUGUAAACUAUAACAUGUCACUUGAAACAUGGGACAUUGAAAAGACAAUAGCAAUGUGUGUCCAAGAAGAGGACAGACUAAAAGCCUCACAUGGUGGUUCAAUCAACUAUGUGAAGGACAAUAAGAAAAAUAAUUUCAGUCAAAACAACGAAGGUUCUCCUUCAAAGCCACAUGGUAAAUGCCCCUCGCACUUUCAGCAUCAGCAAAAGCCUCUUCCAGUGGACAGGGACACUUGUCUCCAUUGCAAGAAGACAUGGUACUACAAAAAGGAUUGCCCUGACUGGCUAAAGACCAUCAUGGGAAAGAGAGGUAACGACAUUGUUUCCUUUGUUAAUGAAUCCCUUUAUUCACAGUUUUCGAAAUCUACUUGGUGUAUUGACUCAGGAGCAACUGUUCAUGUUGCAACUCUUUACAGUGAUUCCGUUUGACGAGGACUAUGCAAAGAAGAGAAAGAAGUAUUGAAGUCGCAAAUGGCGUCCAAGCAGAAGUUGAAGCUGUCGGCAACAUCUCCUUGGAGUUGGCUGAAGGAUUCAAUCUUUUUCUUAGAAACGUCCUAUUUGUUCCUUCAUGUAAUAGAAAUUUAAUAAGUGUUUCUUGCUUAGAUAAAGACAAUUACGAGUGUUAUUUUGGACAUGGAAAGUGUGCCAUAUGGUACAAUAAUGCUUAUGUUGGUGUUGCCUUACUUCACAACGAGCUUUAUUUGUUAUCACUUCGUAAAAAAGUGCAUUGCGUGUGUAAUGUGAAUGAGCAGUAUUCCUCGUCGAACAAAGAACAAAAGAAGAAAAAAGAGAACUCACGACUCCUCGAAGUUAUGGCACUGUUGUUUGGGCCAUAUUUCGAAAGGGAGGAUAGAAAGACUAAUUAAAAGUGAGAUUCUUCCUCCACUAGAGUUCUCAGAUUUAGAACAAUGCAUCGAUUGCGUUAAGGGAAAGUAUGUAAAAUAAAUUAAAAAGGGUGCAAACCGAAGCACCGAAACACUAGAAAUCAUCCACAAUGACAUUUGUGGACCAUUUUCUGUGAAAAGUGCGGAUGGCUAUGACUCGUUCAUAACAUUCACGGAUGGUUACUCUCGUUUUGGUUACACUUAUCCAAUCAAAGAAACAAAUGAAGCAUUGGAUAAAUUCAAAAAUUUCAAUGUUGAAGUUGAAAAUCAGCUUGACAAAAGAAUAAAGAUAGUGAGAUCUGACCUGGGCGGGGGAGUACUACGGUCAACACACUCCAUAUGGCCAAGUCCCUGGACCUUUUGCAAAGUUCUUGCUGGAAACUGGCAUAAUAGCCUUAGCAAAAUGGAGUAGCUGAAAGGCAUAACCGUACCCUUAUGCAUAUGGUGCACAGCAUGAUGAGUUACUCCAACCUGCCAUUGAGAUUAUGAAUGGAGGCACUUAAAACCGCCAUUCACAUUCUCAAUAGAGUACCAAGCAUGUCGGUACCCAAAACACCGUACGAGUUGUGGAUACCCAAAAGUACCAUCCUUGCAACCCUUUAAGGUGUGUGGGUGCCAAGCUGAGGCCAAGAUGUUUAUUGGCUUUCCUGAUAGAUCAAAACAGUGAGUUGCCACUACAUUGGCUAUCCAAAUAGAUCAAAAGGUUUUUGUUUCUACUGUCCAGAAAGAUACACAAAGUUUGUAGAAACGAGACAUGCAGUCUUCUUAGAGGAAGAAAUGAUGAGGGAGAGCAUGGUAGCUCGGAAAAUUGAUCUUGAGGAGAAGAGGGUGCAUGCACCUAAUCCGAUGAUUCAAGAGCCAUUUUUCUCACUACCUGUUGUGACUCCAACCAUGACAACAGACAAUUUUAGAAGAUGUGCUAGAGAAUGAGGCACUUAGAAGGUCUAACAGAUCUAGAAGAUUAGCUAUUUCUGCUGAUUAUAAAGUUUAUAACAUAGAAUUGGUUCAUAUGGAAAGUGAUCCCACUUCACAUGAAGAAGCCAUGAGAAGCCCUCACUCAUCAAAGUGGCUGGAGGCAAUGGAAGACGAUAUGAAAUCGGUGAGUUCCAACGAUGUUUGGAACUUAGAAAAUAUUCCUAAAGGAGCCAAAACAGUAGGUUGUAAAUGGGUCUACAAAACAAAAUAUGACUCUAAUGGAAAUAUAGAAAGGUAUAAAGCACGACUCGUGGCAAAAGGAUUUACACAAAGAGAAGGGAUAGACUACAAUGAGACUUUUUCCCCAGUCUCAUGUAAGGAUUCCUUCAUAAUCAUAAUGGCAUUAGUUGCACAUUUUGAUUUAGAGUUGCAUCAAAUGGAUGUAAAGACGACAUUUCUAAACGGAGAUUUAGAAGAAAAUGUCUACAUGAAACAACCCAAGGGUUUUAUCAUGGAAGGCAAGGAAGAUAUGGGAUGUCGCCUAAAGAUAUCCAUUUAUGGACUAAGGCAAGCCUCUAGACAGUGGUAUCUAAAGUUUAGCAAUACUACUAAAAGAUUUGUAUUUACAGAAAAUGUUGAGGAUAACUGUGUCUAUGCAAAGCUCAAAAAUAGGAAAUACAUUUUCCUAAUCUUGUAUGUGGAUGAUAUCUGGCUUGCAAGCAAUGGUGUUAGUCUAUUACAAUAAACAAAGAAGUUUGUAUCCUUAAACUUUGAUAUGAAAGAUCUUGGUGAUGAUUCAUAUGUUUUGGGCAUUGAAUUCACCGAGAUAGGGAAAAUGGAGUCUUAUGACUAUCGCAGAAAGCAUAUUUAGAGAAGGUUCUUAAAAAGUACAAUAUGCAUGCGAGCAAGGCCACACCCGCUCCUAUAGUCAAGGGUGACAGUUUUGGGAAAUUCCAAUAUCCCAAGAACCAGUACGAGAUCAAUGAGAUGAAAGCAGUGCCAUAUACUUCGGCUAUUGGAAGUUUACAAUAUGCACAAGUGUGCACCCGCCCUGACUUAGCUUUUAUCACCGGGGUACUCGGUUGAUAUCAAGAGAAUCCAGGCCUAGAGCAUUGGAAGAUGGUAAAGAAAUCAUUGCGCUAUGCUCGAGGCACAAAGGAUGUCAUGCUAACAUAUAGAAGAUCUGAUUCCAUAGAGAUAAAAUGGUAUUCAACCGCAAGAUUUUGCGGGAGAUAGAGAUGAUAGAAAAUCCACGUCAGGAUACGUGUUCACUCUCGCUAGAGGGGCUAUUUCAUGGAAAAGCUCCAAACAGACCGUAGUUGCAUCGUCCACGAUGCAAGCAGAGUUUAUAGCAUGUUUUUGAAGCCACCGGGCAGGUGAUAUGGUUAAAGAAAUUUAUACCCGACUUGAAAGUGGUAGAUUGUAUUCACAGGCCACUAAAAAUGUAUUGUGACAACCAACCCACAAUAUUUUAUGCUCACAACAACAAGUCGAGUAAUGCUACCAAGACAAUAGAUAUAAAGUAUUAUAUUGUGAAAGAUAAAAUCUAGGAUUACACUAUAAGUCUCAAGCAUAUAAGGACAAAGGAUAUGCUUCCGGAUCCGCUAACGAAAGGCUUACCACCCAAUGUGUUCAAGGAACAGUUAGCCGGCAUGGGGUUAAUGGAAAGCCUAUAAUUCCUGGAUCAUAAGAGGCCCAAAAGGAACGGAAUUUGUUUUUUAACAAAACGUAUAUUGUAGCUGUAUGAUUCUAUCGGCAAUUAAGCUGUGACGAUGAGACAUGCUCUAUGUACCAAUAUGUGAUGGAACAAAUAAACUAGAAAGUAUAAAGUUAAAGUAAAAGUUGAGAUCAAGGGGGAGAAUGUUAGGUUGAUCUCUUCCGCGUGGGCCCAACGGCCCACCGGACCCUUGAUCCAUGCGCCCUGAUCCGGGGCGCCCAACCCAUUAUGGUUGGUGGGCCCCUGUGACCCGCGCUAUAUUAACAGAGGUGGGGCUGGGGCACGAGACACGAGGUUCGCCGCCGCCACUUUCCCCACCUACACGCCCUACCGAUCUAGGGUUAGCGCGGUGCUCACGGAAAGCACUAGCGCCACCACAUCUCUCCGUCGGCGCCGCCGUCACCAUCUCACCGAUGGACGCCGGCGGGUGCACCUCAAGUGCGGGGCAAGGUAAACCCAUCCUAUAUACAGUAGCGUAGCCAGACCAGCGUGCCAGGGUGGUCCAAUAAUAUAAAUAUUUACAUACAUUUAUUUAUUUUCAAAGAAAUAUAUUUUUAACUACACUAUAUACAUACUUUGGGGAAAUUCCAGGGUGGUCCAUGGACCACCCUGUCCACCCCCUAGCUACGCCACUGCCUAUAUACUACCAGAAACCCUAGNNNNNNNNNNNNNNNNNNNNNNNNNNNNNNNNNNNNNNNNNNNNNNNNNNNNNNNNNNNNNNNNNNNNNNNNNNNNNNNNNNNNNNNNNNNNNNNNNNNNNNNNNNNNNNNNNNNNNNNNNNNNNNNNNNNNNNNNNNNNNNNNNNNNNNNNNNNNNNNNNNNNNNNNNNNNNNNNNNNNNNNNNNNNNNNNNNNNNNNNNNNNNNNNNNNNNNNNNNNNNNNNNNNNNNNNNNNNNNNNNNNNNNNNNNNNNNNNNNNNNNNNNNNNNNNNNNNNNNNNNNNNNNNNNNNNNNNNNNNNNNNNNNNNNNNNNNNNNNNNNNNNNNNNNNNNNNNNNNNNNNNNNNNNNNNNNNNNNNNNNNNNNNNNNNNNNNNNNNNNNNNNNNNNNNNNNNNNNNNNNNNNNNNNNNNNNNNNNNNNNNNNNNNNNNNNNNNNNNNNNNNNNNNNNNNNNNNNNNNNNNNNNNNNNNNNNNNNNNNNNNNNNNNNNNNNNNNNNNNNNNNNNNNNNNNNNNNNNNNNNNNNNNNNNNNNNNNNNNNNNNNNNNNNNNNNNNNNNNNNNNNNNNNNNNNNNNNNNNNNNNNNNNNNNNNNNNNUGGAAAUAUAGGGGCAAAUCCACUCACUACCUUCCCAAUAACUCAUACUCCUACACUUGUCAUGGACAAAUACCGUCUCAGGAUUCAACAACAAGACCCGUACUUUUUUAUGUAGAUCAAUAAAAAAGAGUAGGACCGAUCAAGAUUUGAAAUGCAUUGGUGUAAAAGGAAUGGGUCUUGUAUUGUGUUCGUAAGUCAAGUUAGCAUGUGGGUUGAUAAAUAUGAAGAAUGGGAAGGAGAAAACGAGCUCGUUUUAUGCAAGAUGGAGGUAGAAGAAAUUUGCAUUGGGCCUUGCAUAGUUUGUUUAUUUAGGUAGCAUUUAAUAGUUUUUGGGUUAGUAGUGCAGGCGAGCAACCGUGGAUAGGUGUGUAUAAUGCUACCUGGUUCUUUAGCAAUACCCCCCUCGUGUUCUUCUUGUGUUUGAUAAUUUGAUGACCUUGCAGUAGGUAGACCCAUGUGUCAUUGGUGCUAGAGAAAAUGACAAAUGCCAUACACAUUAAUUGUGCUAGUACAGAAGGAUAAAACACCAUCAACAUGUGUCGAUUUCAAGAUGAUUGUCCCGUUAAGUUUGUUGAUGUACAGUGUUGUUCAUAGGAUAAUUUGAAAUCCUCCAUGACAUCUGAGUAUUUCACGAGCUCGAUGGGUUUACUCUCCAAUGGAGGAGUAAAAUGGUGCUAGAGUAGCAGAGUUUCUAGUAAUGUAAACUAUGGCCAUCAACAAAGCUAAAAAGGCUAGUGCAACACCAUCCCUCAUGUUGUUCCGGUAAGUUAAUGAGCCUGUAACUCACAAAUCAAGGCAUGUAAGUGGCAUUUGUCCUUUUGUAGUUCUACAAUUAUAAUGCUAUUGUUUGAGGUGUGUGUACGACAUGGUAUAUAGCCAAUAGGAGACGCAAGUGCACAACAGUGAUGUGGUUGAUAUUAAAGAUCAUGCGCAAACUUGUCCUACCUCAUGUCUUUUAAAGACAACCCUGUCCAUUUCCCUCUCCACUUCUCUGAUGUCCACUGUCAUCACACACACACACACACACACAGUGACUCAUGAACACAACCCCAAAACUGACACCUUGUACACCAAUGUGAUUGAAAUCUGCAAUAGGUUUUAUCUUUUUCACUAGGGAAAUCAGUUAUAAUAUAGUAGCCACUGUCAAAAUUGAAUACUGGCAUACCGAAAAUGGUCUUUGGUGGCCGAGCUACCUGCAGGCCGAAAUCACCCCCGCCCACGCGCCCUCGUGAUCGAUGCAAGUGUGUAGUACAUGAAUGUAUUCGACCGUACUUAACAAAGAAAACACCCGUAUCUCGCCAGCAGCAAAAAGUGCGGGCACAGCUAUACUAGGAGGCACAACACAGCCGCAGGUCGCUCUCAGGAGCAGAGCAUGCCAGAGAGACGUGUACACAUCACCGAAUCUGGAAGAGUCAAGAUGUGCUAUGGCAGGCGACCGUUGACGACGAACGUUUUCACAAUCUAGCCAUUGCCCGGUACUUGUAGGGUAUUUAUAGUUGAGGUUCCCCUGCAUCGCAGCAUCACAGCAUCGCCAUGCCUUCAUCUUCAUCCUUAGUUCGUUCGAGGGGCAACCAGGGGCACCUCCCGCUCAUCAUGUUGAUAUUUGUCGAUUCUUAAUAUCAUGAAACAAAUGUUUUUUUAAUUUGUUUGGACCCCCCCCCCCNNNNNNNNNNNNNNNNNNNNNNNNNNNNNNNNNNNNNNNNNNNNNNNNNNNNNNNNNNNNNNNNNNNNNNNNNNNNNNNNNNNNNNNNNNNNNNNNNNNNNNNNNNNNNNNNNNNNNNNNNNNNNNNNNNNNNNNNNNNNNNNNNNNNNNNNNNNNNNNNNNNNNNNNNNNNNNNNNNNNNNNNNNNNNNNNNNNNNNNNNNNNNNNNNNNNNNNNNNNNNNNNNNNNNNNNNNNNNNNNNNNNNNNNNNNNNNNNNNNNNNNNNNNNNNNNNNNNNNNNNNNNNNNNNNNNNNNNNNNNNNNNNNNNNNNNNNNNNNNNNNNNGUUUGGACCCCCCCCCCCCAUUUCGAAACAUGCUAUCAUAUUGUGCACAUGCAUACAUUUUUGAACCCCGCUUUACCUCCGCGUUUUUUUUGUACCUUUCAUUAUUCAUUUUUAUAAAUACUUUCAAAAAACAUGAAAAAAGAGCAAGUAUGUGCGACGGGUGCAGCUGGUGGUAGAAAAACACUUUAGCUCCAGCAGCCGCUGCAGUAGUGCUCGUCCACCGCAAGUGCAGUAGGUGUUGCUUGGUCAAAGGGGACAUUUGAUGUCUGUUUACAACAUUUGGCCAGUGCGCCGACACUAUUCAGCGGAUUGACCGGUCCAGACAAACACACACCAGGUAAAAAAGCAUGUCCUUUUUUAAAAAACCUAUUCCCGACCAAUACUUUUUUAUGUCGAUUAAUCUGGUAGCCGCAAAAAGGGCCGUUCAUAUUUUUUGAUAACGUUACAAAUAAAACACAUGCCACAAGGCCCGUUCUGUUUUUCGGCAUAGCAAUUGUCCCCCAAACCUAUCUUUUUUUAUCAUGCGUUUACCCUAAAACAGAAAGACAUUCCAGUGAUAUGAGAACAGAAGCAUGACAUUUUUCUUUUUUGUUGUUGUCAGCAUAGCAAAAAUAGUUCAAAACACAGAAAAUAAAGAGUUUUGACAAUUUUAAAACAAGACAUUCCAAGCUACAUAUACAAACAAUAGUACCACAAACAGAUAGAUUAACUAAAAUCCGCAAACAGUUUAUACGAGUUGCAUGGUAGCAUAUAUGAAGCAUAAAAUCCAAAACAAAACAUCAACCAUAGAAAUCUGCUCUUGAUGUGUUGGUGCAGGUGUUCCUUCUGUGUCCUGUCAGGCUGCACCUUGAGCACCGAGGAGACUUCCUCGGAGCCUUUGGGAGAUCGCCAUGUUGGGGGCAUGUAGUGCUUUUGUGCCCUUGCCCACGGCAUAUUGAACAAAACCGAGUCCUCUUAGCUGGUUGUUCAUAUGGCGCUUUGUCCCGGCUUGUCGUUGGCCGCCCUGCUAACCUCUUUUUUGAGGGUGCUCCAAAGCUAUCCGAGCAUUGCGAUGAGCUCUGCACCUGAUGGGCCGCACCAAAGUGUUGCUUUUGUACUGUACCAGAACAUGAAGAAUCACCGGCACCCUCUCUAUCAGAUAAGCCCAUGCCGUCGCGUAUAGCAGCAACCGGCUGCAGCAAUGUCUUGACAUCCCUCAGAUGUUCCAUGGCAAUAGCAUAAGCAUCCACAUUGCUGUCGCCCAGCCUAACAAUUUCAAGGCAAAGGAGAUGCAGAUUGUUAUGUCGCCGGAAGAGUACUUGAGAGGACCCUGAUCUUUCUGGUAACGUAGGAACUCUGGAGGUAGUAUAUCCCUUGCAUCCUUUGUCCAACGCUUCAGCACAUGCUUGGCAGGGACCUCUUGCAGACCAAGGUGGAUCAUGACCUGGGAACAAUAACGAUCAAAUGUCAAAAAGGAAACAGGUCACCCACCCACCCACACACAUGCGAUUGCCUUUUACAUGUACAUAUACCAGUGCCAAUAAUUUUAGUACCUUCAACGCAUGGCUGCACACCAUGCCAAAAUGUUCAAACAUCCCACAUUCGCAGUUGAAUUCGUCAGCAGGUUCGUUCACACGGACAAGAAAUUCAUUUUUUGACCAUUUGUCCCUCGAAACUUUCUUCACAUGCACGGCAAUGUACUCACGCCGAGCCACAACUUCAGUGAGGACAUACGAGCCACCCUCGUACAACAUCUCCCCGAAUUUUUCAAACAUGGCCCUCGUGUAAAUUUGGGAUGCAUGUAUCUCAAUUGGGAGGUUCUGUGCCAGGAUAACACCUCCCUGCAUGCGUAGUAAACGUCAUUACCAAAUUGUUCUAUAAAUCAGGACCUAUCAUUUAGCAUGACACAAAUAAAUGAUGUACUAGGGGUUUUGGCAGGAAUAACAUAAUUAUGCAGCACAUCAUUCAUUCGCUUACCAGCUUUGUUCUCUUCUCCUGAUAACUCUCCUCUGAAUCUCUAUCAAAUUGCAUCUUCUCGUAUUGUCUGACAAAUAAAUGCUUCGGGGACCCUGGUGGAACAUAUCCUUUAAGCAAAUGGUUUGCACUCUCACUCCGUUGUGUGCUGGUCAUCUUCGCACAGAAGACAUCCAUAAAAUAUGGCUUAGCCCACUUCCUUCGCAUCUCAUAUAUCUGGGUGAGAAACGUAUUUUUCUGUAGACCAUGCCUCUCAACCAUACACUCCCAACCAUCCUCAAACUCUUUCUCACUAACAACGUGGUGCACCAUCUUGUUGAACUCCUGUUUGAAUUCACUUCCUUUGCCGAGCAGUGGUCCGAGACACUCUUUUGCUUUUUCACGACAUGCCAUGUGCACCAUCGAUGGGUUGUAUGUUUCAUGACAUCGUCUAUUGCAACCUCCAUUGCACGGGCUUGGUCUGAAAAGGAAGCAUAUGUUUUUUUGUCAGGACGGAUGAGAGAAAAAAACAUUACUGUUAUUUUUUAUUACUACCUGUGAGCAUUGUCCGUGGUUGCGGAGCACCUAUCAUCUGAAAGAAUUCCGUGAAUAUCCAUUUGAAAGUGUUGAUUUUCUCGUCGUUCAUCAGCAACCCACCAAAAAUAAUGCUCUGGAAGUGAUUGUUGACACCAACAAAUAGACCAAACGGCAUAUCAUAUAAGUUUGUUUUGUACGUCGUAUCAAAUGUGACAGCAUCACCAAAACACUUAAAUUGCUCGAUGCUCCGCCCUGUUGUCCACAUCAAAGUCUUCACCCGACUAUCAUCAUCAACCUGUACACUAUAUUUGAACUCAGGAUCUUCAGCUCGCAUUGCAUUGAACACCUCUAUUGUUUUUGUGGCAUCAUUUUCCGACUGCUCUCUGCUAAGUUUUCCACACAGAGUUUUCAGAGACCUUUUUGUGAAUGGCACCUGCUUCACAGAUCCGAAAAAACUUCCCACUACGCUGUAAAUCUUGCUCAGGCUUAUAUUGUUCUCCCUAAGUUGUUUCAUUAGGUCCCUUGUGUACCUAUCUAUAUGCCGGUGCGACUUCCAGUGCAAUUUCUCCAUACAGUUGACCGACGGCGCAUGGUUGUGGUCUGCUUUGUGCUCGCAUAUGUACCAACCUUUGUCCUCUGACCUAAGCACACACAUCAGUGCUAAGCAGCGAGACCUCGUCGAGCGACUGUUCGCUUGCAACGGCCUACCCUACAGAUGUUUCACAAAAAACAAAAGGACGACAUCAACAAACUUGGAUUUAUGCGGUUUUUAACAAAUGCAUUCAAUCUUCUUUUUUCAAUAGGGUGGGGGGGGGNNNNNNNNNNNNNNNNNNNNNNNNNNNNNNNNNNNNNNNNNNNNNNNNNNNNNNNNNNNNNNNNNNNNNNNNNNNNNNNNNNNNNNNNNNNNNNNNNNNNNNNNNNNNNNNNNNNNNNNNNNNNNNNNNNNNNNNNNNNNNNNNNNNNNNNNNNNNNNNNNNNNNNNNNNNNNNNNNNNNNNNNNNNNNNNNNNNNNNNNNNNNNNNNNNNNNNNNNNNNNNNNNNNNNNNNNNNNNNNNNNNNNNNNNNNNNNNNNNNNNNNNNNNNNNNNNNNNNNNNNNNNNNNNNNNNNNNNNNNNNNNNNNNNNNNNNNNNNNNNNNNNGGGGGUUAGUUAAUCGCGCUUAACGCACAUGCACACACGAAUUCCUGCAUACAUUUUGUCCGAUGAACAUUCAGCCUGCUUUUGGCGUACCUAAUGCCAAACCCACACUCCCAAGAGUACAGGUUGUAAAACUCGUAUGCUUCUUCAACAGAAUCAAAGCUAGUCCCGAGUGCCGGAUUAACGACAGUACCAGCAUUAUUGUCUGCGUAAGCUCGCAUAGAAGCCUCCAGCGCAGGUACUCUGAUUGGGUUUGCAUCCCUCUCUUCCGAAGCUUUCCCAAUCCUAACACUGCAGGGGUUUGUUUUUCCGUAAUGCACAUCAACAUUUUUUUGUGAUAGGACAUACAGAGACAAAUACGAGGAUCCUUUUGAGAACAAGGUAUCAUGUGCAGGGUGCAAAUGCAAAAAAAUUGGACAAUCCUAAGCAUGGGUAGCAUCGCUGCACUAAAGCACAAAAAAGAGGAAAAGACACAGACUUGGGAUGUGCGCGUAUUACCGCCGAGUCCAGCACGAGCCAUUUGAGUUGUUGACGACGACACCCUCUGCAUCUCCAUCUUCUACCACAUGUUCAACGGGCGCGGACAGAUGAGCCGCAUCGUUAGAGUCAACAAUGACCUCACUUUCGCACUCAUCUCGGAUUUUCUCUUCACUGCUGCCACCACUCAUGGUUCAGAAAAGAUAGCGCAGCAGGUGGGCGCUCACGACAUUCCUGGAUCGAAGCAAUCACAAACUCGACGCCUUCGAUCUCGCCAGCCAAAAUAUCACCUGCAUCGAUCCUGGGGAUCAGCCUGCAAACACGAAAACCAAUAUCUUCCCCAGGUCAGAUCUGGCGAAGAAGGUAGCAGCAAGCAACCACGAACAGAUCGUAACGGAGCCAACAAACACAAUCCCACUGCCAAAAAAAUAGAUCCCCCUAACUAUAUACGCAAGAUAAGGAGGAAAUUACAUGCGGGGGGGGGGNNNNNNNNNNNNNNNNNNNNNNNNNNNNNNNNNNNNNNNNNNNNNNNNNNNNNNNNNNNNNNNNNNNNNNNNNNNNNNNNNNNNNNNNNNNNNNNNNNNNNNNNNNNNNNNNNNNNNNNNNNNNNNNNNNNNNNNNNNNNNNNNNNNNNNNNNNNNNNNNNNNNNNNNNNNNNNNNNNNNNNNNNNNNNNNNNNNNNNNNNNNNNNNNNNNNNNNNNNNNNNNNNNNNNNNNNNNNNNNNNNNNNNNNNNNNNNNNNNNNNNNNNNNNNNNNNNNNNNNNNNNNNNNNNNNNNNNNNNNNNNNNNNNNNNNGGGGGGGGGGGGGGGGGAUUAGUUUUCCUCACCUGGAUCUUGCUUGCUCGUAGAAGAACUCAAGACCAUCCAUGGCUCCAGCUAGCUGCGCGCAGGGUGUGGGGGGAAGGUGGCUGCGGGGUGUGUGUGAAGGGAUGGGCCAAAACGCAUUUAAGGCAGCACUCACACUGGCCGGCAGCUGCUCUUUAUUUUUUUCAAACCAGCCCACAAGGCACAUUACGUGCUGGCGGAUGUCUGCGUGCCCCCACCCACGUACAAUGGCGGCACGUCUGGACACGGCACCAGCGUAUUUUGUUUUUUCAGUCAUCGUAUAAAUGCAGGGAUAUAUAGCUGCACAGAUCUUAUCGUUGAUGUAGACGGCGCGAGAUUCCGGCCUGCAGGCCGCUCGGCCACCAAAACGCCACUCUCCUGGCAUACUCCUUUAUGUGACUCCUAGAGUAGGAGUGUGAGGCAUCGAGAAGUUGGCAUGAGGGUUGAGAAAUGGAAAACGUGCAUGGAAUUUUAAGAAAGAUAAGCAAUAUGCUACUCUCAUCAAUUCCACAUGAGACAUAUAAGUUUGUUUUUCCUUUGUGGGCGUCGCACAAACUCACCGGGUUACCAGUCCUAUAUAUCCGAGUGUGUUCCAGCACACAAAGCACUCUUGUUGUGUUGAUGUGCCAAAGUCAUUUUCACUUGAUCCGUAGGACUGUCAGACCAUGCGGGAUCAAGCCUCUCCAAUGGCCCUGAUCGCGCCAGCCAAUUCAAGAACAGUACGAUCAACUUCAUAAUCUAUGGAAUCAGUGGACCAUUUAGUUUGGGGUCGCUCUGUUGAUGCGUACAACUAGCAUAAUCCAAAUCCAAUCAUAGUAUAUGGUAUCUAGCUUCAAGAACAGUAGGAUCAACUUAAUACCCCAUGGAAUCACUAGAGUACUGUUUUAGUUUGGGGCCGUUGUGUUGAUGCGUGCAAAUAGCAUAACCCAAAUACAAUCAUACUAUAUGGUAUCUAGCUGACGGUGUACAUUGUGCUUCUAUCUUGGGUUCAUAAUCCGCUCAGUUAUCUUCUCUAUUCUUCACGGGAAUAGUCAUUUGAAGUAAUCUAUGAAUUUACUAGACUGGGUCAUAACUAGUGGCUCAUGAGACGUGACACGAAAAUAUGAGAGAACAAAAUUACAGUGGCUACACUUAUAUUAUUUGAACAUGAGAUUUUCCACCAAAAGCUUUACUUAUUGGAGAUUUACACUAUUGAUUUUGGAUUACACACAUAGCAAUGCUGGUGGACUUUUGGUUUGAUUACACAAGCUAUCAAAUAUAGAAAUCCUAUAAAUCCUAAUUGUCACACCUUUAGGAACAAUUUUUGGUUCGGUUAAGCAUCAUUUGGGAUAGCAUGUGCAUCAAGAUCUAUGUUGGGAGAACUGUAAUGACCAAGAUCUUGGUGCGCAUACAUGACCAAGAUUUUUUUUAAUUUACUAUAGGAGGAAUCUGAUAGAACUCCACCUACUGUUACAUGGGCCAAUGUUGGGAGAACAAUAAUCUAAUAACAGAUGGUGGCCAUCUUUUAAACAGUUGGUGCUUGUUGAGCUCUCCUCAAGUUAAUUGGUUGUACAUAUCCAGCCAUUAUUCUCAUAAAUAAAGUUUUAAAUUCAGAAUAAAUGCAAUUUAUGCAUUUAUACAACAUCUACUUAAAGCUUAUUCAUAUUUAUACCCAUUUAGGACGUAAUCCCUCCGUCCGAAAAUGUAAGGUCAUUUUUGACAAUUUUGUGUGUAUUUAUCUCAAAUGGUUUGUAUGUUGCAACUUGGGAAUCCUAUUUACCAUGUGAUCCCUUCACCCCACCCCACCCCACCCCCGGUUAGUUUUGAAUAGUGUUGUUUCCCAAAGUUUUACAUGAAACUUCUGUUUUCAGAUAUUUCCCUAUUCCUAUUUUGAUUUCGGAUUCUAUUUAAUAUUGCGUUUUGUUUUAAUUUUACUCAUUUUAUAAUUUCCCAUUUUCUCUUUUUCUUAGGGUAUGACCUUUUUACUUUUAGUUCUCUUUCAGGUUUCGUUUUGUGUUCAGUUUUAAGAAAAUACUUGAUGGUUUUAAACUUGUAGACCAUAUAAUUUGAAACGUACGAGCAACUUCUUUUUACCACACGAGCUCUUUUGAAACAAUGACUAUUUUUUCAUAAAAAGGGGAGUUUAUAAUAUGGGAUGAAAUUUUUAUUUCAAACAUAUAAACAUUUACGUUUAAGUGUGCAUGAUCAUUUUUAUUAUUUCGCUAUAUAAUAACUUUCUACAUUCUUAUAUAGGUUUUAUGUCUAGAAUUCUUUUAUUCUCAUUAUUCCGCUAUACAAAAAUCCAUCUCCAUUUACAUGUGCAUCAAGAUUUGUGCGGCUGCUACUGUUUUAUUCUCAUUAUUCUGCUAUUCCAAAAUUAUACCGAACAAAAUACAUCUAGUGGAUCCCACUUAAGCAUCCAUAGUACUAUUUUUAUCAGUCUAACAGGACCCAUAGUACUACUUUUUAUCAGAAAAGGACAUGCAUGCAUAUGUCUCUUAUCUCUCCCUUGCAAACAUAUCCUUGGCUUUAUUCUAUCUUAGCCAAUUAAAAGCAUCCGUAUCUUUAAUGAGUUUGUUUUUGAAAAUAUAUAUAAUUUAACUCCCGGUGGCAAGGCGUUUCUAACUAGACCAAUCUUGGAGACAAUUUUAACACAUUUUAAUUUCAAUGUUUCACAUUUUGUAUGUGAAAAAAAACAAUUUCGAUUUAAAUAGAUAUUUUUUGUGAAACAUGUGAGUGAAAAGUAAAAUGUAGGUUCAGGAUUGUGAAAUACUAACUACAAAAGAUGAAAAUUGUAAUGUAUCAAUGCGAAACUGGUUAUUUCAAAAUGUGAAACGAAUUAUUUAAAAAUAAUGAAAUGGGUUAUUUAAGAAACAUGUAAUUGAAAGAGAUAUAUAUUUUUUUGUAAAACAAGCCAGUGAAAGAUGGAAUGUAAGUUCUAAAUUGGCAAGUAGUAACCACAAAAAUAAAAUUGUAAUGUAUCAGUGUAAAAUUGAUUACUUGAAAAUAUGAAACAAUCUAUUUCAAAAGAGUGUAACAGAUUAUUUGAAAAAUACGCAACUGAAAUAGAUAUUAUUUUGUGAAGCAAGCCAGUGAAAAGUGAAAUGUAAGUUCGAAUUUUGAAAUAGUAGCCACGAAAGUGAAUUUGUAAUGUAUCAGGGUGAAACUCAUUAUUUCAAAUGUAAACAAAAAGGAUAUUUCAAAAUAGCCAAAUAGGUUAUUUGAUAAACAUGCAAUUGAAAUAUAUGUUAUUUUUGUCAAACAUGCCAGUGGAAGUGAAAUUAAGUUUGGAUUUGUCAAAUAUAAACUACAUAAAGAGAAAUUGCAAUAUAUCAGUGUGAAAUUGAUUAUUUUGAAAUAUGAAAUAUAUGUUUAAAUUUAAACAUGGUUGAAAAAUAUGAAAGAAUUAUCUCAUUUUAAAGGUUUUGGCACAAGGAGUUCAAAUAUAAAAAGGUUCAAAAAUAAAUACACAUGGUUUAAAAGAUAUGGAUGUUUCAAAUUAGUCAAGGUGAAAGAAAAUGUUGGAUUUACUUUUUUUAGAAAAAGAGGAUUUUUUUUGGCCUCUGCAUCAGUAAGAUGCAUGCAGCCACUUUAUUAAAUAAAGCAAUCAAAUGCGGUUCCAAAUAAUAUCUGAAGGUUCAAUGAAAAAAGCAAAGACAAAGAGAAGAUGCCGCAGCCGGCGGAUAUAGAUCUAGAUGUCUGUCCAUCUAUCUUAUUACUGAACCGUCAUUCAAACCGGUUGUAGAUAUCCCGAGCUACCAUCUUCCGCUGGACACACCCAGUAACCAAAGGCUCACUAGUUGUCGUAGAAGUAAGUAACAACCAUAUAUGAAUUAAGCCGAUGCCUUGUAUAGUACCUACAAAAAAUUUAUAGUUGUUUGCCUGUUAAAAGUCAUGUACUCCAGCAUGUAAAGUUACAAAGUGGUGGGCCAGCUGCUGAAAUACCUAUAUUUCUUACCCAGGGAAAAACCUUCUUAUGAAAAAAAUGAGUAAGGAUACGAUCCGAGGUGUCACUGGCUGGUUGGCUAGGUAGAUGCUAGUACCUGGCACCGCUCACUUUUCUGCGUUCGCGUAGUAAGCCAGCCCACGAUGCCAAUCAUUGUUCAAAAAAAAAAAUCUUGUUUCUUCUGUUGGUUUUUCCCUUUUAUUUGUUCUUGAUUUCUAUGUUUUCUCUUAAGUUUUUUUUUCUUUUUCAGUUGUUUUUCGACUUAUUUGGUUAUUAAGUCGGCUUCGCUCAUCAUUGAACACUUUUCUAUAAUUUCUUAAUACAUUAUAAUACCAUAUUUUAAAUAUAGGAACACUCUUAAAAUUGGUGAUUAUUUUAUAGAAUUGAAUAAUUCUUAGUAAAAUUUUGAAUAUAAUAUUUCAUACAAAAUUUAAUUUUUUAUAUUAAUUAUUUUAUAAUUUUGUAUGUUUAUAAUUUGGGCAUAUAAAAAUAUGAAGAAAAAGGGAAGCCGGGAAACCUGGAAAUAUAAUCAGAAAAGGAAAGAAAAAUCACUGAAAAAUGAUAUUGGAAGCAGUCUGUUAGUAGCGCACAAGAGGCAAACAUGGGCCAGCACUUCGUCAGAUAUAAAUCAGCAAAUAGGGUAUCUCGCUAAUAAAUUAUAUAGGAGGGCAAGAACGUAUUCUACGCGUUGUUCGUGGAAUAGCAGUGUAAUCGUACGUUAUGCUAUCCCGUCCUUGUCAUGGGCCCUCCCAUGAAUUGACAAGCUUGGAAACAAAUUUAGUUCGAUCCUUUCAAAACUUGUUUCAUUACCCUGUUUUACCUCUUUCCAUUUUUAGAAUACACCCCAAGAAAAUAUUUUUCUCGGGAAGUCAUUCAUAAUUCUAUUUGAACUCUCUCAUCCGUCCAUCUUCUGGUACGGGCCGCAAAACAUUCAGAGUUAAGGCCAUCUUUAAAGCAGACCCUCAAACCUUCCCCAAGUGUAAGGCCAAACAUUCGGACACGGUUGGCCAUCCAACGACGUCCUACAACGGUUCGUGGAGUAGUCCGAACGUUCUUUUUCUGGCAAAUCGGAAGCAAACUUGGGGGAGUUUUGCGGGAGUCCGGAUACCAGCCAUGUAGGACUUCGACACCCCUGUCCAUCCAAAACCCCAUCCAAAACACCGUUGGGACACUGUGUCUCCAUCAUUCCCUCUUUCUCCUCGUAUGCUUUCUCUCUAGCCGUCGCUGCCCUACCACCCCGACCGCUCGCCAGACCAGUGCCAAAACUACGUGACGUCGACCGCUACACCGCGCAUCCACGACGCUUUUGCUCCGCUGGCGGUCCAAACCUCUCGUUGGUCUACCGCGACGUAGAUACCAUCCGCCCUUAUGGUAGUCACCACGCUCGACAAGUUUUUUUUAAAUUCGCAUGCUAAGUUAUUUGUCCCUUCUUUGAUGCAAGGGCAUUAAACAUGGAGUACAUAUACAAGCACUACAUUGAGUCGUCCGACGAGAAGGACUACACGGAUAAAACGACUAUGAUGUAGUCGAUCCUUGCAAAAGCGGAGCAAGUGGAAGAAUAUGUUCUUAAUUUCAAGGGAACGGUUGAGUGCUCAAUCAGAAAAGGGCACGUGUCAGUUUGACGCUGAUGGACGACUGCUUUGUCCUUGAUGCCCGUUUUUGCUAGCAAUUUUCGUCGGUGCUUUUGGACACGAGAAAAUGUCUUUGGUCGCUUCUACCAUGGCAUCCGGUCCUUUGAUGACUACUUCAUCCUCAAGAUGGAUGUGGUUCGAAGGAUGAAUUACCUGGUUAUCAUAAUUGCACAACCAUAUUGCAGUUGCUUGGAUAUGGUACUAUCGCUGAUUCACGGUAUGAAUACCUCCCAAUGCGUGAGAGCUCAUGCGAAGACUCCAUGGUCAUAUAUGCUACUACCGUGGUCUCGGUGUUUGGACAUCAGUGCUUGAAAGAACCAACUUUCGCAGAUACCGAGAGGCUCUUGGCAAUGUUGAAGCAAGAGGAUGGCCAAGUUUGCUUGGAUCUCUUGACCAGGCUCGUCGACAAGGGAGGACGAGGUGGGCGACGGCACAAGGCCCCCAAAUAAGUGGGUACGUACAAUGUAAACACACUUUGCCUAACCAGCCAUAAUCUAACAGCCAGCCAGCCGAUUAAACGUACCCAAAAGCCUGCUAAGCAAAUCGUACCUCAGCCCAUGAGUCACGAGGCCUGCUUAAGUGCUUAUCCAUGAUACAUGUAUGGAUCUCUAAGACUUGUGGCUUCCGCCAAUUGAUCAUAGGCGACUUCCGCCAUCGCCCAGGACACCGUCCGGCUGCUUUCAGCGUUUUCCGCCAGUCACCCAGAGCAGAGUCCGAUGCCUUCCGCCAUCGGCUAUUGCCCACGACCUGGCUGCCCUUAAGUAUCGAUGUUUUCUAUUUAAUUUUAUCCCUUUUCUUCAUCAAUAGUACCUGAUUAAGUUUGACCUCUUUGAUCUAGGUUAGGAGGAGCCGAGUAGGACGAGAUUAUUUGUUCUUGCGUUAGAUAUCGGUUACAAAUUUAUUUGUCCACAGUGCUAGGAUAGGAGUAGGAUGAAAUUAAGUUUCUUCUUGAUCAGUUGUAUACAUAUUUUUAUAUUUUAGAUACAUUAGUUCUUCUGUAAUCAGAACUUGUUGAAAUUUGGGGCCCAAUUUUGAUUUUCGCCCCGGGGCCCCGAAUUUUUGAAGACGGCCCUGCUCUUGACUGCAUACAUUGCAGCUGGAAGAACUUCCCAAAAGCUCGACGAGGGCAAUAUUAGGGCCAUGUUAAGAAGCCCAACAUAAUUCUUGAAAAAGUUGCAUCAUGGGAUCUCUAAAUUUGGCACGCUUUCUUUGGCAUGCCCGGAUCCUAUAGUGGCAUCAAUGUGUGUAGCAUCUAGAUUGUUUGCUAGAUUGACCGAAGGGAAAGCUCUACAUGGGAUACUACCUGGUUGACGGGAUCUAUCAUUUGUGGGCUAUACCUUUGUCAAGACCAGCUUUGAGCAUGUUGAUCAGAAAAAGUAUCACUUUUUCGAAAGACAAUAAACAAGUAGAAAAGAUGGGAGAGGGCAUUUGGUUUGCACUAGAACCGUUUUAUAGUUGUUGGUGGGCAUGCUAAACAUUGAGAUCCGGAGACCUUGUGGAAGAUGAUAACUUUUUGUGUGAUCGUGCAUAGCAUAAUCAUGGAGGAUGAGGAUGAAGGUAUUGCAGUACACCGGAUUUGUUAAAAUAUUGAUCACAUAGCACAACCACGGCUUGGCCACCGCUUGAUCGGGGGCACAACCACGACACACAGCACAAUGAACAUUGUGAAUUGCGAGCAAAAACAGAAGUCAUGACUCCACUGCACAAGAGCAGUGAGGUGGUGUGGCAAUUACAAAGUCACAAAAAUAAGAUUAUCUCCAUGGUGAGACUGAUUGCUUGGGUGCCCGCAACUACCGACACUAUCAUGCAAGCUGCCUGUUCUCUCUAAGGUCCUGACGCGUCUCAUUUCAAUGUGGGGAAUAAGUAAAUGUAUCUCAUCACUAUUUCAAAGAACUGACAACCGUUUCCAAUUGUGUGAUCAACAAGAUUAGAACCAGUCAAGCUNNNNNNNNNNNNNNNNNNNNNNNNNNNNNNNNNNNNNNNNNNNNNNNNNNNNNNNGAGUUUGAUCCAAUUCCUGUUGCACAGAAUAUACAACGAAAUCUCCAUCGCGGAGAAACCCAAUUGUUCUAUCUCCCAGACAGAUGUUUUCAUUAUCAAGAUCUUGGGCGAGAAAACCAUGCAUGCUUACCCAAAUGAGUUGUAUCAAUCUCCAAUAAUUAGAACUUCUGGUGAAUAUGCACCUUGAUAAAUCGGGAUUUUUUUUUAACUUCAACAUAUUUCGGGAAAAUGUUAUUCCUAGGUCAAUGAUACUCUGACAUUAUCAUGUUCAAAUGAACCAAAUGUAGACGCUGAUAUUAUCAUGCCAGGACUUGGUAGUCAUAAAGUCAGUGACUCGAUCUAGUAAAGUGAUACAUUACUCAGAGGACAGAGAUGAUAUUUUCCCAAAGAGCACAAGGGUGGCCGAGCGAGCAUUGAAUAUGAGACAAAACACACAAGUCAGUCAUCAUCAUUUGGGUUUCUUUUGGGCUCCGUUUGGGUUGUUGCCCCAAUAGACUUCCUUUUUCAAUGGAGUACGAUUUUAUUAACUUAAAAUGUAGCAUCAAGUAGAUAAAAGCAUGAUGAGUAACAUCUGUCCCCUGCAUAACAAAGAUGAACACAGUCACAAAAAGAAUAAGAUAUAGACAUAUCAACAACAAUAGAGUUAUAUGUUGAAAAUAUGCCCUCGAGACAAUAAUAAAUUAGUUAUUAUUAUAUUUUCUUGUUCAUGAUAAUCAUUAAUUAUCCAUGCUAGAAUUAUAUUGAUUGGAAACUUAAAUACAUGUGUGGAUACAUAAACAACACAUUGUCCCUGGUGAGCCUCUAAAGGACUAGCUCAUUGAUCAAAGAUGGUAAAGAUUUCCUGGUCAUUGACAUGAGUUGUUAUUUGAUAACGGGAUCACAUCAUUGGGAGAAUGAUGUGAUGGACAAUACCCAAACUAUGAACGUAGUAUAUGAUCAUGUCAGUUUACUACUACUGUUUUCCACAUGUUAAGUAACUGUUCCUAUGCCCAUGAGAUCAUGCAACUUCCAGACACCGGAGAAAUGACUUGUGUGUAUCAAACGUCACAACGUAACUGGGUGACUAUAAAGGUGCUCUACAUGUAUCUCCAAGGAUGUCUGUUGGGUUCGCAUGAAUCGAGACUGUGAUUUAUCACUCCACAUGACGGAGAGGUAUAUCUGGACCCACUCGGUAAUAAAACAUCCCUUUAAGUUUGCAAGAAAUGUGACUAAGGAGUUAGUCACGGGAUCUUGUAUUAUGGAACAAGUAAAGAGACUUGCUGGUAAUGAGAUUGAACUAGGUAUAGAGAUACCGACGAAUGAAUCUCGGGCAAGUAACAUACCGAUAGACAAAAGGAACAGCAUACGGGAUUGAUUGAAUCCUUGAGAUCGUGGUUCGACAUCUUCGUAGAAUAUGUAUGAGCCAAUAUGAAAAUGUAGGUCCCGCUAUUGGUUAUUGACUGGAUAGUGUCUCGGUCAUGUCUGCGUAGUUCUCGAACCCGCAGGGUUUACACACUUAAGCUUCCGUGGCAAUAUAAGCAUAAUUGAGUCAUUGUGUUGGUGACCGAAGGUUGUUCGGAGUCCCGGAUGAGAUCCCGGACAUGACGAGGAACUCCGAAAUGGUCCGAACGUGAAGAUUGAUAUAUAGGAUGAAGGUCAUCGGAGUCCGAAAGUGUUCUGGGGCGCACCGAGGGCAUGACGGAAUACCGAAAGGGGUUUCGGAGGCCCUAGCAAUUGUUGGGGGGGGGGGCUCAUGGGCCAAGGAGAGGGGGAACCGCAGCCCACUAGGGGGCUGGGCGCAGCCCCUCACCCCUGCCCACUUCGGCUGAAGGGGAGGAGGCCUCCUCCUAGGGCGCCGCCAGCCCAACUUGGGUUUGGGAGGGGCCACCCAACCCUAGCCGCCGCCCACCUCUUGGCCGCCGCCCCCUAGGGGAAACCCUAGGGGGCCCUCCCCUCUCCCUUCCCCCUAUAUAUAAAAGAGGUAGAGAGAGGGCAGUCACAUGACAACUUGUCGCGGCGCUGCUCCUCCUCUCCCUCGUAGUUCUUGUCCUCUAAAUAUCGACGGCGAAGCCCUGCUGAGCUGUCACCACUAACACCUGACCAUGCCGUCGUGCUAUCAGAGGACUCGGGCUGCUACUUUACCAUCGCUCGUUGGAUCGAGGAGGCCAAGUCAUCACCAAGUUGUACAUGUGUUGAACGCGGGGGUGUCAUUCGUUCGGCACUUGAUCGGGAGUCCGCACGAUGGUUCAUGCGAAGACGUACAACUAAAUCAACCGCGUUCUUGAACGCUUCCGCUUAGCGAUCUACAAGGUAUGUAGAUUCGACCUCUCCUCUCGUAAAUGUGCAUCCCGUAGAUUGAUCUUGGUGAGCGUAGUGAUUUUUUUGUUUCCCAUGCAAUGUUCCCCAAUAGUAGCAUCAUGAGCUAGGUUUAUGCGUAUAUGACAUCACGAGUAGAACAGAAAGGAGUUUGUGGGCGUUGAUAUUCAGAUUGCUUCCCUCCUUAGUAUUUUCUUGAUUCAACGGUAUUGUGGGAGGAAGCGGUCCGGACUAAAUUUACUCGUCCACGUACGAGAGACCGGUUUCCUCGACUCACAUGUAACUCGUUACAUAAAGAUGGCUGGCGGGUGUCUAUCUCUCAUACUUUAGUUCAAUCGAAUUCGACGGAGGCGGUCCUUGUAGAAGGUUAAAUAACAACUUGCAUAUCACCAUUGUGAUUUUUGCGUAGGUAAGAAGUGUUCUUACUAGAUACCCAUAGCAGACACGUAAAACAUGCAACAACAAAUUAGAGAACGCCUAACUUAUUUUUACAGGGUAUGUUGUGAUAUGAUAUGGCCAAAGACAUGAUGAUAUAUAUUUUGAUGUAUGAGAUGAUCAUGUUGUAAUCACUAGUAGGAAAAUGGGCAUUAUUCUCGGUUUUAGAGGGUCUUUAGUCCCGGAUCUCCAACCAGGACUAAACUAUCGGGAUUUAAGGCCCAAACCUUUAGUCCCGGUUGGCUUACGAACCGGGACAAAGGUGCUCCACGUGGCUGCUGUGGGGCGCCCAGGCAGGAGGACCUUUAGUCCCGGUUCGUAACACCAACCGGGACCAAAAGGCAGCCAUGCGUCAGCAGCUCGCAUGCGCUGGGUUUUUUUUUUUGAAAGGGGGUUUAGGGGUUUUGGAGAAAUUUAUUAGGGGUUUCAUAUUGUGUUUCUCCCUUUUCUUUUUGUGUCCAUCAUAUUUGGUUUCUUAUGCUUGUUGGUGUUUUUGGUCGGUUUCAACUAGACGCUAGCUAGUACGUACAUAAAUCAUUACACGACAUCGUAUAUUACUCCUCACCAUUGUACAUACUAGUUAAAAAGUUCUUCAUCAUUCUAGGUAAAAUAGCAUAAAAAAGAUGAACUCCUCAUCAUUCUGGUUGUUAUCAUAGUAGCAAAUGAUCAAGUUAUCACAAGGUUGAAACACUAACUACUACUGUCUCCUAGGUAAAAAAGCAAAAUAAAGGCAAACUCCGACGUCUCCAUAUUGAAGAACACAGAUCAACCUAUCUCCAACUUGUGGGAUGCACAAGUAUUCCCCUUCAAAUGAUAUCAUGGAUGCGUGUAUUGCAUUUCUCCAUCCUUUGAUUUUCAGAGUGUUUUCAUUUUGAGAUAUCAUGUAUUUACCACAGUAAUUAACCGGGAUUGGCCGUAAGCUAACCAUUUGCAAAUCACCGGUGGUAAACAUCCAUUUAGGCACGGUCUCUAGCGGAAAUACUUUUUAAUAAUAAUAAUAAUAAUAAUAUAGUUAGCAAACUAGUUUUCCUUAAGAACAAUGUAUAAAAAAAUUGAUUAAUGACACAAUGGUAUAAAAAUCAUACAAAUUUGUCUGAAGUGAUGUUAUCAAGGCUCAACUGGUGCACUAAUGACACAUAUCCAUGAUAAACAUUGUCAGUCAUGUAAUUUUUAGCAUGAUUGUGAACAUCAUGAAUAAAUGAGAUAAGACGAUUUUUCUCCAACCAAAUAAGGUUGGAGGCAUAACUAUAGUAGGUCCGAUCUACUAUGUGCCGUGUAGUUCUUGUAACACGGAAAUAAACUAAUAUUUUUAAAAUAAAGAAAUUUAAUCGGGAUGACUAUAAAAUACUUUUUAAUAAUCAAUAUAGAUUACCUAACAAAUUUGUUGACGAAACGCACCUCGAGUAGAACUAGAAUCAAGUCAUUCUCGACAUGCACCCAAAUUUCUAUAUUAUUAUCACACACUUCCUACGAAACGACAACGUCACCGCCAUGCAGGAGCAAUCAACCUCACCGCCAGCAAACAGAGGCGAGCGAAGACGCCGCCGAACCUUCACCAUGGCACACACCCCCACACCAGCCCAACUGAGCUCCCUCCACCGCCCUGCACUGCCAACCAGCCACGGGGACUGUGCUAGAGCAGGAACCACCGCCACUGCCUUCAGCCGCCAUCGCCGCCAACCAGCAGGAAGCCGGCCUCUAGCCCGCGCCGCCCGACUACCGGAUCUGGCCGUCACAGCCCCCGCCGAUCCCUGUGGCGCCGGCGAAUAAGGGGGAGGGGAGGGGAGGGGCGCUCGGCGUGAUCUAGGUCGCCCUCCUGGUAGCCGCGUGCUGCGACGCAGGAGGGGUUGGGAGAACACAAUUUUCUUCGCUGUAGAGGCAAAGUUGGGCCAGCACUUCGUCAGAUAUAGAUCAGCAAAUAGGGUAUCUCGCUUAAAAAUCAUAUAGGAGAACGAGAACGUAUUCCACGACUCGUGCGUGGAAUAGUAGUGUAACCGUACGUUAUGAUAUCCCGUCCUUCUCAUGGGCCAUCCCAUGAAUUUACAAGCUUCGAAACAAAUUAGUUCGAUCCUUUCAAAACUUGUUUCAUUCCCCGGUUUUACCUCUGUCAAUUUUUAGAAUACACCCCAAGAAAAAUAGUUUUCUCAGGAAUUCGUUCCUAAUUCUAUUCUGGUACGGGCCACAAAACAUUGGGAGUUCAAGGUGUCUUCAAAGCGGAACCUCAAGCCCAGGUUUGCUCGGAUCUCUUGACUGCAUACAUUGGAGCUGAAAGAGCUGUCCAAAAGCACUGUGAGGGAAAUAUUAGGGCCAUGUUACGAAGCACAACAUCAUUCUUGAANNNNNNNNNNNNNNNNNNNNNNNNNNNNNNNNNNNNNNNNNNNNNNNNNNNNNNNNNNNNNNNNNNNNNNNNNNNNNNNNNNNNNNNNNNNNNNNNNNNNNNNNNNNNNNNNNNNNNNNNNNNNNNNNNNNNNNNNNNNNNNNNNNNNNNNNNNNNNNNNNNNNNNNNNNNNNNNNNNNNNNNNNNNNNNNNNNNNNNNNNNNNNNNNNNNNNNNNNNNNNNNNNNNNNNNNNNNNNNNNNNNNNNNNNNNNNNNNNNNNNNNNNNNNNNNNNNNNNNNNNNNNNNNNNNNNNNNNNNNNNNNNNNNNNNNNNNNNNNNNNNNNNNNNNNNNNNNNNNNNNNNNNNNNNNNNNNNNNNNNNNNNNNNNNNNNNNNNNNNNNNNNNNNNNNNNNNNNNNNNNNNNNNNNNNNNNNNNNNNNNNNNNNNNNNNNNNNNNNNNNNNNNNNNNNNNNNNNNNNNNNNNNNNNNNNNNNNNNNNNNNNNNNNNNNNNNNNNNNNNNNNNNNNNNNNNNNNNNNNNNNNNNNNNNNNNNNNNNNNNNNNNNNNNNNNNNNNNNNNNNNNNNNNNNNNNNNNNNNNNNNNNNNNNNNNNNNNNNNNNNNNNNNNNNNNNNNNNNNNNNNNNNNNNNNNNNNNNNNNNNNNNNNNNNNNNNNNNNNNNNNNNNNNNNNNNNNNNNNNNNNNNNNNNNNNNNNNNNNNNNNNNNNNNNNNNNNNNNNNNNNNNNNNNNNNNNNNNNNNNNNNNNNNNNNNNNNNNNAUUAGAACCAGUCAAGCUUUUGAACACAUUGGUGUACAAGGCUUCAAUUUUGUGGACGGUGUUCAUGAGUUUGUGUGCGAGAGAUAUAUGAGUGGACACUGCAAAAGCUGCUAGAGAAAUGAGUCAUAUGUUAAGGACAUAGAAGGUAGAAGAAGUUUAUACGGGAUCUUGAAUAUCAACCAUGUCACUUAUCUGAGCAUGUGCCACGUACAAUGUUAAGUGACUAGCAAUGCUCUUACUAGCGUUGGAUUUUUCUCUUUCGAUGACCUUGGGUAGACAGUCCUAUGUGUUAUGAAGCAUUGCCCAAAAGGACAAAUCCUGCGUGUUAUACUUGUAGCACUACAAAAGUACAAACGCCAUCCGCAUGCGUUGAUUCGGGGGUGAUCGACUCAUUAGUAUGGUCCUUGGAUGGCAUCACACCAACAAUUUUACAAGCUCGGUCAAUUUACCAUUUACAGUACCAUUUAAUAAAGAGAGACAAUGGAGGCCAGACCAGACCAACGACACUUAAAAAUAUAUAUAGUGUGGCCAGGUUCCCCUGAUUUCAUCAAUGAUAGUAGCAAAUAGGGUAGAGCAUGUACGAUCAACUAGUAUUUUUUUAACAGAGCUCGACAUGGGCUAUCCGUUUGAAAGAACAGAAAACUUUUGUUUUUCAGAGUACUACUAUUUUUCGAGAUUGGCACCGGCGACAAUCAAGCAGAGUUUGAUCCAAUUCCUNCACAACAUCAUUCUUGAAAAAGUUCCAUCACGGGAUCUCUAAAUUUGGCACGCUUUUUUUGGCAUGCCUAGAUCCUAUAGUGAUAUCAAUGUGUGCAGCAUCUCGCUUGUUUGCUUGAUUGACUAAAGGGAAAGCUCCUCCUUAAAACUAUAUUGUCAAUGCGAAUGAAUACUACAUGGGAUACUAUCUGGUUGACGAGAUCUAUCAUUUGUGGCCUAUACCUAUGUAAAGACCAUCUCUGAGCAUGUUGGUCAUCACUUUUUCCAAAGACAAGAAACAACUAGAAAAGAUGGGAGAAGGCAUUUGGAUUGCUCUAUAUUCAUUUUGUAUUUGUUCGUGGGCCUGCUAAACAAUGAAAUCCGGAGACCUUGUGGGCGGUGAUAACUUUUUGUGUGAUCAUCCAUAACAUGAUCGUGAGGGAUGAGGGUGAAGUUGUUGUCGCAACUUUUGAAUUUAAGAACAUGGGUGAUCCUAUCGAAUUUCCAAAUCAGAUCCGGCCACGGUUGAUGAGUUUGUUCAAAUGCAUCAACAAGGCAUCAAGUAACCCAUGAGCAACUCAAUGAAAUUUGACCGAGCACCUGUGGGCGGUUAAAGGGGACAUCUAUUACAUAUGUGGUAUUUGAUUUGAAGCUUGAACUGUGUUAAUUUGAAAACUAUGUUGGAUUGUAAUAUUUAAGAAAGAAGUGUGAUUUGAUAUGCGGUUAUUUUGAGCUUGCUGGCUUCAAAACAAUAAACAUGCGAAAUAUUUGUGGCUAGCUUUGGAUGGCUGGCUGCCGUAGGAGUGCCCACGGACUGGACCCCACCGGUCUGCUGAUGGAUUUGAUGUCCGGUUUGGAGGUUGACGUUGGAGAUGCCCUAAGAACAUCGAAACCGGCAAGCUCCACAUGGGCAUAUUGUCCCAUAUGUGACAAAUAUAGAAGUCAUGCUAUGUGAUCAAUAUUUUGUCAAAUCAGGUGUACUGCUCAUUUUAGUAUUGUGUAUCAGGACUCAGCCUUAGCUAGAGUUUUUUUUUUCUUAACAUUGCUUAGCUAGCGUUUUGGUGUGGUGUUGUGAUGUAUAGCUGUGAGCUAGCACGAAUAUGAAAGUGGGGACGGGGUGCUCUUGAUUACAAUAAAUAAUACUCCUAAGGGCAUCAGUGAUGGAUGCACCCUUUCGCAAAGACCUUCCAACCACUUGCCGCCUCAAUAUCUCACACGGUUUGGCCACCACCGGAUUGGGGGCACAACCACGACACACAACACAACCAACAUUGUGAAUUGCAUGCAAAAACAAGAAGUGAGGAUUCCAGUGCACAAGAGCAGUGAGAUUGCGUGGCAAUAAGAAAAUUACGAAAAUAAGAUUUUCUCCAUGGUGAGACUGAUUGCUUGGCUGCCACUAACAUGAAAGCUGCCUGUUCUCUCUAAGGUCCUGACGCCUAUGAUUCCUAUAUGGGUAAUAAGUGAAUAUAUUUCAUCACUAUUUCAAACAACUGACAACCGUUUCCAAUUGUGUGAUCAACAAAAUUAGAACCAGUCAAGCU
rnacentral:lncRNA from 1 species